rnacentral:lncRNA from 1 species
AAGAUGUGUUGGGUUCCUCGAUGGCCCCUUCCCAUUAUUUCCAUUUUCCCCUCAAUGCGAAUCAGUUCCCAUUUCCAUCGACCACUUGUGGAAUGUGAUUAUUAUUGUCAUUAUUAUUAUUUAAGUUUCUUUUAAGUAAACACAACCUUUCAUUGACAUAAUCUAAAGAGUCUGAAGUACAAAAUCCAAUAAAAAAAAUAUUUUAAAAAAAUUACGAGGAAUUUCUAACUUAAACAAAAGGGCACUGUUUAAGCACUCUCGUCUGUUAAUGUCUAUGUUUUUAGAGAUAUGAUACAGCAAAGCCGAAAGGCAUUACUUAAUGGUGAAUUAAGUGUCCUUGAAUAUUUGAUGCAUCGGUCGAAGUCAUGUCAUAUGAUUUGCUUGAUGAAUUUUUGUUUGUUUUAAUUUUCUUCUCAAGGUUUAGUAUCAUCAUUCAAUGACAAGUUAUUUUUAAGAUUUUCUUGUCUCCUCUUCCAUAUGUAAAUAGCUCUCUUAAAAAAUUCACCCUGGGCUUGAGUAUACGAGUAUUUGCUUGUUUCUUUUAGUAGAAACCCAAUAUUUAUCUUUUCACCCCGUCUCACUUUAUGAUGAUUACCUAUGUGGAUUCUCAGAUAAUGCCUGAAAACUCUCUCUUUGGUAGGAGGCCUCCGGUUCCCUUGUGCUGUAAGAAGAUUGAGAUUAUUGUGGGUGAGCCGAUUCAGUUUGACAUACCUAGCAUGAAGCAGAUGGCAAUUUCCAUGUCGCGUAACUGGGCCUCUCCUCUACUAGGAUGGCCUGCCACUGGAGAACAAACUAGGCUGGAUGAGCCUGCACAGAGAUUCUUGUACGGUCAUAUCUCAGAUCAAAUUCGAAGUGUUAUGGAGAAACUACGUGCACUGUCAUUACAGAAGAGAAGCUGAAGAUUUAUUUUUGGCUGUUCAUUAUUUACAAUAAGUCCACUGUAUUUCUUAGAUUAAAUACUAAUUCAUAUCAAAUGGAAUUUUUAUUUCAUUUCAUAACUUAAUUUGUACUUUAAGUUUAUAACUAAUUUCUUUCUCUUCAAGAAAUUCGAAUAUUUCCUUAUGCAUAACAUUAUUUUCAAGGAAUAAUAUUAUUAAGAUUAAGAAUGUAAGACAGACCUGAAAACUAACAUGUUACUAUGGAUGAAGGUUAUUGAUGCAAAAUAUGAAACUAGCCAUCUCAACAAUAAACCUGGCAGCAUCUUGCCUGGAACAGCAAAGAGCCCUUGGAUCAUACCGGUCUUUUAAUUUGUAGUUUUCUUAAUGAAUAAUGGAUUAACGUCUAAAUGUUUAAAUGUUUAAAUGUUUUAGAAAUAAAAUUAGUGUUUGUGAGUUUAAUUUUUAAAAAAAGAAAAAGAAGGAACAAAAAUUACCAAACCAUAUCUUAGAUUUUGAUGUUAUGAGUGAUGGGAAUUAAUCAUUAUGAAUACUUAAAAUUAAUAAUCCAUUUAAUUAUGGAUAUGUUGUCUGUGCCCAUAUUAAUUGUCCAAACUCAUCCAGGUUUAAUUAUGGAUAUUUUUGUUUUCUUUUCGAAAUUCAAUUUUUUGUUUUCUUUUCACAAUUUAAUUUUUUUGGAAAGGAAUACGUUGGAUUGAAAAUUGCAAAAAAUUAGAAAUUGAAAUAUUAGUACGUUGAAAAACUUCGAGCAGACAUGUCCAAAAAUAUAUACUAUUACCGUCAAAUUUAAGAAAAAACAAUUUUACCAUUAAUAUCUCUAUUAGAUAUGUGACUUGUUUAUAUAUAUUGUUUGAUUUUUUAAUUAUUGGUUUGAUGCAUAAAACAUUUUCUUCUCACUUUAAAAUGUGGUAGCCUGACAUAAAAGAAGGUUUAGGAAACUGAUGAGUUGGUCUAAAGUUCAAACUUGAAAGAGUUUAGAAAAUACUUAAAAAUUAUAAACUAUAAAAGAAACUUAUAAAUUAGAAAAACUUUAAACUUUAGUAUGCUAACUCUUAUUAAGUUCUCAUUUUGUACAUUCUAGAAGGAGAUUGAGAAAGAAGUGUGAACGACCAAAAGGUUUGAGAGUGUUUUUGUAAUUAGGGUAAAAAAAAGAUAAAUUGUUAUUUACUAUUAUAUCAAUUUUUUUAUUAUUAAUUUUUCCUAAUGUCUCGAUUAUUUUUCUGCUUUUUUUUUUGGAUAGAAAUGAGAGGUUUUUGCCAACAGUUAUGGCACUCCGAUUGGAAAAAAAUAAAAGAUAAAAAAUCGUCAGCAACGUUUUAUUAGAUGAUGUGAACAUAAAGAUUGGUUUAAGAAAACAUAAAUGGACAAGAUUAUAGAGAUGUAGAUUGAAAAAAAAAUAUUCUACACCAAAUAGAAUGUAAUAGUAUAAGGUCUGUUUCUGCCAACCUUAUAAAGUUGUAGGUUUUAUUGGAAAAAUGGUAUGUGGAAAUAUGAAAGGAUGAUAUUUAAAGUCGAGGGAUUUUGUAAAUUUCCCCCUCCCCGGUUUGAAGGAGUAGUAGAUUUGCAGCAAUGAUAAUGUAAAUGCCAGAUUGUCGAAGAUAUUGUCAGGCCGGCAACUCAAGUCGACUAGCUACCAAUAUUUUUUUUUUUUUGUUGGCUUAGUCUUUUGCUUGCUUGCCAUUUAAAACACUCUCGUGACUCCCACCACUGCUGCUCCGCUCUCUCUCUCUCUUUCUUUGCCCCUCUCUUCCUAUAAUCUAUACCAACCAGCGACUCAAUGCCUGGCUGACUUUCAAGUUUCACCUCAGAUCUCUCCGCCUCCUCUCGUUUGCUUCCGAAAGGUAACUCCUUUACAACAUCUCCACCAUUUUGCUUCAACCUCCAAUUAAUCCAUUCAUUCUUCAAGCUCGGCCAAUUCUGCUUCUAUGCAUUCAACUUUUUUUUUUGCCCCUUUCUGUUUUGUCAAGGGCUGGCUUCUUACAUUGCUGUCUAAUUUUAGUGGAUCUAUUUUCUUUCUUGUAGCUCAUAUGGGUUUUAUACAUAUAUCUUUUACUCCUUAAAUAAUUGCUAGCGCGUUUCAAUGUCUCACUAUCUAGCGGCGGCCAUUGAUAAUGGUUCUAUUGUUCGAGAACACAUUCCAUUAUGGACUAGUUCAAUUUUUUUUUUUUUUUUUUUUUUUUGUCUCCCUUGCACUUCUCAUUCUAUUUAUUGUUAUGAGUAUUUAGUGGUAUUUAAAAUUAAUUGUACGUUUGUUCGGAUGCUAAUCGUAUAGUACAGAAAUUAACCUUUUCAACCACGCACCCUUUUUGCAGUUUUUAGUUAUAGGGAUCCCCAGAAGUUAAAUCCAUUUCUGCCACUGUCAAAUGACCUUUGACAUGGCUCAGAGUGCUAGGACAAUCGGAUCUUCCUUUAACUCCAGCAGUGGCAAUGAUGAUACUCUCCUUCAAAGCUUUGCUGCUGCUCCAAAUGGGGAUGAUUAUGAUAGUGAUGGCUCCAAUUUUGCACCCCCGUGAGUGUAAACCGAAUACCUGUAGCAACUAAGCUCUUAACUUUAUUUAUUACAUGUUGAAUUUCAUGAAUGCAUAUUUUCUCUAAAACUUUAUUUACUAUAUUGAAUUUCAUGAAUGCAUAUUUUCUUUCUCCCUUGAAGCAAUGUUAUUGUAAUAUUGUACGUUAUUGGUUUCAGUCUUCAGAAAAAAGAUUAUACUGAAGUCAUUAGGUCAUAGCCAGGCUUGCCAGCUACACCAUUCCCGUGAUUAAACGUAGUUUAUAAAUUAGAGAAGCUAGCGUCACAUUAUUAGUUUAAUUGGUCUAAUAUUCAGGUAUUUAGUGAAGCAACGAAGAUCAGAAAGCAUUGUAAUUAGAGGAACUAUUCUAUGCAUGCAACUAACGGAUUACAACUAGUGUCAUGAAAAGCAUCUCACUUGUAGUUGUUUUACCGGGCAUUAUGAUCUCCUUCUUCGAGGACUUCAAUCCACACGUGCAUUAAAAAAGUUGUUAGUGUUACUUCUAUCAAUAGUAAAUUAAUUAUUGACGAUUUUAUUCUAGCAUUUUUCUCAAGCUUGAAAGCUUGGUUUCUCAUCCAGAAAAAUAAUCAAUAAUGAUAAUACUUACAAUUCCUUCUUCUUUCUUUUUUUUGUCUGUUUUUCUUUUUGGGUGUAAAAGUGAUAAUACUAACAAAUGCAAACUCACUGACUUCUUAUAUUCUCUCAGUGGCUCCUUAGCUCAUAUUAUAGUUUGAUGUUUUCUUGAGUAGAUUUUUCAGUCCCUCAAAAUUAACUUUCUCCUUGGUUGUUUCUGUAGUACUCCUACAACCAUAUCCACAGCAAUUCCUGCAGAACUUGCUGGUGUCAUACCUUUGAUUGAUAGAUUUCAGGUGGGAUAAUAUUUAUGAUGCCUGCAAGUGUGAAAGGGAUUGCGAGUUGUUUCUGAAGUAUGACAAUUUUAGUUUUCAUUAUAAUCCCUGAAAAGUAACGUCUCUAUAUUGUAUUAUUUUCCAAGGUUGAAGGAUUCUUAAGGAUGAUGCACAAACAAAUCCAUUCUUCUGGAAAGCGUGGAUUCUUUUCCAAAAGAUCUGUAGGUCCUCAAGUUCGGGAAAAAUUCACAUUUGAAGAUAUGUUGUGUUUCCAAAAGGUGAAAACAUCUUGUUUGUCAUGAAAUUUAAGUACUCACCAAACUUUUACAAGUGUAAGUUGUAAAUUUUUACAGGAUCCUAUACCAACUUCGUUGCUUAAAAUCAACUCUGACUUGGUGAGCCGAGCCAUAAAACUAUUCCAAAUAAUCUUGAAGUACAUGGGUGUUGACUCUUCUGAUCGAGUUAGUGCAACAAGCUUAGAUGAACGAAUUGAACUUGUUGGAAAACUGUACAAGCACACUUUGAAACGUUCAGAGCUACGAGAUGAACUUUUUAUCCAAAUCUCUAAGCAAACUAGAAAUUCUCCUGAUAGGUUUGCUCUAAACUAUUAUUUACCUUGUUGAUCCUUGGCGUUGAUGAUUAAAUUCUAUUAUGAAUUGCUGAUAUUUUAAUUCAAAUGCAAUACCAUAUAUUUUGGACUGAUCUCUAUAUUCAUAUUCAUAUGAAUAUUACAGGCAAUAUUUAAUCAAAGCAUGGGAGCUGAUGUAUUUAUGUGCAUCAGCUAUGCCUCCUAGCAAGGAUAUUGGUGGAUAUUUAUCAGAGUAUGUUCAUAAUGUUGCUCAAGGCGUAAGUACUGAUCCGGAGGUUCGAGUUCUUGCAUUAAAUACACUGAAUGCUUUAAAGCGUUGCAUGAAGGCUGGUCCCAGGCAUAUAAUACCUGGUCGUGAGGAAAUCGAAGCUCUUUUGACAGGCCGAAAACUUACAACUAUUGUAUUUUUUUUGGAUGAAACUUUUGAAGAAAUUACAUAUGAUAUGACAACAACGGUCGCUGAUUCUGUUGAGGUAAUGAUAAUUUUGAAUCUUGAUGGAAUGAUAUAUUUUUGUAUUUCAAUGAUUUAAAGAUUAAAAAGUAUAUCUCUCAUAUAUAGGAGAAAGGACCAUAUAAGAUAGAAAAGUGGAAUCGGAAUCAGAAUUAAAUUUAAGCUAUUUAGUUAGUGCUUACUAAUAAUAGAGUCAUAGACCAACACUUAUCUUUCAUUGCCGAUUAUUCUUGAAAAGGAAACAAACUUCUUCAUUAAUGAUAAAAUCUCAAAGCACAAGAGGUAUAUACAAUGAGAAUAAUAAAAAAGCAUAAAGCAAAAAGCCCUAGAGGAUCAGGAGGUGCACCCAGACAUCUCAACUAGGUUGGCACCCCUUUAGCACCAAAACAUCAUAUCCCAUAUUUAAGCAUGAACAAAGCAAAGAAAAUAAAAAUAGAAAGUACAAACUAUGAAAGACCAGCAAAAUAACAUAGGCCGAGACUAGGAAAGAAGAUUAAAAAGAUGAUGUAAAGACAAGAAUUAAAACUACAGCUGCUGAGUAAUAGAAAAAAAGGCUGGAACCAAUGCUGGACGAAAAUUAAGAGGCUGGUUGGGUGAGGAAAGCUGCCCAGUUGAGAUAAAUAUCUUGAAUAGAAUAAGCCUCGAACUCCUUGUUUAAGGAAACCCAAGCUGCUGCACUUCUUUCUGCAGAGAGUUCUGAACAUGGCUUUUCUUUGUCAUGGAAUAUCCUCUGAUUUCUUUCAAACCACAGUUUAGAGAGGAUAGCUUUUAGCAAAUUUAACCAUAAUUGUCUUGGCUUCUUGGAUAGCUGAGGAGACCUCGUGAUGAUUAUUAACAGUUGGUAUACUUUUCUUUGCUAAUUUUGUUGAGGGAUAUUCUCAACCCCCUGCCCUUUGUUUUUCCUUUUUGUUUCUUUUUGACAUACAUAUGUUUAUUAUCAAGGAAAGAAAGAGAAUAAAUAGUUUUGUUUUUGCUAUAAAUGCAUGAAUUUUAGUCUACUUAAGUGAAUGUUUCCCCGUGUCUACCACACUCAUUAAUGUGAUUAAUUAGUGGAUAUUUAAUGUCAAAAUUCAUAUUACCCUCGGAACACUUCAUAUUUUUUUUCAGGAACUUUCAGGUGUUAUAAAACUAUCAGCACACUCUAGCUUCAGUCUUUUUGAAUGCCGUAAGUUCGUUAGUGGAGCUAAAGCACUUGAUCUAGGGAAUGGUACAGUUUAACUUAUUGUUUUUUGGUUCGAAUUUGAACGAACAAAUGUACAUCUUAAUCUUACAUGGAAUUCUUCUCAACAGAGGAGUAUGUUGGGCUUGAUGAUAACAAAUAUAUUGGAGAUCUGCUAGCAGAAUUCAAGGCAACAAAAGAUCGAAGCAAAGGAGAAAUUCUGCACUUCAAGUUGACAUUUAAAAAGAAGCUGUUUAGGGAGUCUGAUGAAGCUGUUGUGGACCCAAUGUUUAUACAACUAUCAUAUGUUCAGGUAGGAGUGUUUUAUCUUGAUUACAUUACAAGGUGGAUUUUAGAACUUCGAAUGUUCUGUCUAAUAGAUUUAUGAACUUUGAAGAGUGCUCCUAAUUUUCACUUUUGUCAUUUUGUGUCGAGUAGGCCCCCAGCCCCAAUCUUUGAACUAUCAAUUUUGUAUCUAAUAAGUUAGCGGACUUUAAAAUGUAUCUAGUAGGUCAGGAUUGAAUGGAGAUAACAUCGAAAGAUUAAGAACCCAUUAGAUACAUUUUGAAGUUCAAAACCUACUGAUGAUUAAAUUAUAAUUUAGGCCUAAUUUGAUAACCAUUUGGUUUAUAAUAGUUAAACUUGCAAACAUUACUUCGACCAAAUCCACAACAAAAUACGAAAUGGUUACCAAUGGGGCCUUUAACUUUUAUAUUUAACAUUUAUGUGAGAGUCAGUCUAUAUCUACAGCUGCAGCAUGACUAUCUGUUGGGGAAUUAUCCUGUUGGAAGGGAUGAUGCUGCACAGCUUUCAGCAUUACAAAUCCUUGUUGAAAUUGGAUUUAUUACCAGUCCAGAAUCUUGCACGUAGGUGUUUUUCUUGCUCUCCUUUAUUGCAAAUUUGUAAUUUAUCAUUUUGCUUUGUUUUCACAUUUUAAAUUAGUAUGUUAAACUUUCAUUUCCUUCAUUUUCUACAACAAGCAUCUUCUUCGCCCCCAAUUAUGUAGGAAAAGUGUUACUUUUUUUAGUAUAGUUUUGUACACUCCAUUUUAAUCGCACUUUUAACUGCUUGAUGGGUACUAGUGAUUGGAAUUCGCUUCUAGAAAGAUUUGUACCGAGACAAAUUGCCAUAACAAGACCAAAGCGAGAGUGGGAGUUGGAUAUUCUCUCGCGUUUUCGUUCAAUGGUAAGAUUUGGUAUUUGGAACAUUCUGUUGCAGACAAUUACUAUCUUGAAGAGUCUAUUUAGAUUACUAAAUGUUCUUUUCAAUUGAUUAUUGAGGCAAUUUUACUCUCAAUUUUAUGAAUAUUUUCUUAACACUGAUAAGCAUUGUUGUUUCUAGAGAUAUGGUAUUCAACAUGAUCUAUAUGUGAGUGGUUUAAUAUAUUCCUUGGAGCACACAUUCAACUCUUGAGCGUCUCUUUUUGUUUGAGUCAGGCCUUUGUUUCUGAUUGAUGUACCUAGUUCUGUACGAAUUAGUGAAAAAUAUGUAUCAAAGUUUAUGCUCAGUUUUCCAUGCUAUUUUUUCGUAGGCAUAUAUGUCUCUGUCUUCUCCAUCGCCCCUAGGUUGCUCUUUCCUGCCUUUUUGUGAAAUAUACUCACUAUUUCUUAUCCCCCAAAGAAAAGUCACCAAGUCAAUCUUGACCAAGAACAAAGAGUUUGCUGAUUUUUUUCUUACUAAUUUCCCAGGAACAUCUGACAAAGGAUGACGCAAGACAACAAUUUCUUCGAAUAUUGAGAACACUUCCUUAUGGGAAUUCAGUUUUCUUUGGCGUCCGGAAGAUUGAUGAUCCCAUUGGACUUCUACCUGGACGAAUCAUUUUGGGUAUCAACAAGAGAGGGGUAAUAUAGGUUUCUAACAUGCACAGCUACUUUGUUUUGGAGUUAAAGAGAAUUCCAAUUCAAUUAUUAAUAUACACAAAACGCAUAGAAAUAUUGCCAGUUUUCAUAUGUUUCAAAGCCAUUCUUCCCUCAAAAGUUAGAAUUCAAAGAAUCACUCACUUCCUCAUCUACCCAACUACUUAUAAUGGCUUAAUAUUCAAACGCUUGCAUAUUGGCAUUCAUGUGUCAAAUAUAAUGAGAUACCUGUCUGGUGAUUUAAAUUUUUCUAGAUGGUUGCAGUUGGUUUAAUUGCUCAACUUUCUAUAGGUUCAUUUCUUCCGUCCAGUUCCAAAGGAGUAUUUACAUUCUGCUGAAUUAAGAGAUAUAAUGCAGUUCGGUAGCAGUAACACUGCAGUCUUUUUUAAGAUGAGAGUUGCGGGUGUCCUACACAUUUUCCAGUUUGAGACCAAGCAGGUUACCGUCAUUGCUUUCUUCUCCGUACAUCCAUCAUUGCAUUUUGGGAAUUUCAACCCUUCAUGUGCCCUGUCACGGUGGUUUUUUGACUAGGUGCUCUAACUUUUUAGGGAGAAGAAAUUUGCAUUGCUCUCCAGACACACAUAAAUGAUGUCAUGUUGCGUCGUUACUCUAAAGCUCGAUCUGCUGCUGUUGGCUCCAUGCUUGGAGACUCUUCCUGCAACUUGAAGACUCAAAGUGUGGAAGCAUAUGAGAAACGAGUUCAAGAUUUGAGUAAGGGCAUUGAAGAGUCUAAGAGAAAUGCUGAACAAGUAAACCUUGAAAGAGCUUAUUCUUCCUUUUGUAUCGCUCCUUGUGAAUUGAAAGUUAUGAUUCUGAUCCCACCAAAAAAAAAAAAGGAAAAAGAAAAAAGAAAGGGCUUAUUCUUUGCCUUGAAAUGUUAAUAUGUGGAAAUGCAGAUGAAUAUGUGCUACUUCACGAUACCAUCCAUUAAUACAAUUUUGUAAUUAUAGCUUGUCUACUCACGAAAUCAUCCAUUAAUUUUAGCUUGUUUACUCGCAUUACAAGUGGAAGUGUUUUUUUGCAAUUGCUUUUUAUAGGAUUUGCAUAUAUUUUACCACAUUUAUCAUAUAUAAAGCAUUUUCAUUUCGAUAAUGGAAACCGUUCUUAAUGUAGUUGCUGAAGGAAUUGCAUGAAAAGAAUAAGCAAGAAGUGGUAAUGCAAGAAGAAUUGGAAGCUCUAAAAGAAUCUUUGAGAUUUGAAAAGCAGAACUUAGCUGAGGCAACACAUAAUCUUGAGAGGUUGAGAUCGCAAUAUGAUGAAAAAGACAAUGAACAUCAGGUCAGUACAGCUAUCUUUGCAUCAAACUUAUUUUGAGCCUUUAUUUCUAUUUAUUUGGUCUAUUCUAUUUUCAGAUCAUGUUAACCGAGAGAAGGAGUCUGGAAGCAAAAAUUGCAAAAUUGAGCACUAUGAUGUUGGAAAAUAAUGGGAAAAAAGAUACGGUUGGAAUUGAUGAACAGGUAUGACUUUAAGCUAUUUGUUUGAUGAAAAACAACAUUAUGUUUUUGUUUGAAAAUUAUUUUAAGAAUUAUAGCUCCAAAUUUUAAAACCGUGAUUUAUAACUUGAAAAGAUAAAAGAGAUUGAAAUGGGAAUGGAAGGGGGGGGAAUUGACUUGGGACUACAAUUUACAAGUUGGAUGAAGGAAUGAAGAGAUGAAUGAUGAGGGGAAAAAAGCUGGGGGUACUUGAGGGCCUCAUUUUUAUUUAUUUAUUAAUUAUUAUUUUUUUGGGGGGAGGGGUCAUAUUUUAAGGUAGGGGCGAGCAAUAAGACCCGAAAAAGCGAACUGACCAACCAAAACCAACUGAAUUGAAGUUGGAGGGUUAGUUUAUGGUUGGAGUUGGUUUUGUGGUCAGUUUGUGAAAAAUGGCUCUGCCCGACUAUAUACUUUAAAAGAAACAAAAGAAGGAAGAACAAAAAUAGUAUAAAAAGAAAAAGAAACAAAAGAGAGAAUGAUGGAAAAAUGAAAUGAUGGUGGAUAGUAAUAAGAGGGUGGUGAAAAUGAUGGAAGAAAGGUUUAAGAAAAAUAGUUGUGGCAAGAUCUUGGAAAUGGAGAGGGUUUUGAAGUUCGGGAGAGGGGUUUAUGAGAAGAUGAUGAAGAAACAGGUUUUGAGUUCUCUUCUUGAACUUGUCAACCAUGAAUAUGGCCACUAGAGCAUCUGUUAGAUAUUAUAUUAAAUUUACCCUCACCCACAAGCUUAAACUUUUGGGUUGAAUUGGUGAUUUAAGAUGGUAUCAGAGCAGAUGGUCUAGGAAGAUCCUGUGUUUAAGUGCUUGUCCUCCUCAUUUAAUAUUGAUUUUCACUUGUUGGGUCUUUUUUUAUAAGUUAAACCCACAAAUGAGGGAGAAUGUUAGAUAUUAUAUUAAAUUUACACUCACUCACAAACUUAAGCUUUUGGAUUGAAUCGUUGAUUUAAAAGCUUCUGUAGCUAUCACCCUACAUUUUUUCUGUUUUGUUCUUUCCAUCUGCUUGUGUUUCGUGAAGUCGAUAAGCCGGGGUUUUUUAUUGUCUAAAUUGCUUCCAAAAAGAAAAACAGAAUUGAUUUCUCAAAUUAGAGAGGAACAUGUUCAAUAAUGAUUCAAACAACUUGUUAUAUUUCCAAAAAAGAAAAAAAAACCGUCUUAAACAAGACCAUUAAUUUCAAAGGAAAAGCUAAUUGGAGGGAAACUUUGAAAAGAUAAUUGAAGCAUAUUUAUCUUUUUACUGGAUUUCUGUUCCAAUAAGCAGAAAACUACUCUUCAAAGCAAAAUCCCAACUUUCAAUUUUUUUUUUCUGGUAUCCUUUUUGUAAUUAAACAUUAUGAUUGAUAUAACUAUUUAAUAUAAAAUAUAUCGCAAAUUGCAUUGAGUUUAAUGUUUUUCUUUAUAGCUUCUACAAAAACUUCAAGAUGAGUUGAGGCUUCGAAAUGAUGAGUUGCAAGCGUCUGAAGAAAUUAGAAAGAAACUGGUAAAUGAAAAGCUGUUCUUGGAACAAAGAAUUUUUGGACUUGAGAAGAAGACUAGCAAUGAGGUACAUUAUACAGGUUCUUAAUAUGAUAUCAUCUUUGCUACUUCUUAACAGAGUAAUGUGUAUUAAGUUUUUUACUUGCAGAUGGAACAUCUCCAGAUAAGCUUUGAACAUGAACGCAAAGUCUUGAAGCUGAGAGUGGCAGAACUUGAAAAAAAACUUGAAGAAGUAACUCAAGAACUAGCUGUCAUGGAGUCAACUCUCACGACCAGGAACUCUGAUUUGGCGGCCCUGCAAAAUAAUUUGAAGGAACUAGAGGAACUACGAGAGAUGAAAGAGGUUCUAGUCUGAUUUUUUCUAUUUAGUUUUGCAGAAGCGGAUUGAGCGACAGUAUCUCUUACAUCUAUUUAACACCUGGUGUAUUCUUUCGAUCUUAUUUUUCACUUUUCUUUUGCUCUUUUUGUUAUCAUUCUUUUUUUAUUUUAGGACAUUGACCGAAAGAAUGAGCAAACAGCCAACAUUUUGAAGAUGCAAGGGGCUCAGCUAGCUGAGAUGGAAGCGCUUUAUAAGGAAGAGCAAGUUCUGAGGAAACGAUAUUUCAACAUGAUAGAAGGUUUGUUUACCAUAACGUCCAUAUUGAAUGAGUUCUUUUGUAUCCAUAUAGAAAGUUUUGAGAAUUUCUGUGCUAAAGUACCAUGGGUUGGCUUAGUGAUUGAUACGACAUGUGAGAGGUAAAAGAAAAGAAAUAAAGACUUUUGGGGGAUAACUUUGUUGAGAAAAUGAAUUUGAUAAAAAAAAUUACGUUGUGGAAGCAAUGAUAGAAAUGUUUAUGUUAGAAAAUGAACUUUGGAAAAUGAGAGUGAAAUCCAAUAGAUAAAUAAAGUUCUAAUUGAAGGAGAACAAAUUGGUGAUACCAACUUUUCAUGGAAGCUCACUUUUAUGUAUGGUUCAUUAAUAGUUUAAUACCAUUAACUUACAAAUCAAAACUGUGUUUUUUCUUUUUCUUUUUCUUUUUUAAUGGAAACAAACCUCUUCAUUGAUACAAUGAGUGGGACUGAUGCUCAUAUUACAAAGUAGUGAAACAAGGAAAUAAACAUGUUAAAAAUAGAAACUCACUUAACUUAGAGAAAACUAAAAAGAACGAAAAAACUGAAAAUCUUAUAUCUAAGAAUUAAAUCGACUUAAAGAUACUAAACUGAAAAUUAAAUCUAACAACAAAAUAAGAAACUUAAAAACAAAAAAACUGAAAUUUGAUUAGGAAAAAUAACGUACUUUUUUUAAAAACGGAAACUAGCUUCUUUAUUAAUGAUAAUAAAUGAGACUAAAGCUUAAAGUACAAGGGUAUUAUACUAAGAGCAAAAAGAAAUAAGAGAAAAUGCAGGCUAAAUCUGAAAUAAAGACUAUACUCGGAAAACAAAAUAUGAUGGCAACCUAGAACGAACCCAAACAGAAAACAACGACCUAAUCAAAGCCACUAAAAGACAAUACAAAGUAAAAUUUAAAUGCCCACUCAAAUCUAAAUUUUUCCACACGCAAUUCUUCAAGAUGAAAAAAGAAAAAGAACACUAAGAAGAUGCAACCAGCUGCUUCAAAACUAUCUUUCCAAUGCCCAGAAGAACUUGAAAAUAUCUUCCAACCCACAGAUUUGACAAUCAUGCUUUGGCAUCAAUGUUUCAGUGAAGAAAUAGGACCCAAUAAACAGCAAAAAUUAAUUGCCUGUUCCAAAAGGUAUCCCAGCGGUUGUUCUCCAUUGGCAAGCAAGAAAUCGAAGAUCAACAUAAUAACCAUUAUUAAGCUAGCAACAACAAUCAGUGAGACUUUACUUGCUCGCCCACGUGAAGAAAAAUCAUGGAAAGACAAGUUGUUCCAACAGGUGGGGGGCAACUACAUUCAGCGGCUGAAGAAUCAAACUAGAAUAAGUCCACAAUCAGCGACUAUUGACUUUAGAUGAUCUGGGAUUUCACAAUAAUGAGGAUGAGAGCGAGUAGCAGAGGGAAGUUUUUCAACUUUCGGUUCUUCCUCGCAUUGAAACAGGGUAUUAAGAUCCGUCUCUGAUGGCUCAAAAUGUCUCUACCUCUAAAGCUCAGCUGAUUUAUCAAUAUGCAUCCCUUCCUCACUACUUGCUACUUCCAUUGCACUGGGAAUAAGCUGAAGAAAUCACCAGAAAAGUCUGAAGGUGAUGCUAGAGACUGAACGUAGAAAGUGAGUAUGCCAGAGCAAUCACCGGAGAAGGUGCAAAGGAUCAAUGGAGAAGACGACUGUAGAAGGAGUGAGUAGAGUAUUAAACCACCAAUUCAUCCCAAAGCUUAAGCUAGUGGUUGAAGACAAAUUUAAUUAUGUAUCUCUAACACUCCCCUCAAUUGUGGGCUUGAAAUAUUUGAAAGGCCCAACAAGUGGAAAUCAAUUUUAAUUGGAGAGGAAAUGACAAUGCAGAGCUUGAACAUAGGAUCUCCUGGACCACCUGCUCUGAUACCAUAUUAAAUCACCAAUACAUCCGAAAGCUUAAGCUAGUAGUUGAAGGAAAAUUUAAUUAUGUAUCUCUAAUAGAGAGAGAGAAUACUUUACCUUGUUCUGCUGAAAAUUGGAAAAUCAACAAGAUCCUUUUCAGUAUUUGAAAAAAAUAACGUACGUUAAAUCCAAUGCUGGCCAUCUACAAAGGAUUUUAUUUUAUUUUCAUGAGUUUUCUGAUAACCAAAAUUUGAGGUUCACGUAAUAAUGCAAAUCUAAAAUAACUUUUUAUUCAAACCGUCAAAUUAGCCCAAACAGCUCGUAGAUACAAGUAUGUGUAGGUGGGGCAGCAGCCUCCAAAGAGGAGAAGAUUAAUUAAUUGGCUGAAACAAUAAGCCCAAGGUAAAAAACCUGAAACUUACCUAGGUAAAAACAACAUUUAUCUAACAUUAAAGAACGGCCAAGGAUGGGUAUAACUUAGGAAAUAUCAAGAAAUACAAAACUACUCAAGAAACACACUAGAUAAUGUAAGCUGGCCCAAACACUCACGCUAUGAAAUAAAAUCAUCCUUAGUGCCUCUCAACCUUAUCUAAAGAUGCCUAUUUUCUUAAUUUAAUUACUAGUAUAUUUAUUACAUAAAUAUGUCAUAAUGGUUUUUAUUUUUAGAAAAAUAAUUGAACAGAAGCCUUGUGUGAAACAUGGUUGUUUUGUUGGUUCUUUUUAUUAGGAUUCUGUUGGUUGUAAAUAUGUUAAUUAGCUAUAAAACCAUUAAUGGUUUUAUUUUAUGAUUAUUUCCUUCUAUGUAUCAAGUAUUUCUCUAUGUAUCUUACAUUAAAAUCAUUGGAAUACAAACAUCUUAUUUUAUUCAACUCAAGAUGGUAUCAAAGUACAUGAAGCCUAAAUGGGCAUUCAGUCCAAAAAAGAAAAAGAUUUUUUUUUUGUGAUAUGAUCCAAGAAUAAUGAACUCAAAAUAGGCAGCCUUAAGGAGGCAUGUUGAGGAUCUCAUAUAGGGAAAAUCAAUGAACCUCAUACUCUUUAGAAAAUAGAUGGAUUACAUCUCUCAUAUUGUGAUUGGUUUUGAGAUGGAACCUAAUAGAUUCCUUCUUCUAUCUCUGAAGAAGGUGAUGGGGUCGUGGAUGUUGAAACUCCUUGGUAUGUCUCCUCUAUGAUUUUUGAGGAGUUGGUUGGUAGUGGUUCUAAUUUUUUUCAAUGAAGCUAUCUUAAAAAAAAAAAAAGGGAAAAAAAAGAGAGAAUAGAAAACUUAUGCAUUGAAUUUAUGAAAUUUGGACGAAUAUAUUAUAGAAUACCUCAAUGACAAAAUAAAAUUAUAUGUUAUUUAAUUAUUAUACUAGUGAGAUCUUCCAAAAACAUGAAAGUUCCCUUUGUUUCUUUUACUUUCUAUGUCUCAUUGUAUUUCGAGCAGUAACUUCCUUUCAUUCAUCAAUGAAAAAUAUUCUUUCCUUUUCAAAGAGAAAAAGACUAAAAUUGUUACAACCAAAUUAGCAAACUAAACUCGGAAGGUGAAUAUAUGUACUGAUAUAAUUUUUAUUAAUAGACUUGAGUUGAGGCUGAAAACUAUAUGGUCUAUGUGAGUGGUGGUUUGACUGUUUGAGUGAAAUUAUACAACUAUUUAUGUAGCCUAAGUAACCUCAUGGAGAAAUCCUCCAAGAACCAAGGUUGUGGAUUUUUUAUUAGAAUGAAUAAUGUGUUUUAUACAAGAGGAGAAGUUUCCUAUUUAUAGAGUUCUAUUACAAUUGGGGUAAAAAGGGAAUUAACCUAGAAUAUUACCUAAUUACUCAAUUAACCCUUAGUCUUCUUACAUCAACUGUUAUGGAAAAGGAAGGAAAGAGAGAGAAAAAUUAUUAUUUUUAAGAUGGAACCUUAUAUUAUUUAAUUAUUGUAUGUAUCAGAAUCCAUAAAGUCCAAACGAGUGUUUGGUCUCCAAUAUGAUGAACCUAAAAGAGGUACCACCUUGAAUAGGGGUGUACAUGAGUUGGGUUGUCGAGUUAUUUAUUAAACAAAAAGUAAGGAAAGGGGGGAGUUAUGGCUGACAAAAUGCUUCGUUUCUAUGUUGUAUUCUCUAACUAAACCUUUUUAAAUUAGUUGUUGAGUGUAACUUAUAUUUCUUGGAGUUGUAUGUUUUAACUUGAGUAGGGUUCUAUUCUGCUUACUUUUCUAUUUUUCAUCAAAUCAAUGAAAUUUCUGAGGUGUACAUUAAAAAGAAUUAAAUAAUAUCCAUAUAUUAUAUAAUUACUACAAAUUGAUUUUUUUUAAAAAAAAACUUAUGAAAAGUUCAAUUAAAUUUGCAUUUGAUUUCAUUGCAGAUAUGAAAGGAAAGAUUAGAGUUUAUUGUCGGCUUCGACCUCUUAAUGAUAAAGAAAUUAUGGAAAAAGAGAAAAAUGUGCUUACUAGUCUAGAUGAGUUCACAGUUGAACAUCUAUGGAAGGAUGAUAAGCUGAGGCAACAUAUGUACGAUCAUGUAUUUGAUGGCACUGCCUCCCAGGAAGAUGUUUUUGAAGAUACACGGGCAAGUUCAAUAGAACUCAAGAGCUUCAUUUAUUUAUUUUGAUAAAUAGAACUUUGUUGUUCUUUUAGCUGUCAUGAAAAUAGAAAACAUUAAUUGAUACUCUUUUGUACAAUCUUAAUGCAGUAUCUUGUCCAGUCUGCUGUAGAUGGUUAUAACGUAUGCAUCUUUGCUUAUGGUCAAACUGGUUCUGGGAAGACAUUUACAAUAUAUGGAUCUGAGGACCACCCUGGAUUAACACCUCGUGCAAUUGGAGAACUUUUUAGGAUUUUGAAGCGGGAUAGUAACAAGUUCUCAUUUUCUUUGAAGGUAAUGAUUUACAUUCGCCAAUAUUAAGUUAUGUCUUACUCAGUACCUUUCUUGAGUUUGUAGAUCACUGUAUACUGUGUAUAAAUUAUAUAUCACGGAAAUAGAUGGCUCGGUACUCUCUCUAGAGUUCAAUGAUCAGAAUGCGCAAUGUUUUAUACACUGGCUUUCAUACAAAAUGCCUUGUUGGUUCUAGUUUUUUCCACGUGUGAAUAAAUUUGAUUACAAUGCGUAUUUGAAGAUUGUUAAAAUGCAUAAAUGGAUUCUGUCUUUCUCACUCAUACUCUGCUUUGAUUUAGGCUUACAUGGUAGAAUUAUAUCAAGAUACGUUGGUAGAUCUUCUUCUGCCAAGGAAUGCAAAACGAUCGAGAUUAGAGAUAAAAAAGGAUACAAAGGUUAAUAUUUUAACAUUUGAUCGUUUGUGAUUUUUGCAAUUUACCCGGAUUUCAAUUUAUUUGAGUUAUUAUGUUUCUAACUUUAGUGGGAUGAUUAUUUGCUGAGGUUAGGGAAUGGUAUCCAUUGAAAACGUUACAAUAGCUUCUAUCUCAACAUUUGAAGAAUUAAAAAGUAUUAUUUAUAGAGGAUCGGAGCAACGGCAUACUUCAGAGACUCAAAUGAACGAAGAAAGUUCAAGAUCACAUUUGAUACUUUCAAUUGUUAUUGAAAGUACCAACCUUCAGACGCAAUCUGUUUCUAAAGGGAAGGUAUGGCAAUAACUUUAGUAGUUUCAAUAUUUUUAUUUAUAGUGAAGGAUGUCUGAGAGGUCGUAUGAUUUAAAUAUGAAAAUACACUAUUUGUCCUGGUAUGUUUGCAUUUUCUUCAUUCAUAAGAGACAAUUACUUUACAAAUGGUAGAUAUGAUUUAAAAAUUUAACGAGCUUUUCAUGGAAUAAACAAAUGAAUGUUGCUUCUUACCAUGUAACAACUUGAUUAUCUUUUAUGCAGCUUAGUUUUGUUGACCUUGCGGGAUCAGAGAGAGUGAAGAAAUCAGGCUCUUCUGGUAGCCAACUUAAGGAAGCUCAAAGCAUAAAUAAAUCACUUUCGGCACUUGGAGAUGUCAUCAGUGCUUUGUCUUCAGGGGGUCAACACAUACCUUACAGAAAUCACAAGCUCACUAUGUUGAUGAGUGAUUCACUCGGUGGUAAUGCCAAAACGCUCAUGUUUGUCAAUGUCUCUCCAGCCGAAUCCAACCUGGAUGAGACAUACAAUUCACUCAUGUAUGGUAUCCUUUUCUUUACCAUAUACACUUUAAAGAAUUUACUAAAUUAUAUAUUAUUUUAUAAACCAAUUGGGAAUUUUUGUUAAAAUAUCUUCUAUGAUUUAUGUAUAUUUGAAAUUGUCAUGAAGUAUGUUUUUGACAUGCAGAUUUAUCUAGAAGUUGGUAAAUGUGGUCAUGAGUAUUUCUAGACUCAUCAACUAUUCAUUAAACAUAAAACUUCAUUUACUUAUUCAUUUUAGCUCAGAAGAAAAACGAUGAGAAUAAUAUAUUAAAAGUAUUUUAAACGAAUUGAAAGAAGUUUUACCAUCAAAUAUGGAUGGAAAAUGCGGACUUUGUAGAAAAAAAUUGUAUCUUUACAUUGAAGCUUCUUUUUAUGAAUUUGUUUUGUAUUUCAGGUAUGCAUCAAGAGUUCGAUCAAUUGUUAAUGAUCCAAGCAAAAAUGUAUCUUCUAAGGAGGUUGCUCGACUGAAAAAAAUGGUUGCUUAUUGGAAAGAACAAGCAGGUAGAAGGGGAGAGGAUGAGGAGCUGGAAGAAAUCCAAAACGAGCGACAUACUAAAGAAAAAGGAGACGUUAGAUAUUCCAUGUAGAACCUUUAGUACGUUGCAAUUAUCAAGUAUAUAGCUUGGUAGGUAGGGUUGGACGAUGAGAAGUGAAUUGACUAAAUGCCAUUUGUUACCAUUCUUACGUCUGAUUGAAUAUUGCCCAUUGGAAAUUUGGUUUGUAACUAGCUUAGCUUUUUUAGGAUGUCUUCCAUUGUAUAGUUCGAGUAGUUUUGUAUUGUAUAUAUGGACAAAUGUGUUGUCUUAUCUAUAGGCUACUUCUGUAAUUAAUGAAUACUUCAGCCCCCCGGGUACUUCUGUUUUGAUUUGAAUGAACUUUCAAUUCCAUCCAGCUACACACCCUUGCAAUAUAUUAUAUAUAUAUAUGUAUCAUCGUGAACAAAUUGUCUAAUGUAAUUGAAAAAAUUGCAUUGUCAUUGCGAAUGGUAGUAGUAGAUGUUUAAGUAAAAUUUCUAAUUCUUUAUUAGACCGUCAAUAAUGUAAUAUUGUAUCAGUUUUCAUCACUAGACAUUGACCAAAACAAAUAAAAGAAACUUCUGAAAGACUAGUCUGGAUUCAAAAUAAAAGUGCCUUCAAACCAAUUUUAAUGGGUAUUAAAACUCAUAACCAAACCACCAAAAAAUCACUCAAAAACAACCGGAUAGCAGCGGAAACGAGUAGAUCCGGCGGCGGAGAUGUGUGAGUGGUGGCCGUCGACGGUGGAGGUGGACGAGCAGCCGGUAAAACAGAAGUGCAAACGGGCCGCGGUGGUGACCCUUGGGGUAAAGAAGAUUUGAAAAUAUUUUCUUCUCUUUUUCUUGUUACCUUUCACGUUUCCCAACCAAACCCUAACAUAAAUAACCCAAAGAGAAUAAUAACCAUAUUAUUAUUUAUUUCCUUUUUCCUAAAUAAUAUAAAAUAAUUAUAUGUAUUUACUUUAUCUUUCCUAAUUAAUUUUAUUUUGCCCCAUAUAAUCAAUAAAUACAAACCCACUCUCCUUAUUAAAUAUAUUUUCAUUUUUUGAAAAUAAAUACAUACAUCAUCCCUCUCACUCACAAUCAUUUUCUUUUUCUCUUUUUUUUUUUUGGCACAAAACUUCACCAUUUCUCGAACGAGACCCAUUACCAUUACUAGCUGGAUGUGAGUUUUCAACGUUAUUUUGAAACCAACCUAAAUUGGGUCAAUUUUUUGAGAUAUAACAUUGACCAUUUUUCGAAUGUUUUGGAUGUCACCUUAAUUAGUGCACCACAAAGUAGCACCAAUUGCCAUCCUUUCAAUUUUUUGUGCAAUAAACCAUGUCCAAGAUACGAUCUCAUACUUAUGAGUCUAGAAUCCUUAAACUAAAAAGGUACAAGAUCAAAACAAAUAAAAGAAACACUAGAAAGAUUAGUUUGGACUUCAAAAUAAAACUUAGUCUAAGACUUCACUAAUAAUCUUUUUUUGGAAAAAAAACUUCUAACAUUUCUCUAACCAAGACCAACUACUAGACACACUUUGGGAAUUUUCAACAUUUUCUUAAGCUUGUCAAAAUUGAAUCAUUUUUCAUAUGCUAUAUCAUUGACCAUUUUUCGAAUGUUUUGGGUGCCACUUUAGUGCAAAACAAAAAAGCACCAUUCGCGACUCUUAGCUUAAUUUUCUGUGUUAUAGACCAUGCAAAAGAUACGAUCCUAUAAUUGUUGAUCUAGAAUUCCUUAACCAAAGAGGUGCAUGACCAAACGAAAUUAAAAAAAAACCAUAGAAAGACUAAUUUGGACCCCUAAAUAAAAAUUGUGUAUGAGAUUUCAUUGAUCAAUUUUUUGAGAAAAAACUUCAGCAUUUCUCUAAUGAGAACAAUUACCAACUCGAUGUAAAUUUUAAGCACUUCUUAAAACUAACCAAAAGGGGGUCAUUUUUCAUAGGUGUUAAUUGGCUAUUUAUCGAACAUUUUGGGUGCACCUUAGUCCACCACAAAGAAGCAUCAAUUGCGACCCAUAGUUCAAUAUCAUGUGCUAUAGAACAUGCAAAAGAUACGAUCUUACACUUAUAAGCCUAAAAUCCUUGAACUAAAGAGGUGCAUGACCAAAACAAAUAAAAGAAUCCAUAAAAAUACUAGUUUAGACCCCAAAAUAAAAAUUGUGUAUGAGGCUUUACUAAUCAAUUUUUUGGGAACAAACUUCAACUUUCUCGUACACAUACUAUUUACUAGUUUGUUCUGAAUUUUCAGCAGUUUUUUGAACUUGCCAAAAUUGGGUCAUUUUUCAUAGGUGUGCAAGCCAUUUUUCGAACAUUUGGGUGCCACCUUAGUGCACCACCAAGGAGCAACAAACGUGACCCUUAGCUCAAUUUUCUUUGUCAUAGACCAUAACAAACAUACAAUCUCACACUUAUCAUCAGUCUAGAAUGCCUGAAAUAAAGAGGCACAUGACCAAAAAAAAAAAAAAAUGAAAGAAAUUGUAGAAAGACUAGUUUAGACCCUAAAAUAAAAAGUGAGUGUGGGACUUCAGUGAUAAAUUUUUUUUUGUUAAAAAGCUUAAACAUUUCUCUAAAUGAGAUCAAUUACAAGAUGGAUGUGAAUUUUCAACUGGUUUUCUGGACGUUUUGAGUGCUCCCUAAGUCCACCAUUAAGGAGCACCAAUUGUGACCCUUAGCUCAUUUUCUAUGUCAUAAAACAUCCCAAAUAUAUGAUCCCACACUUAUUCGUCUAGAAUCCCUAAACUAAAGAGGUGCAUUACCAAAACAAAUAAAAGAAACUCUUGAAAGACUAGUUUGAACCCAAAAAUAAAAACUAAGCAUGUGGCUUGAGUUAUCAUUUAAAAAAAAAAAAAAACUUACAUUCAUUUAAAUGAGACCAAUUGCUAGUUUGGUGUGAAUUUUCAACAUUUGUGAAUAUGCCAAUUUUCAACACUCAUUCCUCUAAAUGAGCGGCGGGGAACGACGACGACAAAUCUCUUCUUCUUCUUCUCUCUCUCAUGCUCCUUCUUCUCUUUUGAUUUUUUAAUUUAACAUAAUGAAAUGAGUUUAUUAAAAGGGGAACUCCCGAUGUAUCUUGAAAACGUCGGGAAAUCCACCCCCAUUCCCGAUGCAUAACUAAUGGUGUUGGGCAUGGUGAUCAUUUUUUCCAACGUUCUGACGUCGCGCAAAGUAAAGUUAACGAUAUAAUUAAUUCUUCAGCCUUGUCCGACACGACACUAUAGACGUCAAAAGUACCAAAGGCAGUCCCGACAUGCUCAAUAUAAACGUCGAGGCUUGGCCACAUUUUCCCAGCGUGCAUGGACACAUGGACAAUAUGUCUAUAACAAUAACAAUACUACUUAUGGUUAUUUACAUAUUAGUUAUGGUCAUUCAAGUGAUUGUGGUUCCUAUGGUUAUAUUGACAGUUGUAACAUAUCGGUUUGCAUAAGGAGACCACAACUUCCUCAUGAAAGUGAUGGAAAUUCAUACUCAAAGUCUCUAUAUUAUCUAGAUUCUUCAAAGUCAUCCUCAUUAGGGUGGAAUAUGGUUUGAUCCAAGGUAUUGUCCUAUUGGUAGCAUUGAGGUUGAUAAUGAGAUUCAUGGAUGACAUACUUUCAAUUAUGUUGGAAACUUUUAGUAUACUAAAAAAUAUUAUCAUUUGAAAUCGAACAUGAUUAUUUCUUUUUCUCCUCCUUCGAGAUUUGAUGUUCCAACUUACUCCUUCACCGGGUUUUCCUAUUGCUCUAAUUCUUGGUUCACCAGCUCUAUGGUCAUGUUGCAUGCGUGAAUUGAGAUUCUCAAGUGUGGGGGCUAAGUUCUUUAUUUUGUUGACUCUUCCCACAUUGUCAUAAGCUUGGCCACCCCCAUUGAAAAAUGUUGGUUUUUGAAAAAUUUUAAUUAGAAAUUUGAGUUGGAAAAUGUUGUAUUUUAAAAAGAAUGAAAAAUAGAUACUUUUAGAUAUAUCAGUUGAAAAUAUGGAGAAUAUCCACGACAUUCAUUUGAUAGUUCCACAAUAUUUGUCGAUGCAUUCACAUUUACCAAUUUUUGUAUGGAUAAUAUUCACAAAAUGGAUAUUAUCUAUGUAUGGAAAAUUUUGAUCGGUUUGUCAUUGGGGACAACCAUUUUUCAACCCUCGUAAUAGUAUCAUGAGGUUUAGUGUAUGCUCUUUUCCAUAAACUAGUCUAUCUAUUCAAUGAAAAAAAAAAGAAACUUUCCUGGUGAUCAUUAUCUCCCUUAUUUGAAUACAUUUAACAUUAGACCUAAAAAGUUGAGAUCUAUGAAGAAUGUUUAAGUGCCUAUUACAACUCCAACCAUACCUUACACAUUGAAGAAAAAGAAAGAGAGAAGAAAAAUGAAGCAUGGGCGUAAAAACAAAACUUCACUGAAAUGGUAGUGGAAAUUGGAAGUAACAAGUACGACGUGACUUUCACUCAAGCUUCCACAACUGCUUCAGCAAAUUAGUAAAAAGGGCUGGCAACUAGAAAGUCCUGUGCUCGGUUCUUUCUGGAUAUAUUGCGAAUUGCGAUAACUUCUCCAUUUCUGGGGGAAACGGAGUAGUAGGAUGGGGAUGGGGAUGGGGAUGGGGGUGGCGAGGGAUGAGAUAGAUAAAAUCUCAGAACCUUCCGUCACAGUUUUCAAGGGAGGCGGUGGGUCGGCGACCAAAUGGCGGAUGAUGCACAUAAUAGUAGCCCUGGGAAUUUGGCUUGGCGGUAUUCAUCUCAAUUUUGCUCUAGGCCUCAUAUCCCUCUUCUACCUCUCCCUGUCCAAAGCCCUCUUGUGAGUUUUGUUUUUCUCAUUCUCUCAUCCCUUUUUUACCUUUUCCUUUGGGUGCGUCUCUUUCUAAUCUCUCUCUCUCUCUCUUUUUAAGGGUUUUCGCUUUACUUUUGAUAUUAGUGUUAAUUCCUGUCGACCAUAAAAGCAAAUACGGCCGCGUAUUGGCUAGGUAUGUUUUGCACCUCUUUUCGUUGGCCCCCCUCUCCUUCUUCUUCUUUCAUCAAUCUGUUGUCCCCCCUCUCUCUGCUUAUAAUCUGCUGUUUGCUUUCAGAUAUAUAUGUCAAAAUGCUUGCAGCUAUUUUCCAGUUACUCUACAUGUUGAGGAUAUACAUGCGUUUGAUACCAAUCGUGCUUAUGGUUAGUGACUGCUGUUUUUAUUUGUUACUUUAUUUUUUCAUCCCCUUCUACAAUUGUUCGGUCUCUCUCUCACCAUCGUAGAAGAAAUUAUUUAUUUAUUUUUUUAAAAAAAACCAUAAAAGAAAUAUGAGAAACGAGAUGUUUGGUUAUAGGAAACUUGGCUCCUCGUAUCUUGUCUUAAUACCUUGUUUAUGGCACAAGGUUAUAAUGAGCAAACAUGCAUGAUAUCCUAUUGGGUGCAUUUUGGUUUUUAGUGCCUCUAAGAUUACUGAAUGAGGCUACACUUCCCAAAUUGUUGUGUGGUCGGAUUUUUGUGGCUGAGCAUGAACCACCACUCUUUUGAGUCGUUUCCAAGUAGUGGAAGGGCUUGAGCAAGAGCUUUGGAUUUUAUACAACAUCUUACGUACUCCACUUUUUUUUUUCAAGUGUUAUUGUGUUCUUUCAUUGUUUCUCAAGGAAAGCAAUUGUUUCUAAAAACAGAAAAAGAAGUGUACUCCUCAUAACGUCUCUGGGGCUUAUGCCUCAAGGAUGUCUUGAAGCCUUUCAAAACAUGGAUAAUCAUUUUGUAUUUGCGUUUAGUGGUUUCCUUUUUGUUUUCUGCUUCCAUUUUGGUUUAGGUGAUAAAAAACUUAUGUUCUUUCUUUAUUUUGUAUUACCUAAAGUUUUGUUUCCCAAAUAAAAAAAACAAACAAACAAAUAAGUUGGUAAUAAAUUACAAUAGUAGGAAACGACAAUACAGUAGUCUUCUAUCAUUGUCCUUGUUUGAUAGAGGAAUCAACUGAAUCCAAAGGAGAAAUCUUCACUUUCUUCCUUGGGGGACUGUGCAUCUUUUUCCUUAUUUUUUAUGGAUAUUUCUUUUAUUUAAGAAAUCCUUUAUUUUCAGAGAAAAUAUUUGGAAAAUACAUUUUUUUGAGCAAUUUUAUUUUCCAAUGUUGUAGUUUUUGGUUAUGAGCCACAUUCAGUUUUACCUAUUGGUGUUGUUGCGUUGGCCGACCUUACUGGUUUCAUGCCUCUCAAAAAAUUGAAAGUCCUUGCAAGUUCUGCUGUAAGACUUCUUUCUUUUCAUUCUAGGCAUUUACUAGCUUUCUUUGUAACUUCUAAUCGUUUCAUCAUGUGCGGGGUAUUCUACCAGGUGUUUUAUACUCCGUUUUUGAGGCACAUAUGGACAUGGAUGGGCCUAACGCCAGCGACAAGGAAAAAUUUUAUCUCCCUCUUGGCAGCUGGCUAUAGUUGCAUCAUUGUGCCUGGUGGAGUACAAGAGACAUUUCAUAUGGAGCAUAAUUCGGAGGUCUUUAUCCAUCCUUUCUUUACCUGUAAAUUUUGACAUUGAUUCUUCUAUCUUUAUUUGAUUUAUUUACACUUUCCUCCAUUUUAUUAGAAGGUUAAGGCUUAUCCACUUGCACAAUGGAGCCAAGAUAGAUAAAACUCUAGUCCCUUCUUGUUUGUCUAUUUUGAACUUAGCCAGAGCAUUGCUAAAUUUUCUCUCUUUUUCUUCUACAUUCUCCUAUUUUCUAGUAUCAAAAGGUAGAUAUAACUGCUGGAUUUUGCUGCUUCAAGCAUUCUGGAGUUACUUUUCCUUUGUGAUCAGUGCUAGAUGAGUUUGUUUUUUGUAAUUUUUUGGGGUCUUAAUCUAGUUGAGAUGUCUGAGAUGCUCCUGAUCCUUGAUCCUUGGUUUCUUUGCUCAUUGUAUGUUCCUCUUGUACUUUGAGCUUUUGUCUCCUUAUUAAUAUAUUAAUGAAAGAGGUUGUUUCCUUUUCAAAAAAUAAUGGUGCUUAGUAUGGAGCAUGUAAGCCUUAAAUUAAUUAAUAACAUUUUACAAAUCCUCAAUUGGUAUGAACAAGUAUUGUUGAACAUAAUAGUUAUAUAAAAAUUAAAAAGUAACAAAUUCCCACACUAAACAAAAAAUCUACUUCACUACUAUUAUUAAUAGGAUGGACUUAUAAACAUUUUUUAUCAAUAAAGUCAUAGUAGUAGUAAGAGUCAAUGUUUUCGAGGCAACCCAUGGUUCACUCCUAAGGCGAGAUGUGAGGCAAACCAAAGCCAUUGAUGGUGAGGCAACAAGGCUACAGCAAAAGAAUAUCCUUUCAGAAAGAUCCUUGGAUUGACAAUUAGUCUUAUGUUCAUGUCUUCCUCGUCUUUUCAGGAUAGCAUUGUUGCCCGAUGGGUAUGUAUUUGACCCUUAGGAUGGUGAAACUUUAUCAUGAGUAGUUUUCUUUAGAAGACUGUUGAAAGAAGUUGAAAUUCAAGAUUUUGAGCCAUUACUACAAAUCGGCAUUGGUGGUUCACAAAUAAAAACCAAAUAUGUCUAAUUCUAACUCCUUCUUGUGCUAGUUGCUUCACAACAUUCAUGAAAAUGGCCCUAACCAUUAGCACUUCUGGAAACAGAUCUUUUGAAGUAUGGUGGCAGAUGAACCAUCAUGGGUUGGCCUAAUGGUAAAAAGGUCAUUACUUAACUAAGAGGUCAUGGGUUCGAUCCAUGGUGGCCAUCUACCUAGGAAAUAAUUUUCUAUGAGUUUCCUUGACAGCCAAAUGUUGUAGGGUUAGGCGGGUUGUUCCGUGAGAUUAGUUGAGGUUCGCGUAAGCUGGCCCGAACACUCAUGGAUAUAAAAAGAAAUAUAUGGUGGCAGACGAAUACAUUUUUGGUUAGACACUUGGAUUGUUGAUUCUUCUCUAAAAGUUGAUAUUCCUUUUCUAUUCAACAUAGGUUCUCCCUCCAAUUGUUUGGUUUAUGAUAAUUGGGAUGGUAAUUUUCGUUCAUGGAACAUUAUCUUUCGAUCAUCGCUCAUAGAUGAAGAUCGUUCAAAGAUGAGAUUCUUGUUUCUCGGAUCUUUACAGGUAAAAAAGUGAAAUUUGGAAGUCUGGGACUCUUAAAAGAAUCAACAUUCUUAUUUGGAUAAUGAGUUCUGGAUUGCAGAAUUGUUUUGAGCUUUCUUGAAAGAAAUCUUCCUUUGCAUUGCCCAUCACCUUUUAUUUGCUUUCUUUGCAUGAAGUAUAGGGACACCUUGCAACAUUUAUUUUUUGAUUCUAUUUAUUGAAGGCAAUGUUGGUGGAAACCCUCCACGCAUCCCACUAUUGUUCCUUUAUUAGUUGGUCUCAGAUGUGGCAUUAGCGUCCAAACUUUUGUGGUCUAAUGUGGUCUAAUGGGCUGAAAGAGUGCAACUAGAGAGUUCAAGUCUCUUCCUUAGGAUGACCGUUUUGGUUCAGCUUGUCUGAAAGCCUCCCCUCAUGAUGUUCUUUCUCUAAAAGCUUGGCAAACUACUCUAUUUGGGAUAUUUGUCUUAAUUGGAAUGCUUUAAUGGAAGUGUCUGUUUCCUUUUAAAAAAAACUUUUGAUUAUAAGAACAAUAUCUAUCGACAUUCUGUUACGGGAAAAAAUGUUGAGGUGGUCGCAACACUAAAAGAAAGAUGAUUUUUUUCUUCAAAAAAAGAAGGAAACAGAAGAAAAGAGAAAAUAAGAAGUCCGUAUUUCUCUUACCACCACAAAAUUAGGAAACAAAAGAGGAGAAAGCCUGCAGCUACCAUUCAGGUCGGUAUUUCUCUUGUCCCAUUGAUGAUAAAAUUAAGUUUGUUCUAGUGUGUCACUUCUUGCUUUUAAAGUGUAAACUUGUCAAAUUCUGAGGUUUUAGCUUCAGAAUAAUUUGUCAGAUCAUUUUAAUGUCCUAAGCAAUGCCUUUUGGUCUUUUUGUACUCUAACCCCCCCCCCCCGGCACACACACACCAAAUAAGGAAAAUAAUUGUCCAAAAAUGGGUCCAGUUAGAGGUAGGACGGUGGUCUGGCUUGGCGGGAGUUCUUAGUUAGAGUAGAUUAUGGAUUAUGUAAGGAAUCAUUAUGGAUGCAGUAGGUCGAUUAAUAUAAAAUAAAAUAACACUAACAGCAACAAUAGUCACGAGCCUCCUUUUGUUUGGUUGAGGCAUAAAUCCUGAGACACCUCAAAGCCCUCUUGCUAAAGGCUUAUGGUUAACAUUCAGGGAGAGGAAAAGGAAAUGUAAUUAGUAGAACUUCUUGCUUUUCUGUAAAGUUGGGUUGCAGUAAUCAUUCUCAUUCCAUGAGAAGCUUGGCAGGAUUGACAAUUCUGAAAUUCACUUUGUAGACUGUCUUCCUCAAGACAAGACGAGGAUUUGUUCGUAUAGCGAUGGAGAUGGGUACACCACUGGUCCCAGUUUUCUGCUUUGGUCAGGUAUUUUUCUAAUGUUUUCGUAGUGUUAUAUUUCUCGUGCUAUAAUUUGUAUUUUAAAAUUUGAUUUUGAUCAGUUUCCUCCAAAUUCAUGUAGUCAAGUGUCUAUCAAUGGUGGAAACCUGGUGGUAAGUUUUUCCUCCAAUUUUCAAGAGCAAUCAAGUUCACACCAAUUGUCUUCUGGGGAGUUUUUGGGUAUGUGUAUAUUUUCUCGCCGAGUCUUCACAAAUAUCAUGCUCUUCUCUUAUCUUACCAUGCUGUUCUUGUCCAUCUUGCUAAAAAAGAAAGAGCACGUCUUGUUAAAUGGUUGCGUGGUUGCAUUGUUGUAUGAUUGUAUCUAGAUUAUUGCUUUUAGGAGUCUACUUUAAAUAUAUGUAUUUUUAGUCAUUAUAUCAUCAAUUGUGCACAAAACUUCUAGCUUCGGAGUCGAAGCUCUAUUAUGUGCUCAUAACACAAACACUCCAUUUUAGUUAGUGUCUAGUGUCGGACACAGACAAACACCUGUCCAACAUGAAAAUUUACAUGUCCUAUUCUUAUUUGUUGUUUUCAAUUUUAAACAUGCGGGCCAUGUUUGGGAUACUUCCUGGACACGUCUAAACAAUUCUUUUAAAGAAUAAAGACAAAACAGCCCAACCUUUCUUGUUGCGAAUUUAAAGCCCAAAUCAAUUAUAUGUUGAAAGAUGGGGGAAGCCCCUUUUUAAAACCAGAUUUUCUUUAAAAAACUGAAGUUAGGAACCUUGGGUUUCAUCUCUUAUAAUUGUUAAUUAACUUCAUUCUUAAAUCAUCCAUUGACCUAAAAGUUUAAGUUGACGAUGGAAGACAAAUUUAAUAUUAUGUCAUCUAACACUCACCCUCACUUGUGGGUCUGUAAUUUGUAGAAGACCCAUUCUUGCCCUUCACUUCAUAGGGAUACUCUCCUGCAAUCAGGGAUGCCUAUUGUAGGCUUUUGUUGAACCUUCUAGGAGUUGCAUAGACUGCAACUUGAGGCAAGCUGAGUUUGGGUGUCAUUAACAACCAUGUAAUUGCUCAACUGUUCAGGAUUUAUGAUUAUUGUUAUUAUUUUCUUUUGUGUAUUUCCCUUUCGCAGGUUUUUUGAAAUCUAUUUAUUUUUCUACCUAAAAGGUCAUUAUGUACUCUGAAUUAUUAUAUUUAAUAAAUAUAAAAUUAACAGGUGCCAUUAACAACCUCGUAAUUGCUCAACAAUUCAGGAUGUCAGUGUUGACACUGCACAGUCAAUAUUGAAUUAUAUAUUUAGUUAUUUUUUUGGGAAAUUGGACCGGGCAAAACUAACUUCGCGCCAGCCUUGGGCUUUAGUUUGGUAAAAAUGUUGUAUACAUGCAAUUUAUUUUGAGAAAUUUGCCUCAAGAGGAGGAGGAACAAGAUGAUCCAUGAAAAAGUUCAAUAGUAUGUUAUAACAUUGGGAUCAAGUGUGUUGGUUGGUGAUCUUUGGUUUUGUUCGUAAGUUAAUCUAUCUAGUUCUAAUUUCAUCGUUACCUGCCUAUCAUUGAAUAUUGUUGUGUUUUCAGAUCGCCUCUUCCUUAUAGGCGGCAGAUGCAUGUGGUGGUGGGAAGACCCAUUGAGGUGAAGAAAAAUCCAAAUCCAACGAGUGAUGAGGUAGGUGUCUCAAAGGUCCAUUAACAAUUUAACAUAUAUGCUAGAAUGAUUGCAAUUCUUUACGAACGUUUAAGCAUACAUAAUAUUGACGUCAAAGAAUCUCUCUUUUUGGUCCUCUAUGGAACUCCACCGCCCAACUUUGUUUGGCUAGAUGAGUGCUGAGAAAGAGAGGUAGUGGGGGAGCUGAGGGGUCAAAACUAGUUGCCUUACUUUUUGAAUUUAACAAUCAUAAGUAGGAUUCAAACCGAUUGUUUGAGUAAGUUCUUUAGAAUUAUCUGCUUAGGGGGAUCAUUUACCAAGUCCUGUAUUUCAUUAUUCUUACAACUAUCAUGGUAAGUCCCAUAUCUCUUACAUGGUUUUUAUCAGGUGCUUGAUUUACACGGUCGGUUUGUUGAAGCACUCGAAAGUAUGUUUGAAAGGUAUAAAGGACAGCUUGGCUAUGAUGAUCUGCAGUUAAAUGUCCUUUGAUUAAAGGUUGAGAGAUUUAUUUGGUCCAACUUCAAUCAAUCCUGUACUCAUCUCUUGUAUUCAAGAAUAUCUGUAGCAAUGAUCGGAGUGCCCAUUAUUAUACAUUCGAGAUCUUUUGGCAAAUGAUGUGGGGUCCAGCAGAAUAGAAAACCAGGGUUUUAAAUCUUUGAGAAUAAUACACUUAAAUGGAAUUCGAAUUCAGUUAUGAAAUGUUGUAGGAUAAACCAACCCUUGUUGAAUUAGAAAUGAUGAUCAUAAGAUGGUUCGAUUAAUAAUUUAAUCUUUAAUAUUUUGUAGUCGGAUGCUAUAAUGGUUUACAAAUUGAAGGUUUUAACUCAAACCAUGCUCGAAAACUUCGAGGAUGGUGAUUUUAGAAAAAUAAUAAAUCACUAACAGUUGAAUUUUGAAGCAUUGUAGGAUGAAAUAUAUGUUUCGAAUUUUCUUUUAUUUUCAAUAUGUGCAUUCUUACCUCAAUAUCAAUCUGCAUGUUAUUGAUCUAACAAUAAAAUAAAUUAAUAAAAAUAUAUAUUUACUAUAAUUAUUUUUUAAAAAAUAAACUUUCAAAUAUAAAAUACCACUUUAGCAAUACAAUGGUUCUAAAAUCGCUUUUUGUAUUAAAUUGAAAAUUAAUUUUAAGAGUUUGUUAUCAAUUAUAGAUUUGAUUGUUUGAGAAAGGGUAGUUUAGAUAUGAUUUUAAAAAAAUUGAUCGAAUUUUAAACAGGUAGUAAGCUUUUUAAAUUAAUCUUCAUAAUUUAGAAUUGAUCUUUAUAACCCUUAUGUUUGAUUCAAGGUUAAUUUAAAGUUGUCUAGUUAUUCAUUUAUUUUCUAUUUGAGAAACAAUUAUUUAAUUAAUUAAUUACAGUAUAAAUGUACUUCUAUUUAUUUUAUUUUAUAACUCAUAUACCUUUAUAUAUAUAUAUAUAUAUAUAUAUAAAAGAAUUUACGAAAACCAUCUAACUCGGAUAUAAUAAUAGAAGCAUUGCAUUUUAACAGAAGAAUGGUAUGCGGUAAUAUUGAGGCCAUCGAUGUUUCGCAACCACUUGUGGAGGUCCAAGUUCUGAUGGCGAUCGCUCUCCUUCAAGGCGUGCACCUCCUGCGCGAGAUAAACUAGAAAUAGACAACCUCCAAUUCAAAUUUCUGAAGAAUCACGUUAUUGAAACGGACAAUCGGAUUGGAAACGGUAUCAUAUAGGUGUGAUUUUUAGGGUUUCUUUCUGGGUUGCAUGUUCGUAAAAUUACAACCACACAUCAAAUCAGCAAUUUCAGGUUUGAAUCCCCAAGCAUGCAGCUCCUUCUCUUUUCCAGAUUAACCCAUUAGCAUCUGCAUCUCAUACCGUUUCCCCGUCUUCUCCCCCUCAAAAUGCAUAUCAUAUAAUACUACCUUGUCUCUCUUUUUCGUCAAUUUUAGGAAAAUGUGUGCAUGCUGUUCCGUUUAUUUGAUUCGAUUGAUGCAGGGAGGGCACGAGAAGCGAAUCUUAGGGUUAGGUUUUUCCAUAAAAGUUAAGAUGAGGAUCAUGGGUUGAGCGUUUUGUAUAGGAAGUUGCUGUCAUCUACCGAGUAUUGAUACUUUCAUGUCUUAUUUCUCAUAGACGCCAACUCCUUUUUACGGAUUUCUGGGUUGGGUUUCCCUUUUAUUAAGUGCAGCAUUUUUUUCCCCUUAUCUGUCUUCUGAAAAUUACGUGUUGCAUUCUUUCCUUCAUUUCUUAAACUUUCUUCUGGAAACCUAACUUCCAUUAGUAUUUACUUGUAGGAUUCUGAUUCUUCCGUUGGAACUGAAGAUGUGUGACGCGAAGGAGAAACAGGAAUCUGUACAAGAUGUGUCAACUGCUUUAAGUGAAGGAAACCAAGUUAAUGCAAAAGAAGAUGAGCUCCAUGAUUCUCUCUCUGUGCCAGCUGAGGCAACUCCAAACUCUUGCGAAAAAGAGAUUGAUUCACCUGGAACUUGUGUACAGGAAAUUGUACCUCUUGAGGAUAAUUUAGAAAAACCUACAAUUCUUCAGCAAUCCAAUCAAAUUUCUGGGCAUUCACUUCCCAUGGAUUAUGACCAAGAGUUGGAUAAGUCUGUUGCAGAACCUGCUUCCGAUGUCAAGUCUGGCCCUGUUGAGUUACCCUCGAGGGAUCUAGAUGCUGCUGUUUCCAGCUCUCCCCUAGAAACUGUUCAGUCCUCCAUAGAUGCCAAAUCUGAGGCCUCUAAGAUGCCUGAAAUUAAAACCUGUUCUCUUGAUGAUGCUUCAACAGUGAGUCACGAUGAACCUGUAACUCCCCAUCCAGUGUCAUCUUGUGUAAAAGCUGAAACAGAAAAUGCCAUAGAAUUGAAGGUCAAUGAAGACAUUGUUACUACACCACAUAAUGGGGAUUCAAACAUGAAUCACUCGUUUCUUUUGGAUGAAAAUCAUAUUGCUGAAGGUAGUGAAUCAGGAACAGAAGAAGAGCAAUCUGCUUUCAUGAAGGAGCUUGAGAACUUCUUCAGAGAAAGAAGCUUGGAAUUCAAACCUCCUAAGUUCUAUGGAGAGGGUCUGAAUUGCCUCAAGUAAUAUUUUUAUUCUUCUUUACUGUAGCAUGAUUUACAUCAUCCAAUAGGAAAUGGAGUUCUCAGCUCACAUUUUGAACUUUUUAUUAUAAGGUUGUGGAGGGCUGUGACUAGAUUGGGAGGCUAUGACAAGGUAUUUUUUGUUCUUUCUGUAAUGACCACAAUGUUUCUUGCUUCAAUGAUGACAUGUUUGGAUCGUGUGAAAUCUAAUAUAAAUAUUUCAAAGAUGCUUUUAGUUCCCAUGUGACUUUUUGUUUAGGGCUUAAGCUGCCUCGUACACAUUGAGGCUAUAAAAUGCAUUUGAGUUAGCACGGACACUUUAGUUUGGAUAGUGUGUUCGUGUCGGACACUUGGACACUUUGACACUUGGUGGACACCUUUUGUACCUUUUUAGUGCAGCAAAUGUAUUAGAUUUGCAUAGAACAUUCAUUGAUUAGACUAAAAAGGCGUAUAUAUGACAAUGAUAAUAACUUUUGGGCAUGGAAUACAUCAAGCUCAGUUUUUUAAGCAUAUAAAUGCAUCAAUUCAUUUACUAUGAAUUUUCUUUUACUAUAAAUAUGAUAUAUAUACUUUAAAUAUGAAUAUUUUAAUAAAUGUGUCCUUGCCUUGUCGUGUCCUAGAUUUUUAAAAUAUGGUGUGUCGUCGUGUCCGCGUCAUGUCGUAUUCAUGUCUCGUAUCUGUCUUCGUGCUUCUUUGGCUACUGUGCCUAAAUUUAAUGGUCGAGAAAAUGAACAUGGUAUUUAUAUCUUCAUGCAAAGUGUUUUAACUGCUCCCCUUCAUCAACCUUAGGGCAUAGGUAGUUAGGGGAGAAAAUUGCGGGUGUAUGAUUUACUUUUUUAUUUUGCUUUCUUCUCAUGAUAUUUCUUGUUUCAUUUGAUUCAAUUGUUUUUUUGGCUCUGAAAUCUUAUUUUUGACACAUCCAUCACUGGCAUCCUUUCUGGACAGGUGACUUCAUGCAAGUUGUGGCGUCAAGUAGGAGAGUCUUUCAAGCCUCCAAAGUAAGGACACAAUUGGUAGUCUAAUAUCAAAAUUUUCCUACGUGUGACACUGAGGGAGACAAGUUGCUGCUUUUCCCAAUCAUAUUUUUCGAAUUGUUAAUUUAGCUUAUGUUCUUUCACCUGUCUUUCUUAUUGAGUAAAAUUAGUUAUAGUGCCUGAAAUCUUGAACAGCAUAGCCUAAUGCCCAACCUAAUUCCGGUUUACAUUUAUACUAAAUCAUUGUUGACAAAUUCUUCAGGUAGUUUGAAGAAUAAAUGGUAUCAUGGUAUCUGAGUUGUAACAUCUCCAUUUUAGGAGGAUUUUUCUUUAUCUUUUACAUUACCUCAUCUUUCAGCCUAUAUAUGAUAAGCAUUCUUUUUUUUUUGGUUCUACAGGACAUGCACAACAGUUUCAUGGACAUUUCGAGGAUUUUAUGAGAAGGUGAUGGCGAAAAGAUAUUUUCUUUGAAUAUUUGUGUAUUUCCAUUGAUGUAUUUAUAUCCAUCUUUUGUAUGUGCAUCCUAUGGGAUUUUCAUAGUCACAGGUUUCUUACAAAUAAAAGGUUAGGGGAUUAUUAAUACUUCUUGUGGGUCAUUUGAAGUUUUGUAAUGUAAAUAUAAUCCAUUGCACUUGUUUCAAAUGGAUGAAGUUUUAAAUCCAUGUUUUCUUUCUUACCAUAGCAAGUAUUUUUUCAAUUUAUUAUCUGAGUUUUGUUGCACUCGUUUUACCCUUAGCUUUGUAUCAAGACUCAAGUGUCUCCAAUCUCUAUCUACUGCUUAGAAGCUCAUGGAAAGAGAAACGUAUAUAGUUGCAUAAGUUAUCUAACACAAUACUUUUGGUUGUAACUUCUCAAUUUUUUUUAGGCUCUUCUUGAUUAUGAGAGGCAUAAAACCAAUGGUGGUGAACUUAGUGUACCUAUUGCUUCCAACUCAGAACCGAUGAGUAUUGAAAACCAGGUAUUGCAGAAUUUCAAGCUCUGGACUUAUAUUAUUUUAUUUCUUCAUGACGAAUAGCUAAUAUUUUUUGGGCAAAUUUAUUUCUGUUAUAUUUUAUAUAUGAUAGCUAUUAUGGUGUUUUUUGCUCGUAAGAGGUAAGAGAGUUGAAGGUUACAUACAACGCAUUUCAUUUCAUAGAUUCAGGGCUAGUGACUGGUUUCAACUAUUAUUUAGUUUUUUUCACACUUUUAUAUGACUUGUGUUUAGCGAUACUUGGUUAUACCAAAUUUGGAUUUGAAAAAGGUUUUUAAUUCACUAUCAGAGGCUUACUCCCCAUUUUCCUUGUUGAGGCUUUUGCCUUACCUCUCCGUGAGGAAAAGGUCUUCUUUAGUCUUUUAAGACAUUGGUCAGAGACUCCCAAAUUUUGGUGGGAAAUUGUGUCAGGCUUUGAUAGAUGAUUGAUAUCUCUAGAAGCUUACUUAUUCCGUAAAAGUACAACAUUCCAUCAAAGAAAAUUUUCAAUAGACAAAUAGUGUUCAAUAAAAUCAUUGGUAUUAGUCCUGCCAAUAGCCACUGGCUAACCAAAAAGUGUAUUUUCUUUGAAUUUUUUAACGUCCAUAGCUUAGAUACGAACAAAAAGAAGCUGAAUCAUGAGGAUGGGUUUGAGGAGCUAACCAAAGAUCUGGAAUAAGAGAAGACAUCCAGUCCGAGGUCAUCUUAAAUGUUGCAUAUGUUAGAUCAUAAAAAAUAGUGGGGGCUAGUUUUAGGAAGUAUAGGUGUUAUUUGUUAAUAAUGCUGGUGUUAUUGAUCCUGCUCAUGUUUGUGUUAUAUUGCCCCGAGGAAAUAGCAUCCUGCUAAUAAUUGUUUGCCUCAAGGAUAUACCUAAGAGUCUAACUAGUACACGAUUGAACAAAUUAAUGUACAUACAGUCAAAUUUCUUCAGUAAUUUUAUACAUCCUGAUUUUCUCUCACACAACUUUAAUCAGGGAUCCGGAUCAGGUAGAGCACGAAGAGAUGCUGCUGCACGUGCCAUGCAAGGUUGGCACUCACAACGUCUUCUGGGAAAUGGUGAAGUUAGUGACCCUAUUAUCAAGGUCUGGUGAAUGCUGUGUUUCAUGGAUUGUUUUCUCUUGUGCAUCCUCAAUUUAUUCCCUUACCAUCCUUUUCCAAUGGAGUAUCAUGUUUAAUAAUCUCUGUAGGACAAGAACUCACUCUCAAUGCAGAAAAGGGAAAAACAACUAAAAAGCAUUGGUAAGCUUCUUUUGUGUUCUUCACAGCUAGGAUGGCUGCAUAUCUGUAAUUCUUUCUUCCUCUGGUUACAACUAUUAUUAAUAAUUUUUGGUUGAUGUAGGUCUUCUUAAACGUAAGAAACCAUCUUACAUGGAGCACUCCAUGAAAUCAGCACGUACAAAAUCACCAAAACCACAGUUAGUAAACUCUUUAUAUGGAUUUUUAUUUGUGCAUGUAAGAAAACAUUGGAUGGAAUGUUGGUAAAAAAAUUCCUGUUUGUGGCUUAGGUUGGACGUAGCAGUAGUUGAUAUUGGACAACCAGCCGACUGGGUCAAGGUCAAUGUGCAGAAAACUGUAAGUUGCGGAAGUAUGUUUUAAUGAAAAACACCAGUAAUAAUGAUCAUAGAGCCAACUCACGUAGUUCCGUUCUUGUGGCAGAAAGAUUGUUAUGAGGUCUAUGCAUUAGUUCCUGGACUACUCCGCGAGGAGGUACAUCAUUUCUGUUUUAUGCCUUUUCAUCAUUUGCAAUGUGUACAGUUGUCAUGGAGAAACCAUUUAAUUUGUUUUUCUAUUUUAUUUAAUCAAUAAAAACUUCUAAGAAGUUCAAUGGACAACGUAUUUGCUUGGGUUUUUUUUUUUUCUUGCAAUGGUUAAGAGAGAUGAGCAUCUUCUAUCUGUUUGCUGUUCUAGCAGCCUUUGGCUUGUGAGGCCUUGUGCUAUGAGCUCAAGGCAUCUUUACUUUUAACCUUUUUUUAUUGUUUUGGUCUGAAUUAGUACAUAUGUUUCAGUGUUGUCCGAGCAGUGUGUAAAUCUUUUCCAAAUUCUGUUUCUGCAGGUGCGUGUUCAGUCUGAUCCGGCAGGACGCUUGGUCAUUAGUGGUGACCCUGAACAUCCUGAUAAUCCAUGGGGUGUCACACCCUUCAAAAAGGUCCUUACUGACCGUAACUUUAUUAAGAAGCAGUUUAUUUUAGUAACCAGGAUUACCCUCAACAAUUUACAUUAUCGUUGAAAUUUACAAGACUUCCUACGUUUUCUCACUCUAAUCUGCUUUAUUUCCCUAAUUUCCUCACCCUCGGACCUUCAAAUUCUUUGCCUGGAAAGAGGCUGAAGAAAUAUUCAAUGCGUGUUUUUCAACGAUUAAAAUUAAUCUUGUGAAUUUAGAAAAAAUAUUCAAUGCUUAUUUUUUAUUGCAGGUGGUCAGCCUACCGUCAAGGAUUGAUCCACACCAGACUUCUGCCGUUGUCACCUUACAUGGACAGUUGUUUGUUCGUGUUCCAUUUGAACAGUUGGAAUGAAUGCAUUACAUAACCACUCAACUGAAGCUCGAUGUUCAAACCAAUCUUGUAGUUUGACGUGUUAGUCUGUUUUAUAAUGUUAAUACAGUUUGACAGUGGCAAAAGACCGUUUAGAUAGGCAGGAAACAUGAUUUUGUUUUGUUUUGUAAGAUCUUUGAUAGUGGUUAGCUAGUAUCGAAAAGCUAUUAAUGUAUCUUAUGUGAACUCCUAAUCUAAGUAUCCUUUACGGCGUAUUUAUAGUAGCAAGGAUACUACUGCUCAUUUUUUCUUGUUGACGGUUGCAUCAUUUUAGCCCUAGGAAAAAGGAGUACACCAAUUGGGAGUAUACUGUAACAAAUCUUGUAGAUGACAGCAUUGAAAUAGGAAAGCAGAUUGAUCAGCGUCAAUAUUAAGCAUGAACGUGAUGAUAUUUUCAUUUUCAAACAAACUAAGGUAUGUAGUUCAUAUAAAUUUAAAAUAGAAAUGUAAAUAUUUUAUAACACUUAAAAGAAAUCAACCAGAAAAGGAUACUCUUGCAACGUGAUGUAACAAUCAAUAUCCAUUUAAAAAAAUUAGAAGUUUACACAUUCAUUGUUCAGUUGCCAUUGAGGCCAAGUCUAAUUCUUCGUCGGAAUCAAUUACAUCCUCAAAAUCAUAAUAUGCUUUGACCUGCAUGUGAAGUAAUAACGGUUAGCUCCAUUUACAAGACCUCGAUAAGCAUAACAGUACGAUACAUCUAUUCUAUCAUCAUACAAGAUAAGAAAAAGGGCUACAAUUGAGAGGUGGAAUGUGAUUAAUCACCUUUACCAACAACUGAGGCAUUCUGAGCCUCUUUAAAGGGAAACCAAGAGGGUGUUGCGUUAAAGAAAGAUCUGAUUGGCCAUCAAGCAAAAGGACAAGAUGGUUUACGUCUUCAUUUUUUAUGCAGUGCAGAUACGAUCGUGGAUUAGCCAUUCCUCUCUUUUCUUUCAUCGCUCUUCUCUACUUGACCCGGUGCCUGGAGCUAAAACAAUCGGGGUGCAUAAAAGACUCGUUUUCACUCUUUCUUUGUUGAGUGCAUCAUUGGAACGUCAAAUUACAAACAGUACUUGUCCAGAUAUCUCUAGUUGGACUCCAAAUACAGUUUUCUAGAGAUCUUUAGAGAACUUGGGACUCAGAAGGCAUUUCAUUCAAGUUAAUAUUGAAGCUCAAACUCUUCAUUCAUUCCAAACUUUUUAUAUUAUACAUAACAUUCAUAUCCAUCUCACCUUUUAGCAAGAAGCGCUAGGUUAAAAGGCUAUUUCCACCCAAAAGCUCUGAGCAAAUUCUUUAUAGAUGGUAAUGCAGAUGGCAAAUUAAGCCAUUUGGCUUGUUCACAAUUUGCUUCUCAAUCGCUUGAAGCUGGCUGGCUUGCUAUCCGAGGCUUGAAAAAGAAGCUAAAUGGUACUAAAAGGAAAAUGGGAUUGGAGGCUUUUUCAUGAAUUAUCUGCUUUGUGGAGAAAAGUGAUGACUAAUAUUUAGUUGAAAGGAGGGAGAUCUCCUUGUCUAGUUACCCUUAAAACCCAAAAUUCAUCUCUAAGUCUUCCAUUUAUAGUAUAAUUGGAAAUUGGAAAGGCAACCAUUUAUUUCAUCAUGAAAAUAAACAAUUGUUGGAUAUAUGAAAUAACAAAAAAGGGAAAGGAUAAUUUAAGGCUAUGUUUAAGUAAAUUUGUGUAAUGGCAAUUUCGUAUAACUACAAAAGGAUCUUCCACCUUCGUAGGGCUUUAACGUGAAAGGUGUUUUAAGCCAUAAGAGGAAAUUAAAUUUGUCAUUGAAGAUACAGCUAUUUCUUCGGGCAUUCAAUUGCUUAUCGGGCUCGUUUUGAGAUAAUUUUGGGGAAAUUUUGCUCCAAGUUCCAUGAAUCUAUUGGCAACUUGGUUGGAUUUUAUAGCCUGUUGAGCUUAGUGAAAGAUUUUGGUAAUCUUUAGAUUUUGAUUUUGAUGUUUUGAAGAGGGUCAUGGAUUGGUUGAUAGUUAAGCCUCAAGAAGCUGGUUUUUUAUUUCUUCAAAAUUCAAUCAAUCAUAGAAGUCUCAUUUCAUGUGAAUCUUUUAUUUUCUCUUCUUUUAUUUGAUAUCUUGGUCUGGUUUUGAUUUACCAUUCUUACACUGACAAGUCUUUUAUAGCUUUAUGUUCCGUAUAUUCUUUCGUAAAUUUGCGCAUUAGUCUCAGUUCAUUAUUUCAAUGGAAAGCUUUGUUUCCCUUUUUUAUUAAAGAAAAAAAUGUCUACUGCAUUCGAUCUAAACGAACCACAAAAAGGCUCUCAUGAGGUGCAACCAUAAGGUCCUGCUUAUUUACAGAUUUAACCCAAGGGGUUCUAAAAAACAUCAAUUCCAUGACUAAUUUAACUCCCUGUGCUGUGUGCACCACGACUAAACAACUCUACUCCAGGCUACAAAUGUCAUAAGAGUCUCCUCCAUUGAAUGGAUAAUCCUCUAGAAUAAGAUAAAUUAGAUAUAUCGAUAGAAAGAACCACGACCCAAUUGAAAAUAGAGAUCAUGGCGCUCUAAAAUCUGUUAGAAUAAGGCAGAGGAUAAAGAGGUGGCUUUGAGACUCAUGGACUGUAUACUCUAUAGCAUAGGGACAGUGCACCAACACUAAUGGUCUAGGUCCUUUCAUUGAUAAUGCCAUGUUUGAAAAACUCUUGGAACACUCUAAUUUUGUUCUUUCUUGGUGUCCCCAUCCUUUCUAAAAAAUUCACAUUUGAAGGAAUCAGGACCUGAUGAUUUUUAGUUUCCAUUUGCCAAAGUUGAUUAAUAGAAAGAUUUCUGUUUCUUCAAACGGACUCUCUAACCAUUAUACUAAGCCACUGCUAAUAGGCUGGCAUGAACUUCCCUCUAGAACAAACCGUUGCUUCCAUCAUAUUCAUUUAGAGGAGAAAAUCCAUAAUUUCAUUCUACAUAAACUGGAAAUGGAGUUUUUACCCACUCUAUGAGAAGUCCAUCUAUGAAAGAGUUUUGAAAUAAGGUAGCUCUUUCAGCUAUUUUAGCUUAGCUUCUAACACAGCCGUUACUCUUUCAGAAUCAACUUCAAUAUGUUUUGUCUUGUCGUGAAGGACUGUAUUGUGGACAAUGGAAAUUGCUGCCUUAUUAUCACAGUAAAUGUGCAUGCACAUUGUCUGAGUGAACUUCAAUUCUUCCAACAGUCUUCUUAUCCAUAUAGCCUCACAAACACCAUGAGGUAAAGCUCUAAAUUCUGCUUCUCUACUACUUCUUGCAAACACUCUGUUUUUUACUUCGCCAAGUAACAUCCUCCACCAAAGGAGCAGUAACCAAAAGUGGAUCUUCUAUCCAUCGUGCUACCUGCCCAAUCAGCAUCAAUGUGAACUUCACCUUUGAGAUGGCCAUUCCUUUUUCUGAAGUACCUAUCAAACAUCUUAGGGUUCUAUAAACUGCAUCAAAGUCAGUUAACUUAGGACCAUGCAUGAACUAACUUACCAUACUGACUGCAAAAGCGAUGUCAGAAUGUGUGUGGAAAGAUAUACGAGUCUCUUCACAAGUCUCUGGUACUUUUCUCUUUCUUUUAUCUCAUUUUUUAUUGCAACUUCCAAUUUCAGAUUCUGCUCAAUCGCAGUUUCUGCCACCUUGAAACCAAAGAAAUCUUCUCUUCUAGCAUAUUAAGAAUAUACUUCCUUUGGUGGACAAGAAUGCCACUUUUGGACCUGACGAACUCCAUGCCUAAGAAGUACCUUAAAGUUCCUAGGUCUUUGAUCUGAAAAUCAUCGACUAACUUUUUCUUCGCCAGUCUUGUCUCAUCAUUGACGGUAGAAUGAUAUCAUCAGUAUACUCUACAGCCUUAUCAUUUUCUGUAUGUUUAUAAAACAUCAUAUGAUUGACUUGACUUUAAUUGAAUCUAUGAGUGAUAUAUAAUUAAAUUUUCCUUCAACCACCAGCUUAAGCUUUUGGGUGAAUUGGUGAUUUAAUAGAAUCCAUAGCUUGUGCCUGCUUUUUCAAAGGGUUCAAACCAUGCUCUAAGAGAUUGUUCGAGAGUGUAGAAUGAUCUCUUUAACUUGCACAAUUUGUUAAUUUCGAGAUCUACCUCAAACCCGGGUGGAACAUCCAUACAUACCUCUUCUUCAAGUUCCCAAUUGAGAAAGAUAUUUUUAACAUCCAUUUAAUAAAGGGGUCAAUCAAAGUUAACUGCAACAGACAACAAAAUUUUGAUAGAAUUGAUUUUAGCAACUAGAGCAAAUGUUUUUUGAUAAUCAACUCCCUAGGUCUAAGUAAACACCUUAGCAACCAAUUUGGCCUUGUACCUUUCAACACCACCAACUUUACAUUUCACCGUGAACACCCACUUGCAUUCAAUUGUUUUCUUUUUUUUUUUAGUUCAACUAUGUCCCAUGUGCAAUGUUGUUUCAGAGCAUUCAUCUCUUCCAUCACUGCUAAUUUCCAAUUCAAAUUACUUAAGGCCUCCUGUAUAUUCCUUGGAACAAACAGGUUGGUUAUUUUGGAUGUGAAGGCUUUGUGACUGUCAGACAAUCUAAGAUAAGAAAGACAAUUUGCAAUGGGAUAUUUGACAAAAUUAAAAGUACCUUUCCUAUGGGCAACUGGAAAUAUCAAGAUCAGAGACAUCAGAUAAGGGAUUAUGAGAAAAACUGAGAGAAUUAGAAGAAGGAGAAUGUAUUUUACCUGGAUCUUUAGAAUCAUUUAUCGAGGUAUUAGAUUGAUUUUGUGAUAGAUCAACCAUCUGUUCUCAAUUCUUUUGAGUUAAGUUUCUUCUAGUGUAAACCCGUAGUUUUUUUACUUGUCAAGUCAGUCGGUACUGUUUCUCUGCCUACAAGAAGAACUCUCCACACUUGGCAUCAAAGAAUUAGAACUCAUAAUUUCAUAAUCAAUGAUGUUUGGGAUAAGUGAAGUGUUCCAAAAAUUAUCUUUCAAGAUUAGGUCUCCCCCCUAAAGAGAAUUUUGGCCAAAAAAAAGGGUUGAUUCUCCAAAAAAGACACAUGCAUACUCUCAAAGUACUUUCUGGUCGGAGGGUCAAAACAUUUGUAAGCCUUCUUAUGGGAGAACAACCAAACCUUGAAUGAUUGGCAUCUCCACCAAAGGAGUGUCUGUUCUCCUUAUUUUAAAGAAACUAUAAUGCUAUGGCGUCAGAAGGCUUACAAAUCUAGACAUAUACACCAAAUACAAGAAAGGUUUGGUUGUUCAUCAGCCUUCAGACACCAAAGCAUUAUAGUUUCUUUAACUUAAGGAGAACAGACACUACUUUGGUGUAUAUCUCCUAAUUUGACAUUUCAACUCGAUUUCUACUCGUAUGAAUCAAAGAGAUCUAGGUCUCGCCAAAUCUUUUCGAAGGAGUGAAAGUAUUGUGUCACUGAGUUACUUUUUUGGCUUAUAUCUUCCUAGUUUGAGAUUCAACUCAAAAACUUGUGAUUGAUUGCCUAAAUAAGAGUACAUUUGUGUCACACUGUCCCACGAUUCCUUGGUCGUAGAGUAGCACAUGUAAUUACAGUUGAUGUCUUCAACCAUGGAGUUUACAAGCCAAGUCAUAACCAUGGGAGUUUUCAACAUCCAAUGCAGCAAACAAUGGGUUGUUUGGUUUUGAGGCAGUUUUCUCUCUGAUAAUGAAGCCAAGUUUCCCUUGUUCACGAAUAUAAAGUCUAACACCUUGUGACCAACGAAGAAAGUUGACUCCAUUAAGUCGCAUUGUGGUGAUUUGGAUAGUGGGGCUAUUGGAAUGGAUACAAUUAUCGACUUUAGCCAUAGGUAACUUAGUAUUUGACAUGGUUGAAGCAACAAAGGUAAAAAAAACGGAGAGAACAGAUCUGAAAACACAAACCAAUCUUGUCAUUGGCAGCGGACGACUCAGAAAGGGGUAACCGGCAAGGACCACAACAAACAACGGCAAACAAAAAAAAAACCAACUUACAAACAAAAAUCGCAAGAAAAUGCAGGUACUAGAGACGUCCGACAAGUUGUGGUCGGCAAGGCGAUCAGUCAAAGUAGAACUACUGGCAACGACAAACCUUGAGGGGGCAGAACACAUGGCUAGCGCUGGCAAAGGGCUAUAAGAGUUUUAGGGUUUUUUAGGGUUUCAAAAACCUUCUCUGAUACCAUGCCAAAGAAUGUAAUUUUUAGUAUACCUCACAAAGAGAAAAGGGUUUUCUUAAAUAGAAGAACAACACAUCUACAAAGAAGCAAAAAAAAUUGGCAAAUAUAAUACAACUAGUACAAUAAAAUAUAAUACAAAAAAGAAAAUAAUCAUCAUAUAGUUCUAUAUCAAAGUAGGAAAUAUCCACCAACUUGAGAAUAAUUUUCCAAACAAGGCAAUAACUUGCUACCUUCGGUCGUGGAGUAAUGGCUUCAAAACUAUGAAUGAUUGGAACAUCAAAAUUCGGAGGUUCUAGAACAAUAUAUGCACCUUUGUUUUUGUAUCUUUCCUCAGUGGCCUACAAGGGAAAAACAAUAAGAAAACUAGUUCUCAUUUCAAGUGAAAUAAAAGGUAAUAUAAAGUUUACUCAUUUAUCAAAAAGGUUCCCAACUGGAACUUAGGGAAGGCUGAAAGAUAGACAGAUUGGCCCAUGUAGAAUAAUUGCUAAAUAUGAGCCAAAUGCCUACAAGAUUGAGUUGUCUGAAGGGUUCAACAUCAGCCCAAUUUUUAAUAUUACUAGUUUACUGUUUUAGCUUACUGUUAUAGUUUAUUAAAACUACUUAGUUAGUUACAAAGUAACCAACUUGUAUUACUUUUCCUCAAUAAAUAAACACCUCUCGUAUUGAGAGGCAAGAUAUUCAUUCAUUCAAAAAAUAGUCUUUGAUAUUACACCAUAUUAUAUCACUGACACUGAUUUUUUUAUUGCCAAGUUGAUGGAUAGAAAACUUAUCCCUUCAAGCUGAGUUUAAAUAGACAAAAGGGAAGAACUCAAAAGAAAUACAAAAAUUAAAAACAAUCUAUGUCAUCCACUCUACAAAGAGAUAAAGAUCCGGUCAAUACCUGAAAUUGUGGAUAGUCUGGAGCACUAAACAAAGUAAUCAGCUUCCCUGAAUCUACAACAUGAUCUAUCGUGUAACCCUGAUCCAUUCCUGCAAGACCGGGUCUCUUUUCUCUAGCAUCAGGACCUUCAUGGGAUCUGAUAAUUAGCUAGACAACCGAAAGGAAAAGGUUACAAACUGAUUGUUCAGACAAUUUGCUUUAUGUUAUAAAAUACGUCUAGAGUAAUGUUGGAGCGUCCAACAGUAUAUGCUACGUUAGUUGACAGAUGGAAAGUUAGGAAGUUGGACAAGUUUUUACUUGUUAGUUAGUGAGUUCGGGUGUACCGUGUACAACAUGACCUGUAUCAGUCCUUGUUUUCUCUAUUUCUGUCGACUUUAGAAUUAAAGCACCAAAUUCACCAUGUCAAAGAGAUGGAACAUGAAAGGGGAAUCUAUGAAGGAUAGAGUAAAGUCAGCUGCAGAAGAGAUUAAGAAGACAAAAUACAGAAGAAAAAAAAAGAAUGGAAAUGGAGAGGGGAUUGCAAUACUCUUGGAACGAUGGAGAAGGAAACCAGCAAGCAACCAAAAAACCCUAGAAGGCUAGAAGAACCAUAUCAUGAGGCUUGAUCUAUACGUUAAGCUUCUAUAUCUAUAAGAACAGUUAAAAGGAGAAGAAAGCAAAACAUACUUAUCCUAAAAGAUAUAUAGAAAUGGAGAAGAAAAAAACUUUUUUGUUAAGAAAAAACAAAAGAAUACACAGACAUUAAAAAAACUAUCGGGCCUAUACAAGAAGGGGCUCUAAGCAAGAGAAAUAAGUCCAAGCGAAUAAUUACAAAAGAGCCUAGAAACAAAGAGCCAAAGAUAAGCAUAGAAUCUAACAAGAAACCAAACAUCAUCAAAAAAACUAUUGAGCCCACUAUUGGUUCACCUAACUGCCACAAAGCAAACCCUUCAUCACAGAAGGGCAGAUGAAGGAAAAGCUCUUCAAAUGCCUCCCUACACUAUCAUGGAGAAGCCUUCGUAUCAAGGGUCCACUGCCACUAAUCAAUCUCCUCUUCCGGAAGGUAGCAUCUCCCAUAUUGUUUAGGAUAUCACAAGUCAAGGAGGUUCUAAUGAUUGAAAUAUAGGAGGGAUGGAAUGCCAGAUGGAAUAUUAUUAAAAGAAUCAACCUUAACAAUAAUGAGUUGGAUUAAUUCCAAUCUCCAUGGAAGAGAAGGUAGAAGUUAGUUGGUGUUCGGUAUUCCAUCUAACAAGCUCAUCCACAUUCUCAUGAGAUACUUCGUCUUUGGAUUAACAAACACAAGAUUAAUUUUGAACCCCAAAAGGAAAAUAGUGAAUGUAAUACGGAAAGGCAACCAGAAAAGGUGAAAUCUUUUACUUGAAGUAUUUGCCAUGAAGUCUUAACAUAGCCUAAAGGUUCCAAUAAAGAAGAUGAAGCGUGAAUCUUGGUCCAUCUCAGAGUGUCUUUUGCUAGAGGGAGGAGGAAUAGAGGAAGAAAUUAAUGUGUUUCUUCCCAAUGCAACUGGGAAAGAUUGAUGUAAAUAAGAACAAGAGAAUCGUUAUAAAAUCGUCUAGAAACAAGGAUGAAAAACAAAGAAUCUAUUAAGGGUCCAAACAUCAAAAUAAGAACUCACGCCCUCUAAAAAUUUUGAUGUUUCUCGGUCUCUGAAGGCCCACAAAGUAGCUCAUAAUCCGUAUUAAUACAGAUGGCUUAGUUGUUGAUGUCACAUAUAAUCAGCUUGGAUCAGACAACACUCAUGCUUUUAUGCAAAUAAAGAUGGCUAACAUAAACCUGGGCGCAGUCCAAGCAACAAAACUUAAAUAGUCGAGUGACUAUAUACUUCUAUUUAAUAUUUCAAACAAGUUUUGGACCCACUGACUGCCACCGGUAAAACUUAAUUCAUUAGCUAAGAAUUGCAUUAAAAAUGUAUCUCUGACAAGAAACGCUUUUAUAGAUGACAAGAAAUAACCAAAAAGGAGGAAAAAACUCAAGCCCCAAACCAGGGGAGGGUUGUAUUAAAAUAUAUCUUUUAAAGAAACAAUAUAGAUGUCCUGAUUCAAACACACACACGCGUUUUAACAUCUAAAAUAAACUAAGGAAGUGUUUGUUAUAGUUACCUUCAGAUCGAAUUUUUUCAAGAAUUCUUCAGUGCAAUCAGGACCCCACAAGAGACCAAUGCCCCUCUCUCUAUUUGGGGAGAGACCAGGAUUCAUAGAAGGAUCAGACCACAACACAUCGCCCGGAAUUAAAUUCAAGCCUUCCCAUGGGGGAUCAAGAACAGAUCUUCUGGCUUUGGAUAGCUCCUCCAAAGAACCAAGAGAUAACCCGUUGGCUUCCGGAUUUAAGAUUAUCCUACGAUUUUUUUUUCCUUUCGAUCUUUUAGACGAAGGAACUGAUAUACUGCGGAAAAGUCCUCCAUGAGCCGUAUAUACACAUCCAGCAAUAAUGGAGGCUAAAGGCAGCCCUUCGAAACACCCCAAACACUUCCGAUAGACGUGCUUACCUCUGUCUCCAUACUUGGCUAGCACCUCCUUCUCAAAACCAUAAACGGAUGUGCAGUACUUGGAUUCGUGGUUUCCACGAAGAAGAAAUACACGAUGUGGCAUAAACACCUUUAGACAUUAUGGAGCAGAAUUUAAUCAAAGGAAAACCACCUGUUCAAGGCAAAGAAAGACUAGAAAGUAGCAAGGAUAAAUGUGAUGCAAUGUUUUUCUUUUACAGAAGGGCAACUACUUCUAGGCUGAGAUAAUAGAGAUUGGACAGAGACUAGAUAGAGAAGAUUAAACAGCAGGCCACAUGCUACUGUACGCAUAACAUAAAAAUCCCGACGAUGCAGGGAACAUGGUUACAUGAAUGAUUAAAAGUAAAACUGAUGUUCAAAAAUACCUUCCAAGCCAAUAAGAGCAAAAAAGUUUCAAGACCCCAAGCCCCUCUGUCGACGUAGUCCCCAUUGAAGACAAAGAAACGGUUUUCAGAAGGAAAACCAGCAUCCUGCAGAAGAAAGAGGAGAUCAUGAAAUUGACCGUGGAUGUCUCCGACGACGACUACAGUGGAGUCGCUGCUGGGGGGUGAAUCUUGGAGGAUUUUGAGGCAAUUGGGUUCUUUGUGGAGGAUUUUAGAAGCGGUGAGGAUUAGAGUGUCGAAAACAGAGACGGGAAGGACGGAAGGAAAGUGGGAUGGAGGUAAAUUUUUGGAAGACCAGUCGAAGGCGGCGAUUAGAUGGUGUAUCCACUGGAGGGAAAGGGUGGCAUCGGGAGGCCAAGAGAGAGGUAAGUGAAUCGGAGGUGGAGUGGAAGAAGGUGAAGAUGAUGUGCAGGGAUUUUCGUCAGAUUCAGAGAGGGUGGAGGAGGUGGUGGUGGAGGGUAGAUGAUCGAAAGGAGCCGGAGUAACAUCCGUGGGAAUCGGAUUGGGCGACGCUGAAGAAUCCAAAUCCGGAAAAUGCUUCGACGACAUUGUUAUUUUCUUCGUCGUUGAAUGAUGAGAGAUGUAGCAAGCCCUAGCAAUGGCAGCGCCUCCAUUUCUAUACUAUUUUAUUUUUUUACACUUAACUACUGCCAUGCCACCCGCGCGCCAGCUCCUUUUGCACUCCACUGUCCCAUUAAUUAGGCAUCACCAUUGCCAUAAUAUGCUGGCCGAAAAGUUUUCAUUAAACCGAGCCCAUCUAUCGAACCCACCACUCGCAAUGACCCUAUUCAAAAUUAAACUCUAAUUUAAAUCAGUGAGUUUUUAUAAAUUAAAAUAAAAAUGACCAACUAUUUACCAAUAUAAAAAAUAUAUAAAAUUAUUUAACUAUUAUUUUUUAAUGUAAAUAUUUUAUAAAUUUAUUAUUUUUAUAAUUUAUUAAGAAACAUUUUUAAAAACAAUAAAAUAAAUUAAAAUGUCUACCCGCUGUACCAAAAUAAACAAAUAAAUUUAGAAGAGUGUCAAUGAGAGCAGAUCACCAAAAUAAAAUAUAUUCUCCACAUAUAAAUAUAUAUAUAUUCCAUUUGCACAUAUAAAUAACGAUAUCCUGCGUGAAGUUGGGUUAAACUUUUCAAAGCAUUUCUUUUCAGACGAGACAGACAACCGGCGGAAGCCACCAAAAAAGAAGAUUAUAUUCCGGAUCGAUUUUUCAAUAUGGACCCUAUCACAUAUGAGAGGAUUACGCGGCGGCAGAGGCGGUCCUGCAGAGGCUUCCGGCUCACCUCCAGAAGACUGUCGGUGUCAAAGCUGCGGUCCAAAUUCGGGUGGCUGUUGCGUAUCUUAAAUCGGUGGCGGCGCUCCAUUGUUGAGAUUAAGAAGAGCGGAACAUCAUCAAAAGGUUCUUCUAAUUCAGCUGCGCAAGCUGCGAAGCUCAGGUCCUUCCGCCGCUCCAACUCCUUCUACGCCGAAGCCAUUGCCGAUUGCUUGGAUUUCAUCAAGACCACCUCCUCCUUCUCAACGCCUCCUUCCACUAUACCUACACAUACCUUCUAAUUUUCUAGCUUUUUUUCUUCUUUUCUUUAUCGCAUCCCAUAUGGUAUAUUAUAUUAUUACUGGCGAUGGUUUAAUCCUUUCCUACACAAUCAAUUGAACAUACUUCUUCACCUUACUCCUAAUACUAUCUAUCAAUUAUCAUCAUAAUACAUCAUUUAUUUUAUUUCAGCUUCUAAACUAUAAACAUUUCAACUAAAUUUGAAAUACCCAAUUUAAUUAUCAAAUUAUUUAUGCAUCCAUGUUUUCACUUAUCAUUAUCCCAAUUAAAAAUCUCUCGUUUGCUCGUCCCCAGGCCCAGAUUGUUGUUCUACGCUCUUCUACUUUUAAUUAUCUGCCAUUGAAUUUUAAUUUUAUUUGCAUCACUUGCAAUGAGUAUAGUAUUUUAAAAUUAAUAAUUAAAUAUAUAUCUAAACUCCUAUAACGAUUUAAUCUCUUGUAUAUUUACGAAGUGAGAUGAUAUUAAUUUAAAAUAAUAUGGUGGGGGUAGAAAAUUGUGGUUGAGUAUUUAACGAAGAACAAAUUUAAUUAGUUGAGUUUGAGUAGGUGAAAAAGAAAAAUUGGAAAUGGAAAUUGUGAGAAAGAUCCGUGAUUACGCCACCUACUUCAUUUCUAUCUUUUGACUAAUGCGUUGCGUUCCAUCAUUGAAAACAAGGAACCAACGCAGCACUUUCUUCACCUGCUCUUCUUUCAAUCUUUUUUUUUAUAAACAUUUCUUGAUUUCAAUGCUAAAUUGUAAUCACGGCUCUUUUGGUCCAAACUUUAUUUUAAAAUUUUUAAUCAUUUUCAAUCAUUUUUUUUUUACCUACACAUUAACAUACCCCCAAUUUAAAUAUUUUGAUGUAGCUAAGGGUGUGGUAUAUGCUUUAUCGCUACAAUAAUACUUUCGUGCAUUUAAUUUUAAAUAUCUAAAAAGUUAAAAAAAAAAAUUGACAUGUGAUUGAACAACAUGUUAUGUGAUUUACAUGUGUACUCAACACAACAACGAUUUUGUUUAAUAAUGGAAUAUACUACCUUGCAAAGUAAAAAAGUUCACUAAUGAAUUAUUAUGGAGUUGUAAUGAUGGACGGUGAAUAUAUAUAUAUAUGUAUAUUGGGUAGAUAAUUUAUGAUUUAAUUUCUAAUCUUCCUCUUCAAAUUUGGGCUUCUCAAGUUCUCAAUUUUUUCUCUCAGUUACUACGAGGUUGAAGAGGACCCAACUUGUACUUCUACUGGUGAUUCAUUUGCCCAAAUCUAUCAGUGAUAUAUUAUUAAAAUUUUGGAAUAGAUUGGUUAGGAUAGUGUUAAGGAGAGUAUGUCAAAUAAAAUAAGAAAGUUAGAUUGGAAUUUCACGUGGAUCGUUAUGCUUUCAAUCUUUAAAACCCGUUUUUGAAUAAUGAUAUACUAUUGAUAGGUGAAGCCCCAACCAACACCUAAGAAGUCAGCUUAAGAAAGUCAUUUCAAAUGAGGUUCAUUAAUUAGUUAAACAACUUAACUUGAACUCAAAAGGGACAACAAAGACAAGUAUGUAAUCCAUAUUAAUUGCUCAUUGAUUUAUUGGAGUCUAUAUAUUGAUGGAUUUUAAUUUGUAUUUGUAUUAUACAAAAUAAUUAAUAUAUAGAGACACAAAUGAAUUUUCUUCUCAUGGACAUACACAUACACACAUAUGAACAAGGACCAAUAUAACACCAACCAACCUAGAGAGAAAAAUGAAUUCUCUAUUCAUAAACAAAUUUUAAACCACAUAUAUCGAUCAAUUUAUCAACCACAUGUUCAUUAUUUGACUAUUGAAAAUAACUAUCAUCUUAACUUUAGAAGAUUACUCGAUGGAUAUUAAUUAUUGUAAAACGAUCGAGGAAUUAAUAUUCAAAAUUAUUGCUUGAGAACCAUCUUUUUGUGACAUGUCAAAAUAUUGUAACCAUUAGCAAAACAAGGACGAGGAAAAACACAUACUAAAGUUUGGUUGAAAUUAAAACAUUAAUUAAGAAGGAAAAAGGAGAUGAUGUUUUGAAUAAAAACAGUGAUAUCCUAAUUAUCCAAACAAUUGUAUAGUGUGGCAUAGAGAAAAGAUAAAAGAGAAGCGUAUAUGAAGUCUAAUAUCCAAAAGAUUUUAACCCUAAACCCAAAGUUAGGUCAUUUGACAAAGAAAAAAGAUUAAGAAACCGGAUGAAUCAAAUUCACUCUUAUAAAAUUACCAUACAUAUCAUGAUGAAAAUACCAUGCGACGUUUGGGGCAAGUUACGGAGUUGGUUAUCAAAGCUCAAAAUUAUUAUAGUAGGGUUAUAAGAUUUUUUAUUGUUUGAAGUUAUAUAUUAUUUAAGUUCAAGUUAGUAUGUGUUUGAGGUUGUAAGGUAUUUUAGUUUGAUAAAAAAAAAUACAUAUUUUUUCAUUUUCCACUUCUUCUAUUUUGUAUGUUGUCUUCCUUCUUCUCUGGCGCUUUUCUUCUUAUUUGUUUUUCAAAUUUUUAUUUGUUAGGCAGUUUUUCCCCAUUUUUUGUGUUUCUACUAUAGAACAAAACGAAGGAGCGAGAAGCGGGAGAUCGAAGUGAAAGGAAUCAUAUGAACAAAGUAAAAAUCAAAGAGAAAAAAUUAUUGUUGCGUUUGAUAAGAAACUGGAAACAGAAAACUAAAAUAAUAAGUUAUAACAAAAAUCUAGUAAGAGAAACUGAAUCACAAAAUUAUCAAAGAAAAUAAUAUUUGCCAAGGAACUAGAAAAAGGAGCUAAAAACUAAAAAUAUAAAAUAUAAAGGAAGAAAUGUUCAAUGAGGAACUAGAAAGAGAAGUGUCAACUCGAGGCCUUCACCACGGUUUGAGGACAAGAUGAUACUUUCACACGUGACUGACAUAAACAAAAUGUCAUUUUCAAGCAAAUUUAAAUCUUGGAUUAACUUUCAUUUGGGCUCAUUCGAACAAACUUUAUUCUUUCGGAGGAUGAAGUGUAAUCAAGAUUAUUGAGAAUCUAAAAGAUGUUAGGAUGAGUGAUUUAUCAAUGGCAAAACAAAAAUGAUGAAAUAAAGAGUUGAAUCGAGGAUUGUCGGAAUGAAAUAAGUUUGAUAUUACAAAUGGGGUCCAAAAUGCUUAAUCAAACACAUGAAUCUUGGAAUAUAUGACAUUACAAACGCAUCCCACUUUAGUCCACAAACAACUCUUAUUAGAACUUGCACACUUAAAAGAGUAACUUCAUCUUUCCAUUUUUUAUACCUUUCACACCUACCAAGAAAACUCAAUCUUACUCUCUAUCUCUACUUUAGCAUUUGCCAAGUAAAUUUAUCUUACUUUCUCAAUCUAUUUUUCACAACUAUUAUUAAAUUUAAUAUUUAAACUCUACACCCUAAACACAAAUUUACCAAUUUCAACGUAUUAACCCCUCAAUUACUAACUCAAUUAGCGGGCCAAAUGCCCCACAAGGACGUAUAGGUCUUAUUUGGUUAUUGGUUGUGUUGAAAGGUUUAAGGAAACGAUAACUAGAACAAUUAUCAAAAGAGCUUUUUUUAAAAAAAGAAAAAAUUUCAAAACGUGCUAGUUAUAAACUUUAAGCUUGAGAAUGAUUGCUUGAAAAACACAAAAAAAAAAAAAAAAAAGCUUUAUUCAGUCUUAAAAUUUGUUGGUUUAUGCUUAAUUUAUGAUAUUUGAUGUUUUUAUUCAUGUUUAAUUUUAAGAAAUCCAAUGCUUGGACCAACACAAGCAAUUUCCAGAGUAAAAUGAUCAAAGUACCCUUUAGAAAGUCAAAAUUCGACUUGGAGCCAAAAAAAAGGUGAGGAAUGCGGGUACGACAUGCUGCAUCAUAGUUAGGUCAUAACUUUUGAUUCAAGGCGACUGUUUUGGACGAAUGAUCCAUCGUUUUCUUUAUUUUUCAACCUCUAUCUAGACCUUGCAUUAGUUUUGAGCUUUGAUUACCGAUUUUGGAAAGACUUAUGAAAGUUUGAUUAGGGCCUCCAUCGAGAGUCGAUUUUUGGACCUAGAUGACAAUUUGGAACUUCAAAUGAGUGGAGAUAUAUACGAAGGAAACACAAGAGUAUAAGUAUGAUUCAUAUUUGAGGACGAUAGUCAAGAGCCCAACUUGUAUCUCCUUUCCUCUUUAUUUUGUUAAUUUUAUAUGUACUUAGAAACAUCGUGAAUAGUUUACGCUUGUUAUGUAUCCAUGAAUAAAAAUAGUGGAUAUGUCUUAGGAGGGAUGAUUUAGCACGUUGUUUGGGUUGCAAGAACCUUUUUACUUUUGUUUGUUUGAUAUUUUUUUUUAUUUGCUUUUAUUAGUUUGGGGAUGACUAUAAUUCUUUUGCAGUCAUUUUGGUUUUCAUGUAAGUUUGAAAGGAUGUAAGUCUUUGUUGGAUAAAAAGAUAAGCAUGCCUUGUUUCACACUAUAGGCAUAAUUCACAGAGUAUUAGGAAGGGUUAUGAAAUGGAAUAAUGGUGAUGGCUUGAACAACUUGGAAUAAUGUGAAAUCAAAGGAUAAGCAUACCUUUUUUGACACUAUAGGCAUAUUUUUAAGCUAUAUGUUUGAAUUAAUAACAUAAAGCAUUGGGAUUUAAACCUAAAAAGAAAAAGGGUAAAAAGAAAAAUAAUUAAAGAAAUCAGAAUGAGCAGAGGGCUUGGCUGUGGAGGGAAUGAGAAUAAUAAUAACGAUAAUAAAAGAGGGUUGAAUACCAUUCCAAGCUUACUGCGAAAAGCGCUCUAUUCUAUUUGCCGCGCCUCUGCCCCUCCUUCUCCAAUAUCUUCCGCUCCCAUCUCCUCCAAGUCAACGACCUCAACAUCAAUGGCGGAUGCUACCGAGACUCUUAAAACCAAGGUUUGCGUUAUUGGGAGUGGCCCUGCUGCCCACACUGCUGCCAUAUAUGCCGCCCGUGCCGAGCUCAAGCCUAUUCUCUUCGAAGGAUGGAUGGCCAACAACAUCGCUCCCGGCGGCCAGCUCACUACAACAACCGACGUUGAAAACUUCCCUGGAUUCCCCGAAGGCAUUCUUGGCAUCGAACUCAUGGACCAUUGUCGCAACCAGUCGCUUCGCUUUGGCACUCAGAUCUACACCGAGACCGUAACCAAGGUCGAUUUCUCAUCCAAGCCAUUUAAGGUCUUUGCCGAUUCGAAAACCGUCCUCGCCGAUUCUGUGAUUGUCGCCACUGGUGCGGUUGCCAAGCGAUUGACAUUUCCUGGCUCCGGUGAAGGGAAUGGGUUCUGGAAUCGGGGUAUUUCGGCUUGCGCUGUCUGUGAUGGAGCUGCGCCUAUUUUCAGAAACAAGCCCUUGGCGGUCAUUGGGGGCGGAGAUUCUGCCAUGGAAGAAGCCAAUUUCCUCACCAAGUAUGGCUCCAAAGUGUAUAUUAUCCACCGAAGAGACACUUUCAGAGCUUCCAAGAUCAUGCAACAGCGCGUCUCCAGCAACCCUAAAAUCGAGGUGAUCUGGAAUUCGGUGGUUAAGGAAGCUUAUAGCGACGCUAAUGGGCGAGUCCUGGGAGGUCUGAAGGUCCAUGAUCUGAUCUCCGGAAAGGUUUCUGAUUUGGCAGUUUCCGGAUUGUUCUUCGCUAUUGGUCACGAACCAGCCACCAAAUUCUUAGAUGGACAACUGCAACUCGAUUCUGAUGGGUAUGUGUUGACGAAGCCAGGGACGACGCAUACCAGUAUCCCGGGAGUCUUUGCUGCUGGCGAUGUUCAGGACAAGAAGUACAGACAAGCUAUCACUGCCGCUGGUACAGGUCAGUAAAAAUGUUUCUGCUUUCCAUAAUUAUUUUCCUUCUUCCUUGUGCCUGUUUGUCACCAGACAUGGCCAUAAGUGAGGUAAAAACUUCAAGAAAAAUACAUAUUAGAUUUGAAGAUGAAUGUGUAUUAGAUUAUGCAACAAAAAGUUUACUCCGAACUGUCUAUAUCCAAGUCUAUUGCAAAUGUUGCAUUUAGUUUCUAAUAUAUCUGAUAAAAUAUAGAAAAAUGAAAUGAUUGAGGUCCACGAGAACGAACUUCCAAACACUUGGUGCCUGUGUCUUGAGGCGUUAGGGACACCGCCAGGCUAAAGCUUUUCCUCAUAAAAACAUUGCUUGAGUGAAACAAUGUUUUGCUAUUUUAUUUGUAAAAACGGAUACACACGUUCAAAUAUUUAGUGUACUUGAAUACAUAACCUAAAUUGUGAAGGACAGGGAGCACAUAACAUCAAUUUUACCUCCUAGGAACUGUUUAACAAGACAUGCAUACUAGUUGAUCUAAAUAGGAGAAGAUAAAGAAUUCUCUCCCUAAUUUAAUCAGGAUAUGAGGUCCGAUUAGCCCAAAUAAUGGUUAGCAAGUAAUUUAAGGAGGCUGCAUGUGUUGUGCACCAUGAAGCCUUAGAAUAGGUGGUAAUUUCCCGAUCAGUCUCGAAAUUUGUCUCUAACCGUUGGAGAGCUGCUUCUAUCCCUUUUAAUCCAAAUUAUCCAGAAAAUACAAGUCACUCACGUACUUCCUCGACUUCAUCGUGUGUGAAUGUGUAUGGAAGAGGGAAAUUCAUAAAAUAAUUAAUUUUAAAGUUAUUUUAGAAACAACUUUUAUCAUUGAAAAAAAAGUGAAAGAAUACAAAGGCAAAUUAAAAAAACAAGCCCAACAAAAAACAGUCCCGCCAAAGGAAGGGGAUGAAACUAAGAUUAAUGUUUUCUAGCGAAUAGUUAAAAAAGAGGAAAAACUUCGAAACCGUGUGGUGAAAGGGGUGAAAAGCACAGACCGUCCUUUUUUGUUGUACCGGUGUGUGCCUUUAAUUCCAAAGAACCCACUAAGAUUAAUUUUGAGGUUGUUUCAUUGUUAUAACAUUUAAGUCCAUAUCAAAAGAAAUCCUCCACUAACAUUUUAAGUCCAGAUCAAAAGAAAUUCUCCACUCGUUUCCUCUCUCCUUUAUUAUUUCCAGAACGUUAUAUAUCUUAUCUGCUCAUGCCUCUGUGGACACACUUGAGAUAAACGUAUUGAUCACAACUUGGCCAAACCCUACUGGGACUUUGCUUCUACCUUUUCCAAUUUCUCUUCGUGAAGGGAAGCACUUCUACUUCUCCCUUUCUUCCCGAUGCACAAGGAGGUAUAGGAGGGAAAUUACUUUAGGAUGGAGAGAAAAAGGUGUGAGCGUGGAAUUGUGUAGCAGGUAUUUGGGCAAUAUAUUAUUUAAUGGUGUGGAAUUGUAUAGCGUCGCCCCAAAGAGGAUUCUAUUAUUAGGCCUAAAGUGAAAUGAAAAGCUAACAUGCUUAAAUCCCAUAUGAAGAACUCUAAAUAAUAUUGGAUGGGUUUUCAUGGCUAUAUUUACGAGGAGUUGCUAAAAUAUUAGUGGAGCCGCGCUUCUUUGAACGUGCAGAUGUGACAGUGAACCUGAUUCAUGAUUGAGAAGUAGGAGCACUGAAUUAUAUACAUAUGUAUUAUUAUUAUUAUUAUUCAUGGCAGUGAAAGUUAUUUGUCGAAGUUUAGACAAUGGGACUUACCUCAUUUUAAAUUUAGUCCCCUGUUCCUUUUCCUUGUAAAAAAAAAGUUACUUUUGUUCGAAAAUCAUGUCUUUCUUUCACUUGUCCUUCAUAAAGGUUGAUCGAAUGAAGUUGCUUCCUUUCCUAAUAUUUAUUUGCUGUGGUACAGGUUGCAUGGCAGCAUUGGAUGCGGAGCAUUACCUGCAAGAAAUUGGUUCUCAAGAGGGGAAGAGUGAUUGAUGAUAGACUUUGCCUGGGUUUCUCAAAGUUGGCCGUAGAGAAUUUGAAGACAAAUGGCCAAAUGUUAAGAACGACUGUGGAAGGGAAAGCUUGUUAAUUAUUGAUUUUGGGGAGCUUAUGGGGAGGGAUUGACGGGAAAUUGUUAUAGUAUUUUGGAAGAAGGUUAUUCAAGAUAACCUUUAACUUGUGCACUGGAUUUGUGGUGGUUGGUUUAAAAUCUAUUGCAGGUUUGGGGAGUAAGGUUUGAAAGUGUAAACUUGGUUUUCAUGCUUUGUAUUAUUUCUUACAUGGGAUAAUUUUAAAUAACAUUUGGAUCACCUUUUUCUUAAUUUAGAGACUUUUAAGACACUUUGGAGAUGAAAGACUCGUAUGUAGUUUUUCCCAAAAUCUUCUUCGAAAUUUCCUCCCAUGAGCAUUCAACAAGAAGUGACACCUCCUGUUGCAUGAACUCCAUAACAGUGGACAAGGGAAUUUGACAAAUGUAAAACGGGAAAAAGAUAGAGUUGAUGAAAAUUUCACUGAGCGCUCCAGAGCAUCAUUGAACACUACUUUUCCUUCUCCUUCACCCCUUUUAUUUUUGGCUUCAUUUUAUAUUCUCUUGCAACUUUUCUUCUCGCAAUUCCCUUGCCCACCGUCAGUCACCCAUCUCUCAGAAUAUGUUGACAGUAGCUUGGCUCAAGCCAAACCUAAGCAGGUGGUACCACACACGUUCACAUGAAAAGAGUCAAAAUAUGUAUGUUAUUGAUAGAUUAUAUAUGCUAACUAGUUAUUGCAAGUGAGUGCAAUGAUAUUUGUCACCCAUUACAUCAUAAUAGGUUAGUGUAUAUAAGUUCAAAGUUAAAAUUUAAUGAUGUAAAUCCGUCACCCUCGUCUACUUAGCAUGUGCUCACCUAAUGGUCUCAUAUGGUUGGGUUACGACUGACUUUACUAAUUAGACAUUUUAUGGCUUGAUUUAAUAAUUUUGCAAAUCACAACUCAUUCUUCUCACCUACUUUUACAUAUAGUUGAAUUGCAACCUACCUCAUUUCUAUUAAGUUGGACGCACUAUGCACAUGUCAAUGAAUUUUAGCCUUACAUUAUACAAACCUAUUACUCCCACUUAGUUGGCCCAAGUUCUAUAUACAAUCACAUGAUGGUUUUAGGUUUCUUCCAUUAGAGCUACAAUCAACAAUAUCUUACACAUGAUUGAAUCUAUUCAAGUUGGAUGACUUGUCAUUUUAGCACUAGCUUAUCACUUUGUGUAGUCAAAUGACCUAAUUAGCCAUCACAUGCUAGUAAAAUUCAACUUGAUUACAUAACUUCUUAGCUUACAAAUCAUGGCUAAAUUUUGAAGGUUUUAUAUAUGGAUCACAUUUCUAUAUUACACUCCUAACUUUUUGUGUAGUGUUAGCUCACAAAACAUUCAAAUUUAAUGUCGUAAGAUUUAAAUAAAGUAGAGAGAUGCCCCUUGUAUUGGUCAACAAACGAAUCCCCUUUAGAAUUAUAUAUAUAUAUAUAAUAGGUAGAAUUGUCUUGGGAGGAAUAAUAAUGAAUUAGCUAAGUAUAAAAUUAUAAAUAGAUGUUUGAUUGGCUCCAAGCCAAUGAGUGGUGUUAAGACAUUAAUGCCUAUAUCUAUUUUUCUUUGUGUGGUCUAAGAAUUUUGUUUUAUAAAAUUUGGGAACAAUAUUGAUUAAUUAAAUAUACCAAAUCCAAAGAUGCUCUAUUUCUCCUCCAACAUUAAUAAUUAAUAAUUAAACAUCCAAAACCAAAAACUUUACCAUUUUAAAAUUAAUUUAUGAGAUUUUUUUUGUUCUUAUUGUUAUAAAAUAAUAUUUUACAUAAAGCUUGCUUACAAAAUAUAAUGUUGGGCAUUUCAAUUUUACAAAAUAUAACAAUAAUUUUAAUAACUUCCAUUUUUUUUUCUCUUUUCAUCCAACAAGUGGAUUUAGGAGAAUUAAAAAAAAAAAAUCAAACUUUUGAAUUGCAGUGACUCUUUUCAACAAUUUAGUCUCAAUUAUCAUGUUAUGAUUUGUAUAAAGUUUUUAAAAUGUAAUUUCAAAUCAUUAAUUUUUCCAUCCACCACAGUAUUUGAUAGGAUGUUUUUAUAGAUAAACUGACAAUAUACUUAUUUAUUAUUUAUUUUUUGAAGCAAAUGGCAAUAUAUACCUGAAAAUAUAGACAAUAACUAAUAUGGGUGCAAUUGCAAGUCACUUCAAUUUCCUAUGUAAUAUUUUGAAUAGAUUGUUCUUUUUAUAAAUUAAAGUGAGACUAAAUCGAAAAGAACUAAGUUAUGUGAACCAAAAUGCUAAAAGUGAUAAAGUAGAUGAACGAAUAAGAAUCCUCUUAACUCAUGCAACUUUAUUCUUUUCUUAGUAAAUAGAAUCUAAGUUUAGUUAUAAUAUAUCUUAUAUUUGUACAGGAGAAUAACGAGAAGGGUUCUUUUUUUUUUUUUGUUAGUGUAAACAUUUGGAAAUUUUAUUUCAAAUAAAAAAGAGUAGUUUGUAGGGUGAAGAAAAGAGAUAGAAAUGAAAAAAAAAAAAAAAAAAGUUGAAACCAUCCAAGCAAGGAAUUAUCCAAAAAUAUAUAUAUAUACAAAUACAUAUUCACAAAAAUUAUUUGAAUUUGUUAAUGAUUAAGAUAAAAAUGCUAAUGAUUAGGUGACAUUAAUAGCCAUCAUUUAUCUCAUGGUAAUAAAACAAAUAAUUUAAAUUCUCUUUUAAAAAAAUAAAAAAAUAAGUUUUAAUUUGGCAGUUAAUGGACUGACUAAAGAUAACCAAAUAUUUUUCUUUAAAGAAAUCAGGAGUAAAAUUACCUAUUUAUGGAAAACCUAAAUAAUUUUUCUUUAAUUCAAAGUAAAUUUAUGUCUGUCGAAUUUUGAAAAAGGAAUUUAAGAAAUUCAUAAAUUAUAAACUUUGAGUUGAAAAACUAAUUGUAAUAUUAAAAGCAAAAUAUGUAACAUUGAUCAAUUAGAGUAAAACAAAUGGUAGAAUGCGUACAAAAAGAGAGAGAAAAGAAAAAGGAACUUUGAUAGAGGAAGGGAUGAUCAUCAGAAACAGCAUGAGAGGGUAAUGAAGGUACUGGCAGUAUAGAAUUUAGAAUUUACAAGUGCAGUUUUUUUAAUGAAGGGGUUUUUUUCUUUUAAACAUCAUGAGUCAAGAUUUGUUUUUGUAAUUUUUUUAGAAAAAAAGAAUUCACAAAGAACUGAAUCUUGUGUGUUUGUGAUGAAGCAGAAAGAAAUAGAGAAGGUGAAGUGAAGCUAAGGUUUUGUUAAGUCAAGGCAAAAACCCCAAACCCCUGUUGUUGUUGUUGUUGUUGAUGUUAUCUUCCACUUCCUCCUCCUCGUUGUUGUGAGCACCGCCGCCUUGUACAUCCGCCGGAAACUGGCCGCACUUCUGACAUCUGGCCACUACCAGUAUCUGACGGCAAGAAGGGCAGGAGGAGUGGGUACCUAGCCACGUGUCUACGCAACUGACGUGGAAGCAAUGCCCGCACUGCGGCAACUGUCGGAUCUCCUCCCCCUCCAAGAACUCCGCCAGGCAGAUCGCACAUUCCGCCGCUAUUUUCCCAUCUCCCACCGUUGACUUGUACCUGAAUUUCGGAAGCGACUGCAGUAUCUUCUUCUUCAGUCCUCUAUUCGCCGACGCCUGAUUUCCACGGCGGAGCCAGGCGCACCGAGCCACCGCUAUCAACCCUACCAUACAAAUUAGGGCACAGAGCAAAGCCGCGAGAAUGACCACGAAGUCCGACUCCAAGGCCACCGCUUCCGGUGGAGGCGCCGACGAAGUAUUUGCGGUGAGAGCUCUGAUAUAGGGAGACAUGAGACAGAGGGUUGAGAAGAGAAGGGAUUGGGGUUUGGGGAUUGAGGAUGGAGCAGUGAGUGCAAGUAAUAUUGUGUUGAGGGUUUCUUUCUUUCUUUCUUUUGAGGGAAAAGAAGAAACUGUAGAGUGUUUUUGUUGUUAGAAGGGAAAGAGGAGAAGAGGACAACUUGGGAGGUGGGGCCACUCCAUACUUUGGUUCUUUUUUCUUUCUUCUUUUCUUCAAAAGGGUUCUGUGUUGUGCUUAUCUUUUCUUUAAAACUCACUUCAACCUUCUGAAUUCCUUCUAUGUAGGUGCCAUGUAAAAUGUAAUGGACCGAUAUUCUAAUUACUGCCGGAAGUUUGACAUGCCAUUGCCAAAGAGAAUGUGAUCUACUACAAUGCCCACAAGAUUAAAAAAGGCAGUUUAGAAGUUGCUACUGCUAAAUACCUCCAUUAUAUAAAAUCAUGUAAAUAUGUCUUUCUUUUCUUCUCUAUACAUACAUAUUCUUCAUAAAAUGACAACAAAUUCAACAUUUGCAACUUUCCUACCAAACCAAGACUUGAUGCUUUAUGGUACAUUCAUAUUUUCUUUUUAUUUUCUUAGUGGUGAUCCCAAUCAAAACUAGAUCAUAUGUGCAAACAAAUUCUCAACACCUCUACAAACUCUCAGCUAUGGCCACCAAGCUUAUUUAUCCUAGUGUUGCAGGCUUUAUAAAUGAGAACUCAUCUCCUUCUUUAGUUUGAAUUGUACUGUGGGGUUGCUCUGUUUCAGCGAUUUGUUGUAUUUCAUCUCCAUCUUUUACAUCAACAUUAAUCGAUUCACUUGUUGACGCUUGUGUAGGUGUUGCUAAUGGAUCCCCCUCGUAAUCAGAUGACUCAAGGUCCUCAUACGUAGGCACACGUAUGGAGUGUCCUGUAGUUUUAAACCGUCGCAAUGAGUGUAGAGGUGAAGCAUUUGAACUACCUCCGAGGGUUUUAGUUGCUGAGGCUCGUUUAGCCCGCUUCUUCUUGGCCGUUUCCUGCCAUUUCAUGAGUGCCUUUGAUGUCUGUUCAUCAAAGAUGGACCUCUUCAUACCUGAACCCAUCUGCAUUAACCCGUAAACGCCAUCAUGCGACCAACCUUAUGCCUCAUAACAGUAUGAUUGAGUUGGAAAGAAUAGAAGAAGAGAAGAUAACGUAUAUACCUGAUUUACAAGGGCGUAUAUUGGAAGCGUAACAUAGCUGCAUAGAAAUAAUGCUACUACCCUACGAAACCAUAAGCAGAUCCAAACCUUGUGGUAAAAAAGCUCUUUAUAGAAGACAAGAUAAUUGAAGCGUUCAUGGAAGAAAGACUAACUUACCCUAAACCAACUUUUAUAAUUGUAAGGAUGUGACCAUCAAAGAAGCAAGAAUUCAGGCCAAAAGAAUACUGCACAAGCAACCACAUCGUUUAUUGUAGCUUAUGCAUUACACAAACUUGUAAUUGUAUAGAGUCAAAAGAGAGUAUGUUUUGAUUGUCACCUUCAUUAUUGUCUCAUCAGAUAGUUAUUUAUAUUCACAUUGUAUGUGCCUUUAAACAUGACUAAUUAAGACUGUAAUGUUAAUAAGAAACUUCUCAAAGUUCAUGAACCAUAAAUAAAACUUAAUUCCUGGUCAAGGGGUUGAUAUAAAUAAUGGUUAAGAAGAAUACCAGUGUAGACAAAAUAUAGGUGGUCUGGAAUGCAUUCUGCAUGUACCAAAUGAACAAAUGAUCAGAUCAACACCAAAACACACCUUUCUCUAGAUAUAGUCUGAACUGUAACAACUCCUAACCUUAUGUGCUACAUAUGAGAAGUUCCUGUUACCUGAAAUAAAGAAAAAUGCAUGAGAUGAAGAAUCAGUUGAGGGCGGCCGAACCAGAAAUACUUGUCGGAUCCUUGCACGAGUGGAAUUCCCUGGACCACUGCAUGUUUCUCAGAGAUUUCAAGAGCCAUUCUAGUCAAAAUGGCUUGAAGUUUUGAUCCAACGGCUAAGAUUAUCUGUGUGAGGUUAAAACAGACAUCGUCGUAUAAUAACUAACUAGCCAAUCUGGUGAAUUUCACCUCAAGAAAGAGAUUUUCCUUACAAGCAGAGGGAUAAAUGAUGCCCAGAACAAUGUAUGCCAUCCUGAAAAAUGAAAAAGUCUUCUUUAUAAUCAAACUUAUCAAACUGUUCGUGAAGUCAAAAUCAUUAGUUAAAAAUAAAGUUAUCUUACCAGAUAAAUUAAGGAGCAGGAAGAUCACAAAUGACGACCAUAGAAAAGGACUGCCAACAAAAUCAUUAAAAAAGAGAAGUUGAAUCGGCAUAACAAGUUAAAAGAAUUUAGAUGACAGAUUAUUACCUCACACCGACGACUACCUUGAAGUCAUCUUCUAAUGACCUUUUGAUAUAUCUCUGGAAGUUAAAUUUACUUCCAGGUGCUAAAUGAACCUACAAGAGUAUUACAUCACUUUCAAAAAUUUGAAGCUGCGAUCAAUCUAGUGCUUUGCAAUCGAGAAGAUGAGAACUCACUGUUAUGAAUCCAUUGCGUAGCGUCAAGUAAUCAGCCUUACUAACAGACCCAUAAAAUUGCCUGAAGAAGCAACUCUGCAACAUAAAAUCAAAUCUGAGUUAUUUCAUUUUCCCUCCGGUGACUUCAAAUUUCUAUUUGUUGAUGGAAUGUCAAGCUCUCAAAUUCAUAUAAUUGUUAAUGAAAAUCUUGGCAAAUAUAGACAUUAAUAGAAAUUUAGAGAAACUUCUCGUACAAUAUAGAAGAAGAAAGGAAGACGUGUCCAAAAGCUGGUGUGUGCUUUCACAAAAGAUGUCUCGUGAGUAAGCCUAAAUCUUGCAGGAUCUGUACAAAGAAGAAUAACCAAUUUUGGAUCAACAAACAUGUGAAGCUACAAAGUUCAUGCUAAGGAAUUGACAAAUAAACUCUGAUUUGAACCCAUGAGAUAAAAGAAUCACAGUUCAACAAGCGUAAAAUGACAGACCGUUGAAAAACUCAUAGUUAUGCGUUGAAGUUUCCUGCUCCCACUCCUUCCAGCCUCGAAUCUGAGCAGAAACACUUCUGUAAAUAACAAAGCGAUAAAGUAGGCCGAAAUUCACACGGCAAUGAUCCCAAAAGUUAACUACUUGACAUAACUAAGACCAAUUGUCAGACUGGUCAUUUUUCCUGAUUUACUCUAAGUCAUGGCUCAUAUGCUGCAUUUUGCUUUAUAUGGGAUUCAACGCAAAGCACAAUAAUAUGCUAAGUUGAAUUGAAUUAAAGAAAUUCUAGCAAGCUUGCCAUUCCCCAACAGAUAAAAAGUUCUUUCUUUUUUAAGAACGCCUAACAAUUCAAUAUAAAUAUUAUGCAAGGAGAACGAUGUAUUAACACAAUCGCCCCUAAUACUGAUUGCCCAACUGUAGUAACAUAUUAUGUAUUGUUUACAGCGCUUUAGCUAUUGAAAAGAAUUGAUUCAAGUAGUUGCAUGCAAGACUUAAAAUAAAACCAAAACAUAACUUUACCUUUAUCCUUCCAAGUGUCAUUGUGAUAACACUAAAGAGCACAUGAAACACAGCUAAGAAGAAAAUGAGAAUAUGCAACUGAUGCAAUCCAUCAAUGGAUAUAAGAGACACCUUACCCUGUUUGAAAGAAUGAGCAAUGUUAUAGACCUUCCACUAUUUAGCAACACUUAAGUUUGUAAAACAAAGGGUAAGAAGCAUGAGACAGUGGUCUUACAUCCUCACACGAGACAACAUUGUGACCUCCAGCCAAUGAUCUUCGAAUUAGCCAUUGUAGUCUCCGGUGAUGUUCGUCUUCAUCGGUUGAGGCAUUUUUCUCUUCACGGCGACAGGGCAACAUGGAGUUUGCAAUGGCCGGAGGAAUACAAAUUUGGACAAUAUAUGCUUGAGCAAAAGUCAGAAGCAGGGAGAUGAAACCCAAAAUCAUCAACUCUGCAAAAAUUUUAUGGAAUGUCAAUCGCCAUCUCUUGGUUUUUUUUCUUUUUUCUCUCGUAUUCAGAAAGUUUGAUUAAAUGUUUGAUGUACGAAUAUUGUAAUACCCACCAGCCUUAACCUUCUCCAGAGCUUCAUACAGAGAACUCUUGUGCUUUUUUGUCAACCACUAGAGGAACAACAAAUACAAUCAGAAAUGAAUGGCCUAAUUGCCAACAGAACAAAUGGGUGGAUUUGGGCUAUGAAAUUGUUUUCUUAUUUAAUAAAAAAAUAAUAAAGUACACAAGUAUUGCUCGUACUUUUACACCCAAAAGCUUACAAAUAUAAUAUUAUAUCCUCGUUGAGACAAGUGAAAAUCAAAACUAAUCGAGAAAGAAAUAACAUAAAAAAAGUCAAUGAAUUACCGUUCCAAGUUUGUGAAUAACAUUUUCCAAGACAAUGGAAAUAAGAACGAAAAAGAAGCAAACAGCAGCAACAGCCCAGGUGGGUGUGUUAUCGAGAUCCCUGGAGUGGGAACCGCCGUCUCCACCGGACGCGGCGGCGCCAGUCAAUAAAAGGCAGAAGCAAAGACAAAAAACAGACAUAAGAAAGAAGAAGAAGAAGAAGAAGAAGAAGAAGAAGAAAAGGAAUAAAUUUUGGAAAAGUAAAGUGAAGUAGUAAUCAAAGGUGUGUAAAAUGAGGGAUGAAGUUCAACAUUAUUGAAUUGGAUGACCCAAUGGGUGGGACGAUGGAUCCCACCAUCCAUGUGUGAUUAUUUAAUAAUGAGAUGAGAGGUUCCAAUUCAAAUAUUUUAAAACUGCACGUUAAAACUCUAAAAAACAAAGGUUACACAGAUAAAUAAACGGAUCUGCACGCCACCAACGCCAAUUAUACUAUCACUCCAAGUCCAUCCAAUUAAAUGGGCCAUUUUUUUCUGAACAAUAAUUGCAAAGGAAAGACGACGAUGAGAUGUCCAGAGGUUUUGGAGGGGAGACCUCCACAUACCACAUUCUAAUAGAGUAACAGAUAAGAAAAAAAAGGUGGGGCGGGUCCAUUUUGUUUUGUAGCGGGGACGGCUUUAGCUUUGUGAGUUCAUUUAAUCCCAAAUGAAAGAGCUAUCAGCUAUGGGUGUGCCAUAAAAGUCACAAGUCUGAGUUUAUAGUGAUCCAUUUUGCAGUUCCGGUGGCGGAGCCUUCCUUACCUUUCCCCCCUCUUUUUAUUACUCCUCUCCGCCCUCCAGGUUCGCCAUUUUCUGCAUUCCCCACCCCCCAUCCUCUCCUGUUUUUAUUUUAUUUUUUGAUACACACCUACUACUCAAUGCUCAACCAUCAUUAACAUCAUCUUCUUCUUAGUUUACACAUUAAUUCAAACUUUUCUUAUCUUGAAAAAAGAAAACCAAAUCCACUCUGCUUAGUUAAUUACUUCUUUUCUUUUUCAUAUUCAAAUCUACUCUAAUAUUCAAGGUAUGUGAAAUUGUAAGUCAUUUCUUUUAAAUACCAAAGAUCUUAUAUACAAAAUUACAUUUCUUUUUUCUUCUAAUGUUAAUAUUCCAAGCAGACCUAAUUUGGGAGAUUUUUAACAAAAACUGUUCUUCAGUUCAGCUGGAUAAACUUAUAAUUCUUUCUUUUAUGAUUGUUUUUCAAGGAAAUUUUGUAUCUAAUAGUUGAUGAACUUUAAAGUCUAAUAGAUGAUAUGAAGAGCCUCAACGUUGAUAGCUAAAUUCGUAAGUUAACCAAAGUUAGAAAGAUAAUUAGAAAAUUAACAAAAAUAGUACCUUUCUUGUUUCAUAUUUUAAAAGUAUAGCAUCCUUUGAGAAAAUUUAUUUUUUUUCCAUUCCAAGAUUCUUUUCCAAUUGAUCUAAUUCUUCCAAGGAUUUAUCACAAGUCCAUCGUCGAAAUUGAACUAUAUAAUGCUUACAUAGUAUGAUUUCAUAGCAACUUUGCCUUCGUUCAUUGAUUAUGCAAUAUUAAUUUGUGUAUUAAUUAAAAAAAGUCAACGUUUUUGUAUGAUCUCAAAUCAAAUAAAACUUUAGAACACAUAAAUCCUAACAAAGAUUCUCGUAGCAAAUUUGAUCGGAGAAGAGUUGGCUUCAAUUUCAAAUCUUUAACAGAAAAACUAACUCUCUAGAUGCAUUUCACUUAGAGAAACUCUUUAAUGGUGAGAAAAACAAAAUUAAAAGUUCUUACAAUCCUGAUAUUUUGAAAUAUAAAACAAAAAAAAAAGAUGGUUUCCUCAAUCUUUCAAUAAAGUUUUCUUUUUUACAAAAAUAUCACAAUAAUAUAGGGAGUAGGGACCGCGUUUUUCACAUGGUGGCUUCGCUGGGCCCUUUUUGUAUAAUAAUUAAUUCCUUUCCACAUAUACAUACAUAUAGACAUGUAUGACAAAUAAAUAUAUAUAACAAAUUAAAUCAAACUAGGGGGCUGUAAAAUCUUUUUUCUUCAACCUAGCUAGUUCAUGAGUUUUAAUUAAAAACUUUAACUCCAAAUCUAUUAUGAUAAUGUGAGAAGUGAUUCUAAACAACUCAAUAGAUUCUAGGCACUAAUUGACAAAAAUGUUCAUAUCUCAGUUUGUUAAAAGUAUCAAUAACGACAUAUCAACUUUCAGGACAAUAUAAUUGAUAUAUACUUUAUAAAUUUAUUAAACAUUUAGAAAUCUGUAGGAAUCAAGUAAAUUAAAAACUAACUUUGUAUUGUGUUUUAUAUAUUUUGAAUGGAAGGAAUUAAGGUAGGUUAAGGAAUUAGAGAUGGGGUUGUUGUCUUUAUUGGAGGUGGCAUCCAUGCCCAAUAUACAACUCCUCCUUAUUUCUUUAUUGGGAGCUUUCUUAGCCACUGAUUAUUGCAACAUUCUUCCUCCCCAUGCUACAAAGUCUCUUAAUAAGGUAUCAUUAUUAUUAUUUCAUUCUAUAUUAACUCAUUCCAUUGUAUAUAUGUAUGUAUAUAUAUUCUGAUUAAUUGUUUUGUUAUUACUGCAUGUGCAGAUUGUGUUUGCUGUUUUCACCCCUUGUCUCAUGUUUGCAAAUUUGUCCAAAACGGUCACCUUUCAGGACAUUAUUUCAUUGUAAGUUAAUAAACUUUUCCUUUUGUUAAAUUUAAUAUAAUAUAUGAAGCUAUUUAAUGUUGAUGUAUAUAUAGGUGGUUCAUGCCUGUGAAUAUUGGAUUUACGUUCUUAUUUGGAGGAAUGUUGGGAUGGACAAUUGUGAAAAUUUUGAAACCAAAGCCAUAUCUUGAAGGCCUUAUCGUUGCUUCAUCUGCUACUGGUGAGUGAGAUAUAUAGUCGUCUUAAGAAUGGAUUAAUUAGUGAAUUAAUAUAUAUCAUACAAACAUACAUAGGGAACUUGGGAAACCUUCUUCUGAUAAUCAUCCCAGCCAUUUGUGGGGAUGAGGGGAAUCCUUUUGGGGAUCGUGAAACCUGUACUUCUCGUGGAUUGUCUUAUGCAUCGUUUUCCAUGGCGGUACGUAAUUAUGAAUGUAUGUAUUAUUAUUCCUGAAAAUGAAUGAAUGAAUUAAAUUAAAGAUUAUUAUGCAUUAUUGUAUGCAGUUAGGGGGAUUUUACAUAUGGACAUACAGUUACCAUGUAGUGAAAACAUCCUCAUUACGCUUCAAACAACUUGAAGUUCCACAUGAUGAUUCCCAGUUGCACACUCAUCUUCUGCCUCAGAAACCUGAUCAAGGACAACCACAAGAUUCUUAUCUUCCCUCUACCAACAACAACACACUCAAAUCAGAUCAGGUAAUUAGUUAAUUUAAAUUGAUCUGAUAGGUGAUUGGUUUAACUUAUUUUUGAAUAACUGAUCUCUCAUGCAGAUUGAAUCUCAAUUAUUAUUAGAAGAUGGUGGAAGCGUGGUACCCAUUUCAGAGAAACAAUAUUCAGAUGAUGUGAUAUCAUCAAAAGGAUCAAGAUUAUUAAUAUUAUGGGGUAAAUUACAACAUUUGCUUCGCUCUAUUGUCAAGGAGUUGAUGGAGCCACCCACUUUAGGAGCUGUAAGUUUAUUACUUACAUAUAUAUAUGUAUAUUAAUUCUCUUUUGAUCAUCUAUUAAUACUAAAACUGCAACAAAUAAAAUGGAAUUGUUUUGUUUUGUUUUGUGUAAUUAAUAAAUAUAAUUAGAUUGUUGGAUUCAUUUUUGGAGCGGUGACAUGGCUGAGACAUUUGGUGAUUGGGGAGAGUGCUCCAUUGCGAGUAGUCCAGGACGCUGUCAAACUACUGGGGUAAUACUAAUAUGUAUAUGAUAUAUAUAUUAUUGUUCUUGGAAAUAAUUGUUAAUGAUGAAUAUAUAAGAAAAAUGAAUGCAUGCAGCGAUGGAACGAUCCCAAGCACAACGUUGAUCCUGGGCGCCAACCUAAGACAAGGGAUACAAUCGUCACAAACAUCAGUGCAACCAGUGAUCAUCCUAGCCUUAAUCCUCUCUCGAUAUGUUGUUCUCCCUGCAAUCGGAAUAGCCAUUGUGAAAGCAGCAAUGUGGUUGGGGUUUCUGCCACCGGACCCAAUGUACCAUUUCUUGUUGAUGGUUCAAUACACGCUCCCACCAGCCAUGUCCAUCGGCAUUAUGACUGAGCUCUUUGGCGUUGGUCAACAAGAAUGCUCUGUUAUUAUGUUUUGGACAUAUUCAGCUGCUCUCCUUGCGCUCGCGCUUUGGUAUACACUCUUCAUGUGGAUUUUAUCUACUUAAUUCUUAUUUUGAUUCCAGAUACAAAUUAUAAGUCGUCCAACAAAAUAGAAGGGCAUUAUAUUGUGUGUGUGUGUGUGUAUAUGUUAGAGGGCAUGCAAGGCCUACCUAUUAAUUAAUUUGGAGUAUGUAAUUUGUAGAAAGUAUCUUCUUUUCAGUUUAUUUUUACCUUUCCCACAACUUUUUCUAUAUACCUAAAAGUAUUUGAUAUAUACUCUAUAUCUUCCUUCUCACAUCACAUCAUCUUUUCCUUGUCUUAUCUUAUUACCUAUCAUUAUUAGACUCUCUUACUUGAUACUAAUUCAGUUCUUAAUUAUUUCAUUCUUUCUUUUAUUAAACUAGUGUAGAUAAUUAAUAAUGCUUUUGAAUUUGGAGAUAAUGCUUUACUACCCCAAAUAUAUCAUUCUAUCGGAUUUCAUAUGUCUGGCUAGGGUUUGGCUUGCCUUGAUCAUCAAGGCUAAGCAUCUCCUCCUAGACCAACUACAUAUGUGCCUUGGACAUGCUUCAUUCACUUUUCGUUAGGGUUGGCCAAGGUAAAGGCCAAACAUAUAUACAUUUUGGACUUUCAACUUGUUUGCUUUGGGCUACGGUCCUAUUCUUCUGUUCAAGUUAGUUAUUGAAAAAUUGCAAAGAUGACUAUUUUAAGGAUAUAACAACAUUUUUUAAAAAUUGCAAAUAUAGCAAAACUAUCACUAAUAAACUUGUAUCGUUGAUAAACUUUAUAUGGUAUAUCAGUGAUAGACCAAUAUUUGACUUAUAUCAUUGAUAGAAUUUGACAAAUUUUGCUAUAUUUGUAAAUUUUUUAAGAUUGUGCUAUAUACUUAAUUAAUUUGAAUUUAAUUGCUAAAUUUGCAACUGUCCCUUUUUUAUUCUCUCCAUUUUACUCCGAUUCUUAUUUUAUAUCUAGCCAUUAUACUUUUCCAUUUAAAAUUAUUAACAAAUGAAAACAACUUCAACCCUAAACUAAAAAGUUUUCCAACACAUAUAUAUGAGUAGGAGACUUGCUCUCUUUAUCUAGACAAAACACUAAACUUAAUUAUUCAACUAUACAUCAUUGUAGAGUAAAGGAGUAAAAGUCUAAAAGUUGGGAUCUUGAUUUGACACAUGCAUCUGCUUGUAACUUAAAUAGCAUACCAAUAUCUUCAAUGUUUCGAUAAUUGAAAAGACUAUAAUAUUGUUAAAUAAUUGAGGUAUAUGAUAAUACACCAAAAGAUUUUGUUUGAUUUUUUUUAAAAAUAAUAGAUUUUUUAUCAACUACCUUUAAAAGAGAUUUUUAUAAAUAUUAAGUUAUCGUUUAAAAAAAAAUUCUCAAAAAACAUGCUCAGCUUCAGGAACAGCUUAGAAGUAUAACUAGACCAACUUCCUUGAGCAAAGAAUCUUUGGAACCUGGGCAUUUUGGAAACGUGAGAAGAACAUAUAGAGACAAACUUGAGUUGGCACCAUAUCCUAUUGAUGGGGAGUGGCUACCAAAAAGUGCUGUGUACGCGCUUGUGGAUCUUAUGGUUGUUAUCUUUAGCCGGCCUAAAGGUCUCUUCAAAGAGUGCACAAAACGAAUUUUAUCUGGAAUGCUUACUAUACAAGGUAAAUAUUUUAGAAUGUUCACACCUUAACAACUACGAAACUGAAUAUACAUUUGUCCUAGAUUAACUGAUGUAGCCUAAAGAAUAAAAUGAGAGAAAUCUCCUAGAAUAAAGUCAAAAUCAGCCGCCUGGUGUACUUUGACAAAGGAGUUUAGCGCCUAUACUAUUCAAGACUUGUGUUUGAACUGGCCAGCCUUCACCACUUGAGUUUUUUGGCUUUUCUUUGUUCCAUUUCUCUGUUUUUUGUUUCCUAAUGUAUUUCUGUUUUACGUAGGAAUGUAUUUAUGAAUUUCUUUGGAUACUAGUUUCUUGAUUGGAAAUGAUAAGGUAGCUAACGACCUUACUUUUUUGAAAUGGAGACAAACCUAUUUAUUAAUAAUAAAUGAGACUAAUGCUCAAAGUACAAGAGUACUAAGAGCAAAAUAAGAAAAAGACAGUCAUCAAAGAUGAACCCAAACAAAACAUAUGGGAAAAAGACCAACAAACAAUCACAAAGUAGAAACAACAAAAGAACCAAAGCAACAAAGAGUUGAGACACUAGUUAAGAUCUUAAUACAAAGCAAAUAUAUAUACUUUCAUGAAAAGCACCCACUUCAGAUUGAAAUUUUGAAUACCACAUGCUUCAAUUCGAAAGGAGAAGGGAUCCAUCGGUUGCUUCAAUUAGAAAUUUUUGCUCUUUCUUGAAUAUGAGAGAAUUAGUUCUGAGUAAGUGGUCAAGAGACUAGAAUCAACACUUUAUCUGCAACCUUCAAACCUUACGAAGUACCUGAUUAUUGGACCAAAAGAUGGCUGAAAUCAGAUCUCGAAAGAAAACUAAUUUGCAUUUUUCUACUAUUGAGAAAUUAUCUUCAUUGACCUAGAUGAGAAGGAGGAAGGUUAUCAAAUUUUCAUUAAACCAAAAUGAUUUCACAAUCAUUGACUAAGGGCAGCAGAUCCUUAGGCAAUUCCAAGGGAACUUUGAUGGGAACAACACUGGCUUCAUCAAAUAGAAAAGAGAGAUCAGCCCCUUCAAUUUUUUCAUUAUUCUUGAUAUCAAAACCAUUUGUAAACCCUAGGGCCUCCUCACUACUGACACUAAAUGGGAACUCCAAGGUCUUGGAGGUCGGUUUGUCAAUGUCGGCACGACAAGGGGAGUCUUGCAACAAAUUAACUUUAGAGUUAAAAAUGGGGAGUUUUGAAUAUUUGAAAUGCUUGACAGGAGAGCCUGAGUUUAUGGACCUGGAAAGACGAUUAGAAGUUUGGAUUUUGGAGCUGCAAACCUCCAAAAGGUCAGGAUUGUUUGCUGAGAUAGAAUGCUUUGAAUUAUGCCGCCGAGAGGGGGCUGAAGCAAAAACUGAAGGAGAAGGAUCCUUGAAUUAUGCUUCCAAACUAAUUAGUCUUGUUGCAGAAACCAGAAACUGAAGCUGCGGAGGCCAUAAUAGGAAGUUGCCGUUGGUUGGAGGAAAAAAUGUAAUCUUUAAUUACUUUUGAGGAAAUCUCAUAAUUCUGCAUGAUAGUACUUAAAGGAGAUUUACCCUUUUUUCUUUCACUUCUGCAUGAUAGUACUUAAAGGAGAUUUACCCUUUUUUCUUUCACUACUUAGAUUUACAUCUGCCGAAUUAAUGGGAAGUUGGUUAAAAUCCAUGUGCCCUAGUUUCUUUUUAAUUCAAUUGUGACCAAUAAGGUUUUCAUUAAUUAGAAGUGGAGACUAUUCAGAUUCUCGCCCAUGGCUGCCACCUGUGUAAUUGAACCUUUCAUCUUCUCCAGCGUCAUACGGCUGGCCGGAAAAUGUUGCAGAGAUUGACAAGGGUUUCUACAUUUUGGUAAGGUUGCAAAAACUGAUCUUGGUACAUUAAGUACAAGUGGGAAGGAGGAGAGAUCACAUCCCUCAUCGAGCAAAGUUUCUCUUACCCUUAGUUGGUCAAUGGAGUUGCUGUAAACGUCUUGUACACUGGGAGAUUUUCUGGAAAACGGAGGGUUUGGAAACUCAAAAUCUCCAAAUGUAGAAAUAUGUUUUCCCUCUUUUGGUUAGAAAUUUCGAUCGUUAAAGGAACGAAUCCACACUGGUUUUUCUUGACCUUAAUACGAGCUUCACUACAAUUGGUAAAAUUAAGGGUUGGCUUUUUCUGAAUUUUCUGUUCAUUGUUUUACAGUUUUUUCUGGUCCCUUGUAAUAGGCUGAUUGUUAUUAGGUUGCUCCUCUGUUGGUUUUUGUGUUGAUGUUUUCUUUCUCGGGAUAUGAUGAUUGGCGUUAUGGAGGUGUCAACCUAGUUUAGAUGUCUGGGUGCGCCUUCUGGUCCUAUAGGUUCCCCCUUUCUUCUUUAUUGCUCUCUUUGUAUUAAUCUCUUAUACUUAGAGUUCUUAUUAAUAAAGAAGUUUUUGUCUCCGUUUCAAAAAAAGGGUUUCAGAGGCUAUUUCUAUGAAUCCUCCAAAAUGGUCUUUGAUUGUUUCGAAAAUACUUCUACACCAGAAAUCAAGAGGAAGGUUCUUCACUUUAAUCCAACCUCCAUAACCUUUCAACACCAAUGGCCUACUAUGUUUUGCACUGGCCCAUUUUUCAAAUUUUAGGUGGAAAUUGUCCCAUUCUUGCCAUCCUAGUUGAGAUGUUCGAGUGCAUCCCCUGACCCCUAAACCUCUUGUACUUUGAGUUCUGAAUAUCAAUAAAGAGGUUGUCUCCUUCUAAAAAAAUACUCAUGUACUUUGAGCUUUAGUCUCAUUAUCAUUAAUAAAGAAGCUUGUUUAUGUUUUAAAAAAAUAUCGAGGACAACAAGGUUUUAUCAAGUGCUUCCAAACUGAAUUGCAAAGUGGACAGCAUUCCGAUAAUGUACCUUUGUCUUCCUUUGUGUGGCUAUCUAGUUGAGAUGUUUGGGUGCACAUGCUGAUCUCAUAGGCUUAGAUCUUGUCUCUUCAUUUUACUCAACACUACUUUGUCUAUUCAUUUUCUUAAUGAAGAGGUUCAUUUUCCUUUUUUUUUCUAAAAAAAUCAUAACAUUUUGGUGACUUUCCUCUCUGCAAACUUCAGAAAGAUAUCAUUUUUUUUAAAAAGGAUACGAGUCUCACUAUUAUUAAUAUAAAUAAAGAGACAAAGCUCAAUGUACAUGAGGGUUAUACAAAGAGCAAUAGGGGGGAGGGAGGAUCAACGGGCGCACCCGGGCAUCUCAACUAGGUUGACACUCCCAUAGCGCCCUCAUCACAUUCAAAAAACGACAAUACAAGAAUCAAACAAAAAGCCACAAAUACAAGGGCAAACAAAAUGAUAAAAAUAAUCUGUCCAAAGCAAAAUCAUAAAUCAUAGGCAGCAGGCCGAGAACAAAGGCAUCAUUAAUAGUGGUUAUAGUGUUUUGCUAUCCUGCCUCUAACCUCAUAAAACUCGACACUGAGACCUGCAAGAAAUUUGUAAGUACAGCCAGUUUCCACAGUUUUUUUUAAUGCUUUUGAUCCUCUUUGACUUCCACUCAUACGUACCAAAGAGGUCAAGUUCUUGCCAAAUUCUUAAGAGUGAAAAUUCUGGGUAACUUAAUUACUUCCCUAUUGUAUAUCACCCAAUUCAAGGUUUGGCAUCCCACUUGGCAAACAAAGGAUUUUUUUAUCUCUGGUGCAAUUUUUUCUUUCAUAAUGUAACCAAUCUCUCCAUGUCCACGAAUAUACAUCUGAACACUUUGGGACCAACAAAGAAAAUUAUUCCCAUUAAGCUGGAUGGAGGUUAUUUGGAUGGUAGAACCGUUGGAAUGGAUUCAAUUGUUUAAAACUUUAGCAAUAGAUGACUUGUUAUCGGACAUUAUUGCUGGAAGUAGAGGAAAAACGAACUAAAACCCAAUAACCAGAGAACCAAAAGAAGGAAAGAAGGGAAAAGCUAGCCGCGAUAGCCUUGUUUGAUCUCUACCUCCGUCAAAAGGAAAGGUAUCAUCUUAGGCAAACCCAUCACUGAUUACACAAGUUUUUUCUGCCAUAUCUUUGUUCGUUACAUCAACCUCUCAUCUGUUCGUGUAGCUUUCAGAUCGACCGCCGACCUUUGGUGGGUCUCUACUAGGAGUUGUUUCCAAAUCCAUCGUCUGUUGUUUGUCUUAGCUCUGUUGCCUCAAAUUCUUGUGCACCCUCAAACCCGCAUAGUCCUCAUAUGCGCCGCUUCAUCCUACAAAUCCAUCUGCUGUGUUUAGAUUUGUUUAAAUCUAGAUUCGUCGUUGAUCCAUCUGCUUCAUCCUUCAUCGUUUCAGUCUAGAUUCAAUGAAGCCUCGACCUCUGAUCCGUUGGUGGCUUCACUUGCACCGAUCACCAUGGGUUUCAUUUGUCAGCACCACCAAACUCGUUGUUUGGUGUGUGCUUUUUUGUUCGUGCAUUAAAUUUUUCCCAGUUUGUAAAAGAUUAUCAUGUACCCUCUCAAUUAUUCUGAAUAUUCAAUAUAUUAUAUAAAAUGAUCAAAUCUGAAUUGAGAACCCUAUAAAAUCCAUGGAAAAAGAAAUUCUGGAAGAAGACUUGAGACAAUUCAAAACAACCGAGGCAAGAUAACUUUAUUGGGCAUGCUAAUCGGCUGGAAUCCCAAAUUUUCUUUUUGAAUUAAUGUCUUCUUGAAAAAACAUGUUUUCUGUCAUGCACUAAAAGAUGAGAUUAUUUUCAAAGAAGCUGCAAAUAAGUUAACGCCACAAUCAACUUACUUGCCAUGUUUCUACAAAGAAGAGAUCUUCGAACCAUAUACAGAAAAAUAAAUUAUUUGACUUUACAACUUCCAAUCUCCAUAUCCUUAACACUAGAGAAAUGAAAACGCAGAGGAAGGAGGCUAAGCAACAACUUACUAACCAGAGAAAGUAGUAAUGUUAACUGGAGAAUUCGGCAAAAGCAAUUGGAGAUACUGACUAAAGAGAGAGCGAGAAGAGAGAAGGGUGAGGAGAGAACAAACAUACCUCUAGAAUUCUUUUGAUUUAAAAUGCAAAUGAUAUUUUAUGUGCUCAUAUGAGUAUUAUAACAAUGUUGUAAAUAUCUUUUCAAGUUGUUUUUUAUUUUAUUUUAUCUUAAUAUUUUAAACAUUUUUGUUAUAUUGUUCUUUAUGGUCAUUUACCUUUUCCUACUUAGGUUACUCUUAUACACAUGUAUAUAUAUGUAUGUGUCUUCUGUGAACGGAAUAGAUUAUUUUGAUUCUCUCAAACCUUAGAGUUUUACCAUCACUUUCUUAUCAUCCCUCGAGAGUGAGAAUUAGCUACUAGUUGUUGGUAAGAGUCGAUUGACAAAUCAAUAACUUAGCAAAAAAUCAAGAGAAUGAAUUUAGGUGGCUCCUCAAUUAACUUGAUAUCGAAUGUUUUAUACAAUUUAGUUUUGGCCGGACUAUGAUUCACAGGCUCUACUUUUGUUUGUUUUCGGAACUCAAAUUUGCUCAUAGAAAUUUUUCUUGCAGAGGAAUUGGUGAAGCUUGGGAUAGCUGAUGGCGUAAGAGGUAACACUUGGAAGUUAGAAUACUAUCCAUACUUCUACUUCCCAAUGUUGAAUUUUGAUUGUUUCUUUUCAAUGCAUAUUUUGUGUGCAUGUAUAAAUGCAUAUUUUGUAAAAAGAAUGGGAAAAAGAUCCUUCCAUGGAAAUUGGUGACCGUUUAACUGGUGAAAUUGUUGGUUAAUUUCAAAUAUACUGUUGAGUUUAUACUUCAUGUCAUAUUUUCUUUGAGAAGAAAAGAGUUCUUAAACAAAAGGAACACUCAAUACAAAUCAAGAAAAUACAAAAUCAGUAAAUAUAAUAUAAUAAAGACAAAAAUGGGAAAUUGCUUUAAGUGACAAAAUUAUUGAACAUAUUCACAUAUAUAUCAAAAUGUCACGUCUAUCAGUCUAUCAACGAUAGACCGUGAAAUUUGCUAUAUUUGUAAAAGAAAUUGUUCAUUUUGCUCUAUUUGAAAACAACCCUACAAAAAAUAUAUAUUUAACAUAAAAGGAAGCAAUAUAUACUCCCCUUAUGUGACAACAAGAUAUCGUUUAUUGCAACCUCGUCAAUUGAACUGUUAAAUUGCCAUUUUAGGGGACCUUUAGUUAACACAUAACAAUUUUUUUUUUUUAACACAACAAUUUGUUCUAUUGUUGGGAAAGUAAGGAAUGCAGAUUACUCUAGCAGAAAUAUUCUCACACGCCCUCAUAUAUUCCUUCCUCUCGCCGGCCACUAACAAUUCUCUCCUUCCACCUCCGACGAUGGGCAGCACAACCGACAACGCUUCAUUGGGAUCCUUGUUCCUCUUUGAUAUAUUGCAAAGAUCUUCGUUGUGGGUCACCAUGGCCUCGUCGGUUCCACCUGUAUUCUAGAAUUCAGAGAAGUAUAUUUCUUAUACAUAUUGAGUCAGAGAAAAGUUACAUAUUUAUAUAGAGAAUAAAAUAAACCCUAGACACUAUGUACAAUUACAAUAAAGGACAUAGUUAUAACUAUAUAUCAUAACACUCCCCCCAAGCUGGAGCAAAUGUGUCGAUCAUGCCCAGCUUGUUGCACAGAUAGCUUAUCCUUGCUCCAUUUAAAGCUUUAGUCAAAAUAUCUCCUAAUUGUUCUCCAAUCUUUACGUAUCCGGUGGACACCAACCCAUCUUGGAUUUUCUCACGAAUGAAGUGACCAUCCACCUCAAUAUGUUUAGUUCGUUCAUGAAAUAUUGGAUUAGAUGCAAUGUGAAGUGCAACUUGAUUAUCACACCAUAAUUUAGCUAGCACUGUAAUACUAAAGCCUAUCUCAGAUAAUAAUUGGUGAACCCAUAUUAUUUCGCACACAGAUUGUGCCAUAGCUCGAUAUUCUGACUCAACACUCGAACGAGAAACAACAUUUUGUUUCUUACUCUUCCAUGAUACUAAGUUUCCACCUACAAAGACACAAUAUCCAGAAGUUGAUCUCUUAUCCUCACAAGAUUCUGCCCAAUCAGCAUCAGAAAAACAUUCAACUCUCGUAUGUCCAUGAUCUUUGUGAAAGAUCCCACAUCUAGGAGCAACUUUUGGAUAACACAAAAUCUGCUCUACUGCAGCCCAAUGAUCCAUUGUAGGGGAAGACAUGAACUGACUUACAACAGUUACAGAAUAAGCAAUGUUUGGUCGAGUUACUGUUAAAUAGUUCAACUUCCCAACUAAUCUCCUAUAUCUCCCAGGAUCUUUACAUAAUUCUCCUUCUUUAACAAGUUGCUGAUUGUAGAUUCAACAUGGUGGGUUGAGGUGUUGUAAAGGAAGUACAACCUUUUGUUCCGCUUUUGGGUUUGGACUUCUUUGGCAAGAUGGUUUUGAGAUCACCGUCUGCAUCUUUUUGCUAGUCUCUAGAUUUGAAUGGUUUCCUUUUGAGAGAGUUAUUUUGUUAUGCUUUGUAUUUAGUUCUCUUCGUUUUGUUUUAGUUUUAACUUCAUUUUUUCUGUUGGAUUUCGCCUUUUUAGCCUAUUCUUUGCUUUUUGUUUGUUUUGGUCGUUUUCCCUUGUUUUGGCUGAGAUCUUUUUUGGGCAGUUUGUUUGGUUGUUUUUGUCUUUUCUUGUUUUGCUCUUUGUAUAAUUCUCUUAUACUUUGAGCAUUAGUCUCAUUUUCCUUUAUUAAUAAAGAAACUUGUCUCCGUUUCAAAAAAACAAGUUGCUGAUUUGGCAUCAUAGGAGUGCCACUUGGUUUGGUUCCUAAUUUUCCUGUCUCGGACAAUAAAUCAAGUACAUAUUUUCGUUGAGACAAAUAAAUACCUUUCUUGCUUCUCAUCACUUCACUGUCAAAAAAAUAUUUCAAUUGGCCCAAAUCUUUUGUAUAAAACUGACCUUGAAGGAAAGUUUUGAGAGAUGAAAUACCCGAGCAUCAUUUCUAGUAAUAACAAUAUCAUCAACAUAUACAACUAGUAGAACUAUACCAUUAUCAGAUCGGCGAUAGAAAACUGAAUGAUCAGAUGUACUCUUCUGCAUACCAAAGCAUACAAGAGCUUAACUAAACUUACCAAACCACGCACGAGGACUCUGUUUCAAACCAUACAAAGAUUUUCGAAGGUGACAUACUUUAUCUCUCCCUCUGAGCAACAAACCCAGGUGGUUGCUCCAUAUAAACUGAUCACCAUGCAGAAAAGCAUUCUUAAUGUCAAGUUGAUGCAAAGGUCAUUUAUGGGUAGCAGCCAUGGAAAGAAAUAGGCGGAUGGAAGUUAAUUUGGCAACUGGAGAAAAUGUAUCUGAAUAAUCAGUUCCAUAGAUUUGAGCAUAACCUUUGGCAACAAGGUGACCUUCCUCACUCAGGUUUGUUCUAGCACUCAAGUAAUGGAACUCUUCAAUAUAAUGGAACUCUUCAAUAUAUUUGGCUAUCGUUUUAGUACCUUGGCGGCAAUUCUGGUACUGGUUAUAUAAAGCUUGUUCAUAAGUCGGAGGUAAGAACCAAGCCUUCAACAACUUCUUCAUCUUCUCCCAAGAACGGAUGGGCUGCUUCCCACAUCUUUGUCUAUUGAUCUCUAGCUGACCUUACCAUGCCAAAGCACCAGCUCUGAGUUUCAAGGCCACUAAGUGCAUCUUUUCUUGUUCAGAAGUAUCCAUGUAGUUGAAAAAAUUCUCAAUGUUCUUUUUUUUUUUGCAACGGAGACAAAAUUCUCAAUGUUCUUUAUCCAAUCUAAGUGCAUCUUCCUCCCGUUUGCCACUAUACGUUGGAAGAUCAAUCUUCAUCUUGUAAUCAUGAUGUACCUCUCUUCGUGCAUCAAACCUCCUAUUGUUUCGUCUCAUUCGCACUUCAUCAUUAUGGUUCCAUAGAUUUCCUUGUUCAUUGUUGCCCUUCGUACCAUCUUCUUGUAGUUCUUCCCAUACUUCUUGGUCCUCUUGAAUAUCUUCUUCAAGGUACUGUGGCGGGUCGUAACCGGGCCUUCCUCUUUGGGCGUGUCAUUGGUUGUGGAGGUUUUUGUAAUUCCUUCUUGCUCGUCGACCUCGUCUGUCACUGAAAUUAUAGUCGUUUGCCACAUUUGCUUCUUUUCGCGGCGGCGGCGGCAGCUCAUCCAUCCUUCUGUUCAGCAACUCGAAGUUCUCCAUCAUUCUAUCAAACUUGUUGUGAAGAUCUCCCAAGGAUUCCUCGACGGCCAGCAAGCGAACCGUUGAUGUCUCUGGAGAGAGGGCGGCGAUUUCCUCCACUUCUUCUUGCACACGAUCGUCCCCCGCGGCUGGGUUUAUUCCUCUCCGGCCAGCAAGGUUAGUUAUGAGAAAGUUGUUACAAAACAGUUAAGUAUUCUAACUGUUUUAACUACCAUGCAGUUUGGCUAACUCUUUAGACUAUCUCUGUUAUUAUUCUUAUUAUAUCAAUAUGUCUUUCCCUUAUUCACAGCAUCACAAUAGUCUCACUUAAAUAGAAGAAAGACCUAAAAUAGAAAGGGAAAAAAUCAUAUCGUAAUAAUCACAUUCUAAUUUCAGCAAAUAUAAUAACACUAAUUAAGGGAUAAAUCUAAAGUUGUAUACACUUCACAAUUUCAUGUUGUAACAAACUAAAAAACUCUAAUUAAUUAACUCUAUGAAACUUUGUUUUUAGCAGAAGUCAGUUUGCAGCACUCUGCCAUAUGGAUGGCUGGCGUUUAUUUAAUGCUCAUUAUGCAACUUCUUGAAAACAAAGUAGCCAUUGAGUUGACACGUUCUGAAUUUGUUGAGGCUCAAGAGGUAAGAACUAGGAAAGUUUACUUAUCUGUGAGUGUACUUUUUUUCAAUUGUCAUCCCUCUCUCACCCUCUAUUUGUGUCUUGUUGACUUAGUCUUUUCCUUUUCCUUGUGGUGUUCUAAAGGUUUUCGUGAUAUUCAGCACACACUUUUAUCCUCUUUUGCAAGAAGUAUCUCCAAAUGAUACAAGCUAAUGUUCGUUAGUUGUAUUUUGUUUGGUCGUUUUGCUGGAGUUUGUUCUGUAGCUUCAGAACUUUAUAACUAGGGUAUAUAUAUAUAUUACCAAAAUAAAUAAAUAAUAGAAACAACAAAGGUAUUAAAAUUGGUAUUAAAGUUUGGUUAUACCUCAUGGCCAGCAUCAUACUUCCUGUGACCUAAGAGCUUUGCAAAAGUUUCUUUUGCUCAAAAACAUUGUUUAGAUGUAAAUUUUUUUGAAAUAGAGACAAACUUCUUUAUUAAUAAUGAAACUUAAAGUACAAGAGAAUUAUACAAUGAGAGUAAAUAAAAAAAUCCUAUAAGAGGUAACCUUGGGGAUCAAGAGGCGCACUCGGACAUCUCAACUAGGUGGACACCCCCUAGCGCCAAUCAUCAUAUUCCAAAGAAACGAAACAAAACCAAACUAAAAUUAUUUGAUGUCCAGAUUAAUACAACAGAGUCGAGACAAAAGAAGCUAUCAGAAAAGAAAACAAUGCAAACCAGAGAAAACAUCUAACACCUGUGAAGGCCAAAACAAGAAAUACAUGAAAAUUCUAUGGCUAAAGUAAGAAAAAAAUGAACCAAUCCACCAAGACUUCAAAGCGUAGAAAGAGGCCUGCUGUAAGAAUCUUUCAAUCUGAAUAUUCUGCAGUCGAAAUCACCAACUAUAAUGCUGGUUGAGAGAGAAAAACAUCCCAGGCAUAUGUCUUGAAUGGAGUAAUUCUCAAAUUCCUUAUUUAAAGAACACCAAGCUGUAGCAUUACGUUAGGCAGACAAUUUCUGACCUUGGUCUUUCCUUAUCAUGAAAAAUCCAUUUGUUACGCUCGAGCCAUAAUUCCGUAAGGAGAGCUUUAGACCUGUUUACCCAUAUUAAAUGUGGUUUCUUAGAUAGAAAUGGACCCAUCAAAAGCUGAAGCACAUUUGAACUUAGGGACCCAUUAAAAACCCAAUCAGUUUUAAAGAUAGAGAAUAUGCUACCCCAGCAGAAGGAUGAAAAGGGACAGGUCAUAAAGAGAUGAAGAAGGUCCUCAUUAGCCUUCAUACAGAGAGGACGGGCUGAAGAAGAAGGUACUUGUUAGUUUAUUUCCUUUGCCAGAUUUCUGAACUGUUGAGGAACCCAAAAACCAUAAUCCACAUUAGAAUAUUAAUUCUCUGAGGACUGCUUGAAUUCCACAUAGCUUUAAAUAAGUGGUUAUCCAUCGGGGAGGCAGUUUGUAGAUAAACCCAAAGAGACUUAACAGUGUAAUGGCCUUGGUGGUCAAUGGACCAAUAUCUAUAAUCUUCAGAAUCUCACUUUUUCAGACAAGGGGAGGUAUAAUAAGGAUUAAAACUCUGCAAUUUCAUCUUCUUUCAAACAUCUUCUAAAAGAUAAGAACCAAGAUAAAGUUUCAAUGUCCCAAUGUGUUGCAACAGAGCCGUUGAGCAAUAGAGCAAUUCUAAAAAGCUUGGAAAAUUAAUCCUUGAGAGGGAUGACAUCAACUCAAAGAUCUAUCCAGAAUCCGAUUCUACAACCAUUGCCAAGUUUAAAUAAAGCUAGUGAUUCCACCGACCUCCACACUCUUGAAAUGCUUACCUAUGGACUCCUUAGGCUAUUACCAAACUUUUCCAUUGCAAACCAGUCAAAUGCCUCUUUGCCGUGGAUGCUUCUUUCUAUUUGCCUACAUAAAGCUGUCUUCCUUUUAAAGUUUCCACCCUCACUUAGCAAGCAAAGCAAUGUUAUGUACUUUAAUGCCACCUAAGUCGAGACCCCAUCCUUUAUUGAUAGUGUAACCUUGCUGCAAUUCACAAGUUGAUUGAUUUUACUGCCAGCAUAACCUUCCCAAAAGAAAUUCCUCAUAAUUUUCUCCAAAGAGGCAGCCACAUUUUUCGGGGAUAGAAAACAAAGAUUGAUAGUAUGUGGGGAGACUAGCCAAGACCGAAUUGGACAAAGUAUGUCUACCUCCUCUAGAAAUGUUAAAUUUUUUCCAUCUAUCUAAUUUUUUGUGAACUCGAUCAAUAACUGGUUGCCAAAACUCUUUUUGUCGAGGGUAGCCUUCCAAGGGGAGACCGAAAUAUAAAAAAGGUAACUUUUCUGCCUUGAAACCUAACCGGUUUGCUGUUUGAAACAAGACUUCCUCAACCACAUUGACACCGCUAAGAGCUGAUUUUACCCAAUUUACUUUCUGCUCCAAACACCAUUCGAAAAGCUUUGGCAGUGUUUAAAGUAGGAAAUGGCAGAAGAACAGCCUUCAGGUCAGAUCUGUGGGUGGUUAAAAUUCCUCUAAAAUUCGCAUUCCCACGUUUGUUCAGAAGUGCACGCAUUUCGGAAGGAUCUACUGCUGACCAUUGGGAUUUCUAUACUUCUUCUUGGUCUUUAACCUUCAUAAGAUUGCGGAAAGAAGAAGAAAUUAAUGAUUUUCAGGCUCUUUUUUCUUUGUUGGCAGGAAAAGAAUUACCGAGUGCCCCAGAUAAAAGAAUGUGGUCUUUGGAAACAAGCGGUGCCUUCUCUAUUAAAUCCCUUGUUAAUCACCUUUCUUCUGCUACACCCCUUGAAAAUUCACCGGAAGUUUGCAUCUGGAAAUCAAACAGCUCGUGAAGAGUGAAUAUUACUCUUUGGAUUAUGCUUUCUGGGAAUUUGAAUUGUGCUGCCGUUAUGCAAAGGAAACUCCCCUCGGUCCUUUAGGCCCCUCCAAACCCAGACAAAGGUAGGUUUCUCUCUCUUCUCUCUCCUCUCUCCUCCCCCUCUCCCAUCCUUCUCCUUCUCUAGCAGUCAAUAUCGACGACUCAAUUUUUCUUUUUCGUUCUCCUCCUAGCGUUUCUUAAUCCUUCAGUCAGAAGUUUUGAAAUGAUGGAAGUGAUAAGAUGUCGAAUCCUCCAAGCACACUGCUGUAUCUGGUUGGAAGAUGGAAAGUUCCAAGUAGAAGAUGUGGAAGCGCAAAGAAGGUUGUCAGUUUCAAAGGCACAGCUGAACCAUGAAAUCUAUAGCGGUCCUUAUGAGAGGUACAAAAGAUGGUUUCUUUCAUAAUUCUGGGGAUUUGGAUCGAGGAAGAAUGAAAGUGUCGAAAUUCUGGUCCAAAGUUGGAUGGAUGCUAUGCUGUGAUUUUUGGCCUUUGUCAAGUGGUCACUCCAACAUUCGAAUGCGUGCAGGGGAGGACAGGCAGAGGUGGUUAGAUUUCCAUAAAAUGUUAAAGAGUUUCCUGUCUAAGGUAGACUAUACAAGAUGGUUUGCAAAUACAAGGCCCACGUCUAAUUUUCCAUCUGAGAGCAAGAGUUUAAGCUACGCAGACAAGGUUAGGACGCUAAAAAGGUGUCAACCUAGUUGAGAUGUCCAAAUGUGUCCCCUGAUCCUUAGGUCUCUCUUUUGGUACUCUUAGUAUAUAACUUACUUUGAGUUUGAAUAUUAAUGAAGAGGUUCUCCUUUUCAAAAAGCAAAGGAAACUCCUCUCUCAUUGCUUAUUGCCUCAUAUCUGCCCCCUUUGUUUAAAUAAUCUGGAGGAUUUACAGCACCAUCCCUUUGAUUGUGACUAUGCUAAGAGAUGCUGUUUCAGAUUGCUUCAAACCUUUAAUCUAUCUUGGGUUUUUGGAAAUGAUUUUAGGAGUAAUGUCCAACAUACUUUGGUUGGUCCAGCCCUCAAGAAAAGGCCUUUUUUUAUUUGAAGCAACGCGGUAAAAGCCCUACUAUCUGGAUUAUGGUUUGAAAGAAACCAAUGAGUCUUCCACGAUAAAAUUUUCCCUUGGCUAGACCACUUUGAGCUUCCUCAUUUAAACGCUUCUUCAUGGUGUAUGCUUCCAAAUAUUUUUGAAGACUUUUCAAUUCAGGAGAUCAAUCUGAAUUGGCAGGCUUUCAUUUUCCCUCCUAAGUAGCAGAAGACUUUUUGUGUACUUAUUUUUCUGUCUUAGGAGUCAUUUUGUAUUUGUAUCACUGCUUGUUAUUUUCUUGAGUUCUUGGUCUUAAUGUUCCUAUAUUUUUUUCUUUGGACAUUGAGUUUGGGAUGUAUUUCUUAUUUCUUAUUUUGACUAUUCUCCUUGUUCGGAUAUGAUGAGAGCGCUAAGGGUUGUCAACCUGGUUGAGAUGUUGUAUAUUUUCUUGUAUUUUGUAUAGUGACUCUGUUUCUUUUCAUUAAUCAAUGAAAAGUGUGUUUCCUUUUUUAAAAAAAAAAAUUGAUUAUAAUACACGAGGAAUCCUAGGUUUGGAAUUAAUUAUAGAAGAACAGGACAUCUAAAAAUAAUUAUAAGAUGUAAAUGACUUCACAAAUCUACAUCUUGGUAUUCCAUUCUUUGGAUGUUUCAGGUUUUGUCUUCUUACUCUUCAUUGGAGUAUAUAUUCUUUGAACAUUUUUGCUUCUUUUCAUUAAAAAAAAAUUUCAUGUUAAAAAAUGUGACAAUAUCCCAAAGAAGAAAGUGGAAUGUUUGCCUCUCCGUCGGUAGGCGCAUCCUUUGUCUAAAUACCUGUAUUGUAUUAUGUAGGCCUUAGUGCAGAUGAAGAAUUGGUUCUUGCGCUUUCCUACAAUCUUACAGGCAUGUGAGAGUAUGAUUGAGAUGCUUAGAGGCCAGUAUGCUCACUACGUUGGUUGUUACCAUGAAGCAACUUUCCAUUAUAUCGAAGCUGCAAAGGUCUUGCAAUUUUAGUUUCCAUGCUUCUGAUACUGCUUGAAAUCUCACACUGUGCUUAUGGUUUGUUAUUUGUGUCAAAUUUUGUUGAUUCUCUUGUCUGAUUGUGUAGCUUACAGAGAGCAAAUCAAUUCAAGCAAUGUGCCAAGUUUAUGCUGCUGUCUCUUAUAUCUGUAUUGGCGAUGCUGAAUCAUCUACUCUUGUAACAUUUUCUCCUGCUUAGAAUUUAUAUACAAGAUGAAAUAUACUAGCUUCCACAUUUUUUAGUUUGAUUGAUUGAAAUAGCAUUACAGGCACUUGACUUGAUUGGACCAGUUUACAGCAUGAUGGAUUCUUUUGUUGGUGUUCGAGAGAAAACAAGUGUUCUUUUUGCGUAUGGCCUCUUACUGAUGAAGCAACAUGAUUUACAAGAAGCAAGGUAUCUUUUUCCAUUUAGAUAGGAGAAUACAGCAAGUAUUUGAGGUCUUAAUCUUCCCCUGCAAGGUUUUAAGUGGCCAACUACCACUGCCUUGUAGUGAGUUCUGACCCUUUGCCAAGUGAUCUGUUGAUUUGCAUUUUUUAUGGCCCUUAUUUUAGAAGCUUUGUUAACCUUCCUACAAACCAAAGUAGGGGUGAUCUUCAGUCUCUCCUUUUGUGUGUGUUUUGUGUAUAAUUCUCUGAGCAUUAGUCUUGAUUUUAUUAAUAAAAUUUGAGACUGUCUCCUUUAUAAAAAAAAAGGAAAAACAAACCAAAGUAGGGGUGGAAACGGUUUGGUUUGGUGGCAAACUGAACUGAAUUGCAGAUUUGAAAGUUUUUAAUGGCAAAACCAAACCACCCUGCUUUGUCUGUACAGACCGAACAGCAUAUAUGCUGUUUGUUUCGGUUUGAUUUUCAAUUUUUCUCUUUUCUUAGAAAGAAAUUGAAGGAGAUAUUGAUUGGCAAGAGGGUGAGAGAAGAAGUAUGUUGGAAAUUAAAGCAUAAGACUGCCAAAGAUUAAUUUUUUUUUUACUAAUAAAGCAGAAGACUGCUGGAGACGAAGGUCAAACAGAGAGAUGAAGACAGCCUGCCAAAGAUGGAGAUGAGAAAGAAUCGGAAAUGGUCCAGAUGGAGAUGAAGACAGGGGAUGAGGAGAGUUUGAGAGAUGAGAAGGUGGACACAUGAGGAGAACCGAGAUACUGAGAGAGAGUGAGUGGCCGAGAAGAUUGGAAAAGUUGACCAUGGGCAGUGGCAAGUGGGCUGCGAACUGCGGAGAGUUGAGAGACUGAGAGUGAGCAAGAGAUGAGAAAAAUAUAAUGAAAAUCAAGUGGGCAGGCAGCGGCAAGGCACUAGGCAAGGCAACCCUAAAUUAUAUAUAUAUAUAUAUUUUUAUAAAUGCAGUUUAGUUCAGUUUGAAAAUCAGUUUUCAUAAAUGAAGCUAAACCGAACUGAACAAUUCAGUUUUAAAAUUUCUUUAAACCGAAUCGAACUACAUUUUUCAGUUUUAAUAAGUUUUCAAUACCUGAUCCCCUAGGACUCCCCCGUUUAUCUUCUUUUUUAUUGCUCCCUUUGUAUAAAUCUCUUGUACUUAGAGUUCUUACUAAUAAAGAAGUUUCGUCUCUGUUUAAAAAAAAAAGUAAGUUUUCGAUUCGAUUCGGUUCAGUUCAGAUUUUAUAAAUGGUUUGGUGUUAUGGUUUCAGUGACCACCCCUACCAGCCAGAUUUCUAAAUAAGAAUUCGGGUCGGAAAAGGAAAUUUAAUAUAGUAGAAGGAAGAAGAGGAAAGAGAGUGUUAGUGUUGGCACGUGUGAGUAGGUUGUGUGAGUUAGUUAGGAUAUUCUUUCUAAAUCAUUAUAAACAGAGUUGUAGUCUUGGAGGGAAAGUAGUUAGAUUUCGGAGAUUUAGUCAGGUGUUUGUGCACCUUUGAGAGAGAAGGUUGUUGAUUUUAUGGAAUUAAUCUAUAUUUCAUUCAUUAUUUAGUAGAGAUACAAGCCUAUAUAUAACCAUAGAGAAAUACACUUAAGGAAAUAAUAUCAAAUAAUAUCUCCAAAAUAAUAUCUCCUAAGAAUAAUCUAAUUAUAUUAAUACCCUCCCUCAAACUCAAGGUUGAAAUCACAAACUUGAGUUUGCUAAGAACUAAGAAAAGAAACAAUAUAUCUAGAAUAGAAUAAAAAACCCGAAGAACAAACACACAAAGAACUUCUAGGUUAAAACAAACCCACGAAAAACUUCUGGGAUAGAAACAUAGAUCUUCGUAUAGAGAUCUAUAACAGAACCUAGGAAGAACGAAACAAGAACUUCGGGGGCAAAAUGAAAGAGCAAAACUGAAGCAAAGUAGAAUCAAAGCUGGACAAAAACAGGGUCGGAAUUGGACAGAAGUGUUUUGUCGGAUCAGAAUGGAACCGAACGAACUAAACUAGAGCAAGUCAGAAUCAGAUUAAACGGGAAAUCUGGGGCGAACAGAACGGAAACUGAACUGAAUGGAGCAGAGAGGCUUAGCGGAUCUGAACAAAAACAGAAACGAGGCGUCGUUGGAUCUGGGCUUCGAUCUAAACUUUGAAGGCAGACAUGAAGGAUGGGUCUGAACGAAAUUAGACAGAUUUGGAACAGAUUGGAGGCAGACGCGAGGAUCUGAGGACAUGGGGUUUCAUGGUUUUGUUGGGACAGCGCAAGGAGAUGGAGCAACGGCAACUUUAUGUUGCGGCGAGCAGAGCUUCUUGGACGACGAACAAAACCGAAACUCUUCGGCUGGGCGUUCGACUUCAACUGACAAAGGUUCAAUCGGCUGCUUGGCUAACGGAAAAACAAGAGAUCGGACGAAGAACUAUGAAGGAGAUGGCCGCCGCAGACGCUAGUGAAAAACGAAUGGGGUUUCUGGGGUUUGGAUGGUGGCAGAUUUGAACAGCAAUGAGUGGCAAAGGGAAGGUGCAACGACAACGGCGGAUUUGCAGAUCUAAGGGGCGGCUUCAGCUAAUGGGAGAUGAUUCUGCCUCCGUUGAUGAAUGAUCAACGGAGGCAGAGAUCAAACGGGAUGUGGAGGCUAGAAUUCAAUAAGGGGAAAACCCUAGAGCUCUGAUACCAUGUUGAUUUUAUGGAAUUAAUCUAUAUUUCAUUCAUUAUUUAGUAGAGAUACAAGCCUAUAUAUAACCAUAGAGAAAUACACUUAAGGAAAUAAUAUCAAAUAAUAUCUCUAGAAUAAUAUCUCCUAAGAAUAAUCUAAUUAUAUUAAUAAAGGUAGCAGUGAGAGAUAGUAACCGAAUUGAGAUUUCCUCAAUUCGUUUUAUUAUUCUUCUUCUUUGAUAUUGCAUUCGAUUUGGUUAAAUUAUCAAUAAAAGUUUCAUCGAUAGAACACAACCUUAGUGUUCCAUCACAUUGCCAAUGAAGUGGUGGAAGAAUACAUAGUGAAAAAGAAGAAAGUGUGGCUGAUUAAGUUGGACCUUGAAAAAGCGGGUCAAUUGGGACUUUUUAGAAAAAGUAAUAGCACAAAAAAAUUUUGAGAUGGCCGAUGGAUAAAAUGAUAAUAGGUUGCAUGCUCAAUCCCAAAUAUUCAAUCUUUAUAAAUGGCCGACCAUGAGGCAGAAUUCAAGCAUCAUGAGGCCUUCAAUAAGUAGACCCACUUUUCCCAUUUCUUUUCCUCCUAGCAAGUGAAGUUCUAAGUAGCCUAAUUUCAAUAAUACAUACGAAUGGGAAUGUUUGAAGGCUUUAUUGUAGGCAAAGACAAGGUACAUUUUUCCUUUAAAAAUGAUGAGGCAAUGAUGGAAAUCCUCCAAAAGACUUUGGUCUUAUUAGAAUGGUGUUCUGGACAAAAAGUCAAUUGGGAAAAAUCUGCCAUUUCUGGAUUUAAUAUAGAGGAAAGAAUGAUCACUAAAACGGCCUCAAGACUAAGAUUUAAGAUGUAAGAUAGAAAAGCUUCACUUAAUGUACCUUGGUUUACCGCUUGGAGGCUACCCAAAAAGCUCCUUAUUCUGGCAGCCCAUUAUAGAUAGUGUUGUUUUUAUGGAAUGAAUCUCUAUUUCAAUGAUCAUUUAACAAAGGUACAAGCCUAAAUAUACUAGAUGAGGAAUAACUUAAGGAAAUAAUCAAUAGAACAAUAUCAUAAUAAUAUCUCCUAAAAAUACUCUAAAUCCUCCAAUACCCUCCCUCAAACUCAAGGUUCAAAUCACGAACUUGAGUUUGCUGAGAAAAGAAACAAAUCAGUAGAUUAGAAACCCACGGAGAACAAACACGAAGAACUUCUUGGUUAAAACAAACCCACGAAGAACAAGACGAAGAACUUCUAGGAUAGAAACAUAGAUCCUCAUAUAGAGAUCUAUAUCAGAACCUACGAAGAACGAAACAAGAACUCCUGGGCUUAGAUGAGGGGAAGGUUGGUUGGAUUUGGAGCAGACGGAUCAGAAUCGAACAGAUCUUGAAACGAGAUUGGAUCUGUGGGACAAAGCAGAUGAAAACCGGAGAUGUGCGGGACAAAUCUGAACUGAAACCAGAGGCGGAAACCAAAUCAAAGCAGGUUGGAAUCAGAUUGAACGGAUUCGAAAUCUGGAGGUGAACAGAACAAAAACCAAACUGAUCAGAGCUGAGAGGCUGAGCGGAACUGAACAAAAAAUAAAUCGGGGGCGGAUGGUGGUGAAAAUGAAGAACACGAAUGGGGUUUCUGAGUUUGGAUGGCAGCCGAUUUGAGCGGCAAAGGGAAUUAAGGUGCAACAGCGGUGGCGGAUUUGCAAAUCCAAGGGGCGGUGGCGGUUAAUCGGGGAUGGCUCUGCCUUCGUCGACGAAUGAUCAAUGGAGGCAGAUAUCGAACGGGGAUGUGGGGGCUAGAUUCAAUGAGACAAAAGAAACCUAGAGCUCUGAUACCAUGUUCUUUUUAUGGAAUGAAUCUUUAUUUCAUUGUUCAUUUAGCAAAGGUACAAGCUUAAAUAUACUAAAUGAGGAAUGCACUUAAGGAAAUAAUCAGCAGAAUAAAAUCUUAAUAAUAUCUCCUAAAAAUACUCUAAAUACUCUGAUAGAUAGAAUUCAAGGUAAACUAAGCAAGUUGAGAUACAACUUAUCUUGUGGUGGAAGAAUCACACUGUAAAUCGGUCCUUUCCAAUCUCCCAACUUACUACAUAUCAACUUUCCUCAUGCCAAUUUCAGUUUCUAAUACCUUGGAGAAAAAUCAUGAAAGAAAUUAAGGGAUUUGAGAAUAAUGGGGGAAAGCUGAACCAUUUAGCUAAAUGGUCUAAAAUCAUCAAAAGCCAAAGAGAUGGGGGCUUCAGCUGAGAAUAAGAAAUAGAAAUAUGGCUCUUUUAUCAAAAUGGGGAUUGAGAUUCAUGUCAUAACAAAAGGCCACCUUGAGUUUGAGAACCCUGUGGAUUAGUAUUUCAAGAGAAUGGCGCAAGAUUAAAGUACUAGCCACUUUCAAAAUUGGUAAUGGCAGCAGAGUGUUUUUUUGGACUGAUCCAUGGCUGGAUAAUAUUCCCCUAAACAGCAAGUUCCUUAGAUUAUCUCGUAUUGCCCUCUUGCCUAAAGGGUCAAUUUCUGAACAUUGGGAUAGCCAAAUUAGUUCCAGGGCGGUUUACUUUAAAAGAUUAUUGAAAGAAGAGGAGGUUGUUGACUUUCAAUCACCGACGAUUUCUUUAAUGGGAAAAUGGUAAACUCUAAUCAGGACAAGAAAGUUUGGUCCCUAUAACCAAGUAGCUGCUUCAUCGCUAAAUCCUUGCUUACUCACCAAUCACCUACUUCUCCAAUUGAUGUUUCUUUAUACUGGGGGCUUUGGAAAACUAAGAGCCCUUAAAGAGCCAACAUAUCUGUGUGAAUUAUGCUUCAAGGGAAUUUUAAUUGUGCUAAGAAAGCUUUCCUCUCAUUGCCUAUCUCCUCAUAUGUGCCAUCUAUGUGGUAUGAAUCAAGAAGAUCUUUUUUCGAGUGUCCUUAUGCAGUGAAUUGUUGGUGUAGGCUGAUGCGAAUUUUUUAUUUCAGAUGGGUUUUUUAUGGCAGCUUUAGUGGUAAAGUGCUGCAAAUUCUCUCUGGACCAGAUUUAGAGAAAAUCUCAUCAAUAUUGUGGUGCAAUGCAGUCGUAGAAAUAUGGUUUGAAAGAAAUCAACGUAUUUUGCACGGUUUAGAUUUGUCUGUUAGUCUUUUGUUAAUGAUAGGCUGCUGUUGUAAAGGUCUUAUUUUUUGGACCACUUUUACUAGCUCUAUGUCAUUUCACUUUUCUAUUUUUUGGAUAUGAUGAGGACGCUAAGAAGGUGCCAACCUAGUUGAGAUGUCCGGUGCGUCUAUGAUCCCUAGUUCUUUAAUUGCUCAUUGUAUAACCCUAUUGUACUUUGAGCUUUGCCUCAUUUUUACAAUAAAUGAGAUCCGUUUCCUUUUAAAAAAAAGGAUCACGUAAUUAAUGAUCUGCAUGUCUGUAGUUUUCAGCUUUGUGUCAAUCAGCAGCUGAAUUAUGGCUUCUUACUUUGAGCCUUCCUGUAACCAUUCCUUGUAUGUUUUCUAAGCUUUUCUUUGUAAAUAGUGUUCAUAUUUGUAUCUUAUCUUUUCUUAUCAAUGUAUUAGGUUCUAGUUAAUGGAUGUGGCAAAGCUAUACUUUGCUGCAUAGUUUUUUGCUUUUUUUUUUUUUUUUUGUAAAAUUCACUUUUGGUCCACAAGAUUCAGAGUUGAUAUCUUUUUUAUCUAUGAGAUUUCAAAAGGUGCACCUGUUAGUCAAAAUGGUCUCUAACUCGAAUGGACUAUUACUAAUAGCAUGGUAAUCAUUUGCAACUAGAAUCAUUUUCAAAUUUACACAUUAAAAGUGUACCUUUUGAUAGUUGGAACCUUAGAAACAAAAAGAGGCUACAAAAUAGUCUGUCGAUAUCUUAAAUAUAAAACCAGUCUUGCCUCCAUAUUUCCAGCAUCGGUUAUUUCCACUGCACUCACAAGAAUCAACUCCUAAAAUAUCGAGGCCUCAAAUAAUAGCAUAUGGUAUUUGUUAUGUCAUUGAUGUUGGGAAAGAAACAUGGCAUCAGCUAAGGGUGUUUUCCCCCUCUUAUUCAGAAAUCGGUUGGCGAAAGGAUUACAAUUGACCCACAAUCAUUUGGGGAAUCUUCAACUUGUCGCACAAUAUUUGACAAUCCUCGGGAGUUUAGCACUUGCUCUACAUGACACCGUGCAGGCCAGAGAGAUAUUAAGAUCAUCUUUAACAUUGGCAAAGAAACUCUAUGACAUCCCAACUCAGAUCUGGGUACUAUCAGUUUUAACAAGUAUGCCAAUGAUAUAUAUUCUUUCUAGUUACUAUUAACAUUUUAGUGGAAUGAGAUUUUCACAAGGCACUUAGAAUGAAGAACACACGCUGGGAGCAACUGUCUCAGAACCAUUUUUUUUCACAUGUUCAAAUAAAGUUGUUUAGUCUUCGUACAAAUAUAUAUAGUGAACCCCAUAAAUAUUGUUACACUUUCCGGUGAUAUAUGUAUUAUAUUAAUAAUGCACAUACAAAUUAAUUUUUAUUUUUGUAUACAUUAUAGCUUUAUACCAAGAGUUGGGUGAAAAGGGGAAUGAGAUGGAAAACGCGGAAUAUCAAUGUAAAAAGGCAGAUGAUCUGCAAAGGAGACUGGUUGAUGCACAUUCCUCCAUUCAUCACAUCGAAUUAGUAAGGCGUUCAUGUUACUCUGAUAUUUUGAUGAAUAGUUAGUGUGUUUGAACAAAUAUCUGCUAUUAUGCACUUACAUCUUUUAUUGCUUUUUGUUUACCCCUCAUGCAUUUAGAUUGACAAAGUACGGCUUGAGAUUCAGCAACUAAAGGGGGUUGACAUCAAGCGUGCAGGUAGCAUCUCACUUGGAGUUGAUCUUGAUAUACCAGGAUCCAUUGGUGUGUCGGUUUCGACUUCAUCAUUGAAGCUUAUGGAUAUAGACUCAGGGAGACGUGGAAAGAGGAAAAUUUAGAGCUUGCCUGGGAAAUUUUUCAAACCAGCUUCUUGUUGUUGUUAUUCUUUUUAAUCUUUAAUUUUGUUUUGUGUUUUUUUUCUAAACUAUUAUUGACUUGUAAAUAUUAAUUUAUUGCUCACUUUAAAUUAAGGGAAAGUGUGAUGGUUGACAAAUGUAUUUGGGGUUUUAGAUUUUGCAGGUAUAUCAAAACUUUCAGAUUUGAAUUUCAUUAUUUUUCAUAUUUUCAGUUUACCCUCAACUUUUGCUAUAUUCCUAUUUCACCGUCGAAAGUUUAGCACGAUAUUUCUUUUUUCCUCAACACGCUACAAUUUCACGUCUCAGGUGAGCUAGGGUUUUGAUCUUCUUUUUCUCCCAAAUUCUGAUAUUUUUUUUCCACGGGUGUUUUGAUAUCUUUCUUUCCAUUCUCAUUGUAGCUUUUAUUUUUUUCACUGGUGUUUUAAUCUUCUUCUUAUUGAAUUUUCAUUUUCUUCACAGGCAUUUUUAUAUCUCUUUCUUAUUGUUGUUUUGGUUUCUUCUUAAAAAUGCUAUUUGAGUUUUGAUUUCUUCAAUUGGCAUUUACUUUGAAGAAAAUGAAAAGAUGAAGAAUUAACUUUGUUGAUGGAAAGAAACAUUAGAACAGAUGUUACUGCAAACAAUACUUUUUCAACAGAUAUAUGUAUAUGAAUAACAACAAAAAAUGUAAAAGAAAUGAAAGCAAAAAAGCUGGGGCGAGCGGGUUAACAAAAUUAAAAAGUAGCAAAAAUUAAAAAGAGAGAGAAGGUGACUAAAAAUGAAAUGUUGAAUCUUAGAGAGAGGAAUUUUGAUUUCAAAUCAAUUAAAUAUAAUUUGAAAUUAUAAUUGCAUCCCCUAUUUUAGCGUGAAUUUAAUGUUUUGUAGAUGUGUGAUUUAUUUGUUCUUCUAUUUAAGGUGAAUUUGAGAUUUUAGAGAUAAAAAUGUAAUUUUAAGAAAAGAAAAAGUUAUCUUUAGUUCCUUUAGAGUGCAUUUGGGGGAGAAAAAGAGUUGAUAAUAAUUAUGAUAAUUCUAGGAUAAUGUGUUAUGAUAAUAUAUGUUUAGAUGAUUUAUUAUUGGUAGUGUUAUGGUAAUAUGUUUUUUUUUUUUGGGAAAGAUUAUGAAUAGUAGUGUUAUGAUAAUAUAUGUUUGGAGAGGAUUAUAAUAGAUAGUACUAUGAUAAUAUUUGUUUGGAGGAGAGAUUAUGAUAGUAGUAUUAUGAUAACCUGCAUUUGGAGGGAAGAAUUAUGCUUGUAGUGUUAUUAUAAUAUGCAUUUGGGGGAAGGGUUACAUUAGUGUUGAUAAAUUUUCUUCUAUAUAAAAUAAACAAUAUUAAUACAUGUAAUUAUAAUAAAUCAUAUUGUUUUUUGUAAAUAUGUUUUGCAACAUGUUUUUUACAUACCCCAUUUAAUUCAUAAUUUGGUUUAUAAAUCUUUAUGUUGUGGUGGGUUUCUUUUUUUUUCUCGGGUCGUUCAAAACGUAACGCACAAAUAUGUUAGAGCAUGCAAAUAAAAGUUUGAAGCUGAACAAUUGUGAAGAAUUGGUUCACUACAAAUUGUCGUUCACAUAACAACAAAAUACCAAUAUAUAUGAAAAGAUCGUAAACAAUGCAGAUAAAGAUAUCGAAAAGCACUCAAGGGUUUUCUCGGAGAAUGACCAUACAUAAGUUUAAAUUCAUGGAAUGCUUUCAUGUCGCUAACGUUGUGCAUUAGUAUACGCAUACAGCGACACCUAUCGAUUUUAGUCAAUUUGGGGAUGGCAUGUAACUAUCGAAUGACCUCUUGUCAUAGUGUGCUUGCAUCUUUCCAUUGUAAUAUCGACUAGUAUGCAAUGCAGUUAAGCUACUCAUUAUCGUACUCAAUGACAUUGCGAAGUAUGUGUGCAGUUUCUAUCGACUGUCCUCUCCAUUUCCUCUUUGAUUUGCUAGAAGAGCUACUCAUUAUCGUACUCAAUGACAUUGCGAAGUAUGUGUGCAGUUUCUAUCGACUGUCCUCUCCAUUUCCUCUUUGAUUUGCUAGAAGCAUUCCUUCUGUCACCUGCACGGGAUCGUGUCUCCAUUAUUUCGUCAGGUGAUAUGUCUAGUCUUUGACUGUACAUUGUGGGAAACUCCAUAUCGUUGCCAUCAUCAGAUGCAAAUCCCUCGUACCCACCAAGCACAUUGGACCCGACGCGGUAAGAGUGGACUGAAAUUCUUGUUUGUCUUUUACAAAUUCUAUAUUGAAACUCUGUUGAAAAAAAAUCUUAAGUUAAAAACAAAAUUGAUUAACCUAAUUGUAGUCUUUGUAUUUGUAUAAAAAAUCUUCACAUCUACCAACCAUAAUUUUGCUAACGCGGUUUUUAAAGUCUAGUUGCGGAACACAUAGACUAAACAUAGGGAUAAAACAAAGAAAUUAGUGUGUCAUGAAUAAUGAAGACAUGGAACAGACAGGAGCAUAUGAAAUACACUGAAUGGUAACAACAUGGGGAUGAAACUCAACAAAUAUGAACAUCUAUAAUUAAGUGAAAAAUGAUAAACGUACCAAAGAGUAUCUAGAGAUGCAAAAAAUUUUAAGACUGAGGAUGCAAUGGAAUGGGAAGCAAGGGGCAAAUAUAUAGUAAAUGGAUGAUGGUAAUAAAUUGGACAACAAGCAACCAACAAGUAUCAUGGAAAACAAGAGAUAUGACACAUACAGUAACAAACGAAAAUGACAAAGAUCUAAUAGAAAAAUUAGGCAAUUAGGACUCUGCAAGUACACAAUGUCCAUGAAAAUAUAGACCUAAGCAAGGGGUAUGUGGAAAAAUUAGAAUUUAGAAGCCCUAAACCCUAAUAAAAAGCAACAAAGUAGGUUUCUACCAAUAGAAUAUGGUAUUUGGGCAUAACAUCCGUCACUUGAAGCACCUUAAGGUUGAAACAAAUGCGCGGCAAGGGGAAGUAGGACCAACAACUGUUACAGCAAAGCUGUGAACGGAAACAUAGAGAGGAAGGCGAGAAGUUUAAGAGACAACGAGUGUGAGCGGCAACCGAUCAAUGAAAACACAAAGAGGAAGCGAUCCGUUUCAGAGGCAACGUGCACACAACCCUCAACGAAAACGCAAAAGGGUUUCAACGAAGGGAAAAUGAAAUCAGGGAUGAAAACACAACGACAGAGGAAGACGAAAAUAUGCAAUAUAGGUGUAGAUUCGAAGAGGAAAGGUGGGGAAAUCCGUUCAACUGUGUAUUUUCUUAAGGGAAAAACGAAAUUGGAACAGAAAAUGACGAAGAAUACGAGUAAAAGAGAAGAAAAUUCGAUGGAUUGGCGAACAAAUUACAUAGGGUUUCAGAAGGAUUACGGCCGAAUUGGAAGAAGAGUUGAAGGGGGUUUAUCAGAUGGGUUUUGAUGUGUGUGUCAAAAUUAACCGUAGACUUUCAAAAGUUUCAAGAAAGUCUUCCUUACUUUCGAAAAGGGUUCAAGCUUUAUUUCAAAAAUAGUCGUGAACUAUUGAAAAUUAAUUUUCAUAAACAAUCUUGAAUUUAUAAAAAACCAACAUAAAAUUUCUUAGCCCACAAAACAAAUAAAAAAAUUUAACUAAAACUAUAAUUUUUAAAUUUUCCUUAGUUCUCUAGAUAUUCUCACAUUUUCAUAGGUUGGAUAUCAACCGAAGGAUAAAUUGAUAUUUUGAAAAAUUCAUGAAUCACACAAGAUAAAAUAUAAAAUGUCACUAACAUAAAUAAUGACAUGUUUAUUUAUUUCAAAAUAACAAAAUAUUUAUUUGCUAAUUUAAAAUUAUUUUUUUAUUAUUUUUAUAAUUUUUCAAAAACAUCCAUUGUAAUUUAAAUUUCUUAAAACUAAGACUUUGAUAACUAUAUUUUAAACUUUGGUUAAAACAUAAAUUACACGAAAACUCACGAAGUUUUAAAAGUUGUCUUUAAAACAUACUAAAACAAUAACUAGUCAAAUAAAAAGAAAUUGCACACUAAUAGAUCUAUCAAACUACCACAUUGGGGUUAAUAAUCAAAUAUAUUCUUCUAUUUGACAAUUAACUAUACGUUAAUUAAAAAAUAACUAUUAAAAUCGAUUCUGUUUGUGAUCUACCAUUCGGUGUUAAUAGUGUAAUAGAUUUUAAAUUGUAGAUUUAAUUUAAAGUUUUGAUUUUUGUUGGUAAGAAAAUUAGUUUAAAUUUUGGGUCAACCACCCUAUUUCUAACUUUUAUAAGCUUAAAGUACUUAUGAAUAAAUAAGCUAAUUAACAAGCUAUUUUUAAAUAUACAAAGUGAAUAAAUAUUUAUAAAAUACACGGUAAAAUAUUUAAUUUCCAAAAGCUCACCAAUCCAAAAAAAGAAAAAAAUAGCAGAAAAGAAGAGACCUAAAAUAUUUUUAAAAAUGGACCAAAUUUUUUGAUUUGGUUAGAUAUUAGUAGAUAUAUUGAUUGUUAUAUAUAUAAAAAUUAGUCCAAAAUAGAUGAAUUUUGUUAUUUAAAUAAAUUUGAGAAAGAAAUGAAAAACGUGCAAAAACACGAGCGAAGUUUACUGGCUCGCUCGCUCGCUCGUCCUGCGCUAUUACCCGAGGGAGGGCUGGAAAAAAAAAAAAAGAAAAAGAAAAGGCCUUAAUGUCUUGGUUUUUUGCAAUCUCUCUUUACCCUAAACUCUUCCUCCAUUGCAGAUCGAUUUUAUGAUUGAGUUGUGUAGCUAAGAACAUCGAUUCGUUACCCUACAAUUGAGAAUCAAGCUCUCUGUUUACCCCAAUCUUAUGUGAAGCUGCUGAUCGAUUCAUCAAUGGAUUAGAAAUCAGAUGUCUGACGGUAAGCCUCCAUUCUUCUGUCAUCGAUUAUUCGAUUGUAGGGGGCAGUUCGUCUGAUCUGCCUGUGAUACACUUUAGUUAGCAAAGCACAAUCUAUAGGAGAAGAGGAAAUUUGGAACAACAAACAAAUUUAUCAGGUCCUUUUUGUUGCGCUCUUCAGUUUUCCGUCUGCUAUGAUAUAUCUUCGGUUCUUAGUAAGCAGGAAACAUAAGAGCAUUUCUGUCAUCUGAAACCUACGAAUAGAGUCUCCUGGGGACCAUACUUCCCGUCCCCCCAUUUGUUUUUUAACUUUAUUCUUGUGAUUCUAUCUAUACUUCUCUGCUCUUAGUCAUGUCUUCUCAUCGGUUGACAUUUUAUUGCACUUCUGAAGUAAAAAAACUCGUGCACUUCCAAGUUGCGCUCUCCGCUCCGUGUUAUAUAUCUCUGCGCAGUAUGUUCUGUUCUCGGUUUGUUAUUUGUCUCUUUCAAUUUCAUCUAUUUUUGCCUGGAAUAGGAGCAACACGAUAUCAUUUUGAGCACUUAUGCUUUUUAAAUCGUCUAAAAGAGAAGUCUUUUUAUUUAGUUUUUGAGUUAUGUAUCAUUUCCGCCGACUCUGAAUGAUUAUUAUGUGGUAUUUCCCCGACCCUGUCCGAGUUGUGGUUGUUAGAGGAAGUUCAUAACUUGCUAAGAUAAGGAAAAUGAACGUAUAUCCAUUUUUUCUUUUUGGUCAGAUAUCUGGGCAGGUUCCUGAUAAAGCUGGUGUGGAGUUGUCUGGAGAGGUGCUCUCCACGUGAUAUGUUCAAUAUGGACUCUGAACUCUAUAAAGCACGUGUCUUCAUUCAAGAGAAAAUGUAAGGCUUAUCAUUAUAUAUCUCUCUUUGAUGAAGACUUCAGGCCUUCUUUCUUUUGUUCUUGUGCUUCUUUCUGUCCCUUACUUACGCAUCCCGUACUUAGCAUGGCUUCUCAAAAAUCUAAUGACAUAUAGAUUUAAUAGUUAACUUUAAGGGCCAUGGAUGCUAGAACAUUUUUUAUAUACCCAAAUAACAUCUUGUGAGGGCCUGAAAAUUCAUGAAGCAGCUUGAACUUUUAAGUACUUAAUCAUAUGUUUGGGAAUUAUCUCUUGUUUUUAAUGCUAAUUUCUUUGUUCCCCUUUUUAAAAGUUCCGCAAAUGAAGUUUGUUUAAUGGGGUUCUAAUUAAAAAUGAAACCAGAAAGAAGUAUUGUGUAAUUAGGCAAUUUUAACUGGAUGAUCUUCAGUUUUAUUAUAUUCUGACAUCUUUAUUUCUCAAUAUUGGAUUUUUCUUUUAUUGAGUUAAGAUUUAUAUGUUUACCUUGGUCCAAAUUUUCAUGUUGUAUCUUUUAAUCAUUUAUUUUGGAUUAGAAAUGACUUCAUUGAUGAAUGACACCAAAAUCCGUGCAGAGAUAUUUCUUCUCAUCCUCCUUCAUUUUCCCAUUUUGUUUUUUGUGUGAUGGUUAAUGGAAAGGAAACAUAUUUUUGGGAAGAUCUUUGGGUGGGAAUAGACCCCUCUCCUCUGCAUUUCGUUUCCUCGAUUAUAUCAUCCGUCCUCCUUAAGAAACUGUUGAGUAUUAGAUUCGUUGGUUUGUUCAGGGAAUUUGGUUUCUUUCUCCUUUGUUUUUUGUCGGUCUUUGUCCAAUAGGGAAAUGACAGAGGUGGCUUCUCCUCUCUCUCUUGAUUGAGGCCUUUGAUUUUAGGCUUGGGAGAAAAGAUGUUCAUGUGUGGAGUCCUUCUCUUGUAAGUCUUUCUUUAGAUUCUUACUCGAUCCCUCUCCUGCUGUUGUGUCGAUCUUUGAUGUUUUAUGGAGGAUUAAGAUUCCAAAGAGAGUCAAGUUCAUUUCUUGGCAAGUAUUGCUUGGGCGUGUGAAUAACAAGAAAUAGGCUUGUGAGAAAGAUGCAUUUCGUUAUUGGGCCCUUGGUGCUGUAUCCUUUGUCGAAAGGCAAGAAAAUGUGGAUCACCUUCUCUGGGAGUGUCAAUAUGCACGAUUUGUGUGGAAUGGAUUUUUUCAGGAGUUUGAUUUUGCUCUUGCUCGUAAGAGGGAUGUUUGUUUGAUGAUCAGGGUGUUCCUUCACCAUCUGCCUUUAAAAGAGAGUUUUUUUUUUUUUUGCAUGUGGAGGUGUGCAUGAUUUCGUGGGAUCCUUAGGGUGAGAGAAACAAGAGAGUGUUUCGUGAUGGGGAGUGAGACCCUAGUGAGGUUUGGUCCUUGGUGAAGUUUCAUGUUUCUCUUUAGGCUUUUGUUUCGAAGACUUUUUUUGUAAUUAUCCCUUAGGCGACAUUUCACUUAGUUGGAAUCCCUUUGUCUAUGGGGUUUUUUUUUUUCUUUUACGUCCUUGUAUGCUUUUAUUUUUUUUCUUAAUGAAUGAAAUGAUCCAAAGAGAUACGAAUUGGCUCCCAUUUAAAUGGAAUACAAAACAUGUCUCCCAUUUUAGGAUAUUUCUUAAUAAUUAUGAAAUCAUUCAACUCUGUAGCUUUUCUUUUUCAAUUUUUUUAGGACUUUUGUGCCUUAAUUUUCUACUUUAUAUAUGACAAUUUGAUAUUUUUCAGUGACUGUUGUUCGAGAAAAUUUUACUAUUGCAUAUUAAUAUUUUAUAUUUCUGCUUUUCAGUUUUGAGAUUUUAUUACAGCGGCAUCAACGGCCCAUUGAUGACCUACAGAGGCUGAGGUUCAAGGACAUUGUGAAACGCUUAGAGGAGGGUCUUUUUAAAACGGCUCUUACAAAGGUCUCCACCUUCACCUCCACCCUCAUUGUAAACAAAUUACCACUACAAUAUUGCAGAAGAGUGCAGAGACCACCUCUUUUGUGGUUUAUCUUUUAUAAGUCUCAGAUAAACAAGCAUGCCAACAUUUUACUUAUUGUGAUUCUAAGUAACUCUGGAGUUCAUAUGUUUUCUCUGGGAAUAAACUUUGUCGUUAUGGUAAUAUGACACAGGAUGACUAUAUGAACCUGGAUACUCUGGAGAGUCGUCUGCACAGUUUGAUCAAGCGUUCACCCAUGAAUAAUCAGAACCAGCAAUAUCAACAAGUGGUUAGUUCUUCUUCUGCAAUAAGUCAGAUGAUUCCAACUCCUGGUAUGGCUCACAGUGGGAAUUCCAAAAUGAUGGUUGCAUCUUCGGAUGAUUCUAUUAUUUCUGCUAGUGCCAGCUUAGCACCUAUGACUGCUAGCACAGGAAGCAUCAUGCAAGCUGGUGGAAUAAAUGGUGGUUCCUUCAACAGAGCUGAAGGUAACUUCCACUAAAAUAUUUUGUCCCUGUGUGAACAGUUUUUCUUUUAUGAAAAAAGUUAUAAUAUCCUCCUUUUCAGGUCCCAUGACCAGUGGAUAUCAGCAGUCUCCUAGUUUCUCGGUUGGUUCUAGUGGAGUUAUAUCAUCUGCUGGUGCACACAGAAUUACUAGUCAAAUGAUUCCUACACCAGGUUUCAGUAAUAACAUUAACCAUGCAAGCAGCAACCAGUCUUAUGCAAGCAGAGACAAUUCUAGUAAUGGUAGUGGGCUUCCCAGUGUUGAAUCUACAGGGCUGUCUCAAGUGCAAUUGCAAAAGCAGCAUAUUGGCGGUCAGAACAGUCGUAUAUUACAGAAUCUUGGUAGCCAAAUGGGUAGUGGAAUAAGGUCUGGCUUACAGCAGAAAUCUUAUGGCUUUACAAAUGGACCUGCAAAUGGUAGCUUAGGAUUAAUAGGUGGCAAUGUACAACUUUUGAAAGAAUCUAGCACCUCGGAGGGCUAUCUGACUGUCUCGCCUUAUGCUAAUUUAACCAAACCUGUACAACAAUCCUUUGAUCAGAAUGACAAAUCGUUGGUGCAAGGUAUUAUUUCUCUCUAUCUUUAUUGGCUCCAGCCUUUCUUGUCGAGCAGUUCUUGAUGAAAAAUCACAUCGUUACCACUUACCUGUUUUGUAAUAAGAAUCAAUUUCUUUUGGCAGGCGAUGCAUAUGGAAUGAAUAAUACUGACUCUUUUGGAUCAGAAAACCUUUAUGGCCCUGCAACAUCUGUUGGAUCAAUGAUGACUGCUCACAAUUUGAACCCGACAAAUUUGCCAUCUAUGUCUAAAACCAGUUCACCUUUCUCCAGUAACCAGUCAAAUUUUCAUGGAACUCAACAGGGCACUCACUCUCCCCUAAUUGAUGGGUCAGAUAAGAUGAAUUUCCAACCUCCACUAUCUUCCAGGGAAAACAUCAUUGAUUCUCAUACACAGCAGCAGUUUCAACAACAUCACCAAUUUCAACCUCAACAACAACCAUUUCUUCAACAGUCAAGUGUCCAGAAACAACAAAUUCAACCUCAGCAGCAUCUACUAAAUAACGAUUCUAUUAAUCAGGUUCAGUUAGCCUCUAACCUGGGCAGUCAUGUGAAGCAGGAACCUGGUGGGGAGCAUCAUAAUGGGCCUUUCCAGCCACAAGUUUCCGAACAUUUUCCACUGCCUGAGGCACAUAACCAAUUUCAUCAGAAUCCUAGUGAAGACUGUGUGAGGAAUGCUCAAUAUCUUUCUGUUUCUUCUAGCCAGAGUGAUAUUUGUUCCCCACUUUCUCAAAGCUCUCAACAGAUGCAACAAUUUUUGCAUCCACACCUAUUAAAUUCAAAUUCUCAAAAUCGUUUUAGCAGUCCAGCUGGAGCUCUAUCAGAUGCAACUUUGCAGGUUCAAUGGCAUCCUCAAUCACAAGAUAGAAAUCACAGGCAAGGGAGCAUUGUUCAUGAGCAAAAUGUCCAGCAUGAUUUCCGUAAAAAGGUAUCCAGUCACGAUAUAGUGCAGGGUGAUAAUUUACCUACGGAAGGAUCAACAAUUGGGCACUCCUUUGUUACUAGGACCAAGUCUGAGCCUCCUAAUCCCCUUGGUGCCACCUGCCAGAACAACAAUAGUGCACGCCAAUUUAUAAAUCAGCAGAGAUGGCUCCUAUUCUUGCGACAUGCUCGUCGCUGUGUAGCUCCUGAAGGGAAAUGUCCAGAACGAAACUGUGUCACUGCUCAGAAAUUGUGGCAACAUCUUGAUAGAUGCAGUUCUUCUAAAUGCACAUAUCCCCGCUGCCAGCCUACCAAGUUAUUGCUUCAUCAUCACAAGAGAUGUAGGGAUCUAAACUGUCCUGUUUGUAUUCCUGUCCGAGACUAUAUCCAGAGCCGAAAGAGCGUGCGUGCCCACAAUGCAUCUGAUUCAAGUUUGCAAAAGUUAACCAAUGGAUUCCCUAAAACCUGUGAUGCUCCAGAUAACACCACUAGAUAUAUUUUGAAAACUCUUCAGGCUUCUGAAACUUCAAAGGAUCUGCAAUCUUCUCUUAAGCGGAUGAAGAUAGAGCAGUCCUCUCAGUCUCUUGUUCCCAAGAGUGAGAGUUUGGCAGUUUCAGCUUCUGCUAUGAAUGAACGACACAUGUCAUUGGAUGUGCAGUGCCAAGGUUAUCAGCAAGGUGAUGAUACUAUGGCUGUUAAGCAUGAGCUCGCAGAUGUGAAAAUGGAUGUGCUGCAGAGCUCUACUCUUGAAAGCCAUAGUGACUUAAAGGAAGCUAAUGCAGAGAAUAAUUGCAGCCAAAGGUCUGAUGGUGACCUUGUCACAUACGAUGAGUUUUCUAGUUUACCAAAGCAAGAGAAUGUUAAAAUUGAGAAUGAGACGGAGUCAAGCAUGCAAGAUCAUUCAGUGCAUGUCACUGAGCAUGCAGCGGCCACCAAGUCUGGGAAGCCAAAAAUUAAAGGGGUUUCACUAACUGAAUUGUUUACUCCAGAACAAGUGAGAGACCAUAUCAUUAGUCUCAGACAGUGGGUUGGCCAGGUUGGUUAACAAGCUUUUAUUCUGUGUUGUUUUUAUAGAGAUACGUUGGAGAAUAUAUUUUGAUAAAAAUGCAAAUAAAAUUUUAUUUAUUUCAUAACUAUGUUUUGUCUAGACAGAAAGUAAUUCACUUUUUGAAUUUAUAAUGGAUAUAUGUGAAAACAUUAGUUCCGUCAAAAAUUUUGUUUUGAAUUCUAAUGAUCCCUUAUAAGUUCCUAGCUUUUGAGAAAUGGUCCAUCUUCAUUUAACCUUUGUUUCUGGUUCAAGAAAUGGUAUGCAUCACGGGUGCUUGAUGACAAGAUCCAGUGCACUUAGCUAUCUCAAAACUUCUUUAUUUACUGUCUUUUUCUCCAGAGCAAAUCCAAGGCUGAGAAGAAUCAAGCAAUGGAACAAUCAAUGAGUGAGAAUUCCUGUCAACUGUGUGCAGUUGAGAAACUCACUUUUGAGCCACCACCUAUAUAUUGCACGCCAUGUGGUGCACGUAUAAAACGAAAUGCAAUGUAUCAUACAGUAGGUGCUGGUGAUACACGACAUUAUUUUUGUAUUCCAUGUUACAAUGAUGCUCGUGGAGAUGUUAUUGUUGCUGAUGGGACUACCAUUCCCAAGUCAAGGCUAGAGAAGAAGAAAAAUGAUGAAGAGACUGAGGAAUGGGUAUGUGUAUUUGCAGUGAGCUAUGGUUUAUUUUAGGUGAUUUUCUUAUGCUUCAUCUUUUAGUUUUUUUUAACGUCCCUGAUGCUUUCUUUCAGUGGGUUCAAUGCGAUAAAUGUGAAGCAUGGCAACAUCAGAUCUGCGCUCUUUUCAAUGGUCGGAGAAAUGAUGGUGGUCAAGCUGAGUAUACCUGUCCAAAUUGUUACAUUCAAGAAAUUGAAAGAGGAGAGCGUAUACCAUUACCUCAGAGUGCUGUUCUUGGUGCCAAAGAAUUGCCCAGAACAAUUCUUAGUGAUCACAUAGAGCAGCGGUUGGUUAAGAGAUUGAAACAUGAAAGAGCUGAAAGGGCGAGGAUUCAAGGGAAAAGUUACGAUGAGGUAAUUUUGAACAACCAAACCUCCCUUUUUUUAAAUGGAAACAAACCUCUUCAUUGAUAUAAUGAAAUGAAAUGAAAGCCUCUUGUGUCAUUGAAUUUUCUUUUUCAAUAGCAGUCAUGGAGUACUGCCAAGUGUUUUUUUCUUGAAUCAGAUUUUCGCACUUCAGUUUUGGGUGGGGUUUUUGUUUUGUAUUCUUAUAUUUUUUUUUUCACUUUAUGAUUUAUCUUCUUGUGAAAAGCACCAAGAAACAUGAUCUAUUCAGACUGCUACUUCAACUUCAGCACAUAUUCAGUUUCUUUAAUUCAUUUGUUCUAUUGGUGUUGCUAGGUUCCUGGAGCAGAUGGGCUUGUCAUUAGAGUUGUUUCUUCCGUUGACAAAAAGUUGGAAGUUAAGCAAAGGUUUCUCGAAAUAUUUCAAGAAGAAAAUUAUCCAUUUGAGUUCCCUUACAAAUCCAAGGUACAAAAAUUAAAAGCAUGAUGCACUGUUAUUAGGACUGUUAUGUUGUUUAAUUUCUAGAUAUAUAGAUAUAACCUUCUAUUGUAACAUGAUCUGCUAGGUAAUGAGAUGUCACUUUUCAGUAUCAUCUGAAGCUAUCUUCUUUAAAUAUUUUGCCAGGCAAUUCUAUUGUUUCAGAAGAUUGAAGGUGUUGAAGUGUGCCUAUUCGGCAUGUAUGUUCAAGAAUUUGGGUCUGAGUGCCAGUUUCCUAAUCAGCGCCGUGUUUAUCUCUCAUACCUUGAUUCAGUAAAGUAUUUCAGACCUGAGAUUAAGACGUACACUGGAGAGGCUCUCCGAACUUUUGUUUACCAUGAAAUUCUGGUCAGUUUUUUUCUUUCAAGCUCUUAUCUGAACAAGUACUAUUUUAUAUACAUGUGAGUUGUUUUAGUCAUGUUCUUUGUUAUUGUAUUUUGGCCCUAUUUUUUAUCUUUUCAGAUAGGAUAUCUUGAAUAUUGCAAAAUUCGGGGUUUCACAAGCUGCUAUAUAUGGGCCUGUCCUCCAUUGAAGGGUGAAGAUUAUAUAUUAUACUGUCAUCCAGAAAUCCAGAAAACACCAAAAUCUGAUAAACUUCGGGAGUGGUAACAUUUAUGGAUACGAAUACUAGUUUCUCUAGUUUGAGAUAUAAGCAUUUUAUUCUUUGUUGACUCCUUAUUUGGCAUGCUUUUCAAUUUCAGGUAUUUAUCCAUGUUGAGAAAAGCUGCCAAGGAGAAAAUUGUUGUUGAUCUGACUAAUCUAUUUGAUCAUUUCUUUGUCUCCACUGGUGAGUGUAAGGCCAAGGUUACAGCAGCGAGGCUGCCAUAUUUUGAUGGUGAUUAUUGGCCUGGUGCUGCGGAGGAUUUGAUUUAUCAACUUCGGCAAGAAGAGGAUGGAAGAAAACAGAACAAAAAAGGAAUGACUAAAAAGACAAUAACUAAGAGAGCUCUAAAAGCAUCUGGUCAAUCUGAUCUUUCUGGUAAUGCGUCGAAGGAUCUGCUACUAAUGCAUAAAGUAAUCUCUCUUUUCCAGAAUCUUCUUUUUUUUGUUUUUUGUAUUUUGUAUUUUUAAACAUAUUUAAUAUCUGUGUGUGUGUGUGUGUGUGUGUAUUGGGGCAAUUUGCAAAAUUCAAUCCUGAAGUAUGGGUUGGUUAGAAUUUGCACCUUUUGAACUUUCAAUUGGAAAAAUUAACCUCAAUUUUUUUGGAGUAUAAAAAUAGUAUCUCUAAACUUUCAAGUACAAAUUGACAAAAAUUAACCUCAAAUUUUUUGGAGUAUAAAAAUAGUAUCUCUAAACUUUCAAGUACAAAUUGACAAAAAUUAAACCUCAAACUCUCAUCGAUAUGACGAUUAAAUCCAUACUACAUAUUUCGUCUCUACCUUCCACCUCUUUAUCCCUGGGUCAUUCCCUUUCCUUCAAUAACCCACUUUCUCUCCACUUGAAGGCAAGGGAAGCCUUUAAACUAACAAAAAAAAGCCUUCCUGUCAAGAGGCUUGACGUCAUCUCGAAAUCCCUCUCCAAAAGUUAACCUGUUAAUCCAAUGGAUACGCUUAUCUGAAUAUAGAAAAUGUCUCAUUUUAAGCUAAUCCCUUACAUUAACAGUAUCCCAUUGAAAUGAUGCUAAUGGAUCAUGUAUCUGAAAAAAGGAAGGGAAUGACCAAGGAAGGGAGAGGUGGAAGGUAGAGAGAGAACAAGAAGAAAUAGGAGAGAUAUUGAGUAAAAUGGAUUUUCUUUUCACACAAUGAGAGUUUUAACCUUUAGAGUUGAUUUUUUUAUAUUGAAAAGUUUGAGGGUUUAAUUUUUAUGAUCGAAACUUUAAGGGUGCAAUUGUUGGAAACAUCAUACUUCACGUGUGGUUUUUGCAGUUUGUCCAAAAUGUUACUGAUAUUUAGGCAGCCUUGGUCAUUUGGCUGUGUUUCAUUAGGCCACAUUUUAUUUUGCUCUUCCACACUUUGUAACGUCGUGCAAUUUUCAUUUUUUCUUAGCAUGUUUUUCUAUAUAUCUGUUAAGUUAUAAGUAUGAACAAAUUCUGAUUAGAUGUUAUGCUGGCAGAGUGUUAAGUUUUUCUAGUUGUAAAAUUAUGUGUAUGAAUAACAUUUCUGUAGGAUAUAAAGCAAUCAAUUUAUUGGCAGUGGGUUGUGCUUACAACUUUACGUAUUAGAAAGUUCUGUUCGUUUUAGAUAAAUUGAGAUAGCAUACUCUGUCCUGCAAUAUAUUCUUUAUUUGGGUGAAAUUUUAGUUUGUGAUGCUCCAGUGAGGAGGUAUCAAACGUAUUAUCUCAAAUUUUUAUAUGUUAUUUCUCCAGCUCGGUGAAACUAUUUCUCCCAUGAAGGAGGAUUUUAUCAUGGUUCAUUUACAGCACGCUUGCAGUCACUGUUGUAUUCUGAUGGUAUCCGGAAAUCGCUGGGUUUGCAACCAAUGCAAAAACUUUCAGCUUUGUGAUAAGUAAGAGUAACAAAUUAUCUCUUAUUUAUUGAAUCCGAAAAUCAAGAUUUUAUCAUUUGACCAUUAUUUUUGGAGCCAUCAACUGAAGAACUUAAAAUGUUCUUCAUUUGAUGGUUUUUCUGGAAAUACACGUGACUUCUCAUGUUAUUAUCUUUUUGUUUUGUUUUGUAAAAUGAGUAUUGGUUUUUCAUGGAAUUUUUCUACUGGAAUUCCACGGGCUAUAUAAUGAUAAUAAUACUUUUUAUGAUGAGAAUGAGAUGAUAUUAGCAGUACAAAAGAAGAAUGUCAUAUAAAAAAAAGAUGUUACAAAAGAAGGGAAAAAAAUUCUGACGCGAAAAAAGUUAUAAUCAUCUAUGUGUAGAGUAGUUUUCAAGUCGUUGAUUUUUAUGCAGUCCUUUUACCUUGUGUUCAAAAUUAAUUGGUGGGUGCUCGAAGGGGAUGGCUGCAUUGUCCAUGCACCAGCUAUUGGCUAGCUACUGUGUUGCCAUUUUUAUAAUAUAGAGUUGAUAGGCUUUUCCGGAUAUUUCUGUAUGUUUUAUUAAAAUGAGCUGGAAUGAUGUCUAGAUAUUUGUGACUUGAGGUUUGAGAACGUAUUGUUUCAAUGUAAGUAAUUGGGCGAAGUCAUAAGUUGUUUUCUUUAUAUUGUUUAACCUGAUUUUAAGAACUAAUUGUUCUUUUACUUCUUACAUUCAAAACCAACUGGUGAAUGCUGGAAGGUGAUGUUUUCUUUGUCCAUUGCAGCUUUUUGCUGCAGUUUUGCAAUUUAUUGUUAUUUUGAUUGUAUGAAUUUUAUAGUUUUGUAAUUAACUUGGUGGCCGAUGGUGGCUUUUAGAUAUUUAUAUAUGUCUAUGUCGAUAGGAAUUGAAAGUAGUGUGUCUAGUAUUGAAGGAGGCUAGGGAAUACAUUUGUUCUGGGAGUUUUGUGUUCAUUAAGGCAAUGGGAGGAUAAUGUCCAGUUGUUUUUUCAUCAUUUUUUUUAAAGCACUAAGCUUUUCAUUAAGAGAAUGAAAGAGACUAAUGUGUAAAAUUUAAAGAAACCAGGGAAAAGACAAUUCUAAAAAUAGAAUAAUCAAACAUGAAUGGGAGAGUUUCAUUGUUUUUUUUUAGUUGCUAUCUAUUUCUUUCAAUUUUUUUUUAAGUUCUGUUUCCUUUAGAAAAAGAAAAUAGAAUAACCAAAAAUACAAAGAAAGAGAUAGCAACUAAGAAGAAACAAUGAAACUCUCCCAGUUCUUGUUUAGGUCUUGGAUAGAGUAACUCUUGUUGCAUUUUUAUAAUGAGAACCAUGAAGAAGAUGUUUAGCGAGCUGAAUCAAAGGACUCAAAAUGUGACUGAAGAAUCUUUAAAUAUGCUCUGAGUUCUUUCGUUCAAUAACAACACAGAUUAGGGUAUUUUUUAUUUACACUUCUAUAACGUAAGAAGCAAGGAAAUUGUUCAUUCUAAAAGUCAAGGCACUAAAAGUAGAAAAGUGAAGAUACAUCACUAACCAUCAUACUGGUUCACAUCUUUUUUUUUUUAAAUGGAGCUUCUUUAUUAGUACUGGUUCACAUCUAUUUCCUUUGUUUAGUUUAAUUUGUGUGGUUCUUCACUUGGUUGUCAAUUAUGGUAAUGGUGGAUCUCGAAAAUCUGAAAAUGGUGUUUCUUCUCCGAAGACCUAUGUUUUUUUUUCUUUCCCUCACAUGAUGAUUUGGUCACAGGUGCUAUGAGGCAGAACAAAAACGUGAAGAAAGAGAAAAACAUCCUAUAAAUCAAAGAGAAAAGCAUGCCCUCUAUCCUGUAUGUUUUUGAAUCCACGGAAAUAUGUUCACCAUUUUUGUAUAUUUGUUAGUUUAAACAUUACCUGCAAACAUAACAUUCUAUCCAACCAAGGCCUGAAAAUGUUUUAAAGCGUUAAUACAUCCAAUCAUCUUUUUAUUUAUUAUUUGUACUUUAGAGUUAAUGAGUUUGCUGAACUGAACUCUGCAGGAUGAAAUCAAUGGCGUGCCUAUUGAUACCAAAGAUAAAGACGAGAUUCUUGAGAGUGAAUUUUUUGACACAAGGCAAGCAUUUUUGAGUUUGUGUCAAGGAAAUCAUUAUCAGUAUGAUACUCUUCGGCGAGCUAAGCAUUCAUCAAUGAUGGUUCUUUAUCAUCUUCAUAAUCCAACUGCCCCGGCAUUUGUCACAACUUGCAAUCUAUGUCAACUGGAUAUAGAAACUGGUCAAGGUUGGCGUUGUGAAGUUUGCCCUGAUUAUGAUGUAUGUAAUUCCUGUUACCAAAAAGAUGGAGGUAUUGACCAUCCUCACAAGUUGACUAAUCAUCCUUCCGUGGUUGAUCGAGAUGCACAAAAUAAAGAAGCUCGGCAACUACGUGUCUUGCAGGUUUUGUGGACAUUUUCUUGUUAUGCAUUAGCUCUUGACAUUAUAUCUUCAUCUAGACGCAUUCUUGGCCCUGCAUUUACUGUAAAUUUCUUUUUUGACUUUUAGCGUACUUCUUGUUGGCUUUUCAACUAUGUGCCACUUCAGGUUUCUUGAUGUUUGUGAAAAUAACAUCUAUGCAUUUAGUAGUCCCAAUCUUUUCCCAACGUCUAGAAGUUAAAUGUAGAACAAGAAAAAUGUUCUGCUUCAUUUAGUGCUUUAUUUUUAGUGGUAUUUUGUGAUUAACUAAAUGUUCAUUUAAUUAGAUGAUUUGAUCAAGAAGUGAACAACUAAGCAUUUCACUGCAGUUUGAUUCUUUCUUUUCACAUUACUAUGGAGGCUUGUUUUGUUCGUUUUGCUCUAAUUAACAGGCAGUGGAUACUCAUCAUUCCUCUAAUCUUGAUUUUGGCAAUCACCUUGACCGUUGAAAUAUUACUUUUCUUUUCUUUUUUCCCAUGAGGUCUUGCAUCAUGCAUUUCUUGUUUCAUUCUGUAUGCCUUACUUUUGUUAGUUUGAUGUUGCAGCUUAGGAAAAUGCUGGAUCUUUUGGUGCAUGCAUCUCAAUGUCGUUCUUCACUUUGUCAAUAUCCAAACUGUCGGAAGGUGAAGGGGCUUUUCCGACAUGGGAUACAAUGCAAAACACGUGCAUCUGGUGGUUGUGUUCUCUGCAAGAAAAUGUGGUACCUCCUUCAACUACAUGCUCGAGCUUGCAAAGAAUCUCAAUGCCACGUGCCCCGUUGCAGGUAAUGUCUACAUCAUUUUCUUUUUCAUCUUUUGGGUUUAUGCAAUCGUGAAGGUAUUCUAUACUGUGUAUAAUAUGUCCAUUUGUGUUGCAUAUAUAUAUAUAUCAUCUGUGUAGUAACUGAGAUUAGAGAGGUUGAAUUUUUAAUGUACUCCAGAGAUCUCAAAGAGCACUUAAGGCGGCUGCAGCAGCAGUCUGAUUCACGGAGAAGAGCAGCUGUGAUGGAAAUGAUGAGACAGAGAGCUGCAGAACUGAACAAUACGGGGUAACCAGUUUGUAGGUUUACAUUAAUAUUAUUGAGGAUGCGAAGUUGAAAAAGAUUUGAAGCCAUUCUUGAAAGAGCACUGCUGGGAGGGUGGAAAUCAGGCAGUGGGUGACAGACAACAUAGAUGGAAGCGGUAGUGAACUAUACACUCAACAUCUUGGUUAAAUAUUCAGGUUUAGGGAACAAUUCUUUUAUUCUAUGUAUCUACCACUUGAACUUUCCCCAAUAGAAAAGCCAAGUGAGACUCAAGCAGAGCAGCUGCCGUCCUCGUCUUCGUCUUCGUCUUGGUCAUCGACCCCUAACAUUGUUUCUAAGUUCUCAUCCAUAAUUUUUCCUUUACUGUAAAAUACCAUCUUUCAUUAACAUGUGUACCCAGUCCCAUGUUUAUAAGAUUCAAUAAUUAGUUUCAGGAAGUGCUCCAGGACAUACAUUUACUUGUAUAAUUUGGCUUCUACAUUAUUUAUAGAUGAACAACUUUGAUCUGUUCGGUUGUCGUAGAUUCAAAACAUUGUUUUAUAUUUAGCAAAUGUGAAUUGUUAUACAGAUCAAUUACAAUGUCUCAUUAAAACCUAAAUGAUGUUUCAGCCAUCCAAGGCAACCCAAAUUAAAAAACCUAUGACUGAGAAUUUUGUUAAAAUUAAGAAAAUGUGGCUUCUCGACAUAUAUUUGAUUGUUUCUUCAAUGUUUAUUCGAGUUCGAGUUCUCACUUCCACUCCGUAUUUCUAUUCCUCCCAUCACCUAUUUCUCUUUCCCGACCCCUUCUCUUCUCUUUUCUCCUUUUCUUCUUUUUCUUCUUUCUCUUCUUUCUCUCCGUUCUCUUCCAAAAUUCUCCUUUUUUUUUUUUGUAUGACUUGCCAACCAAGUCACUAAAAUUUCUUUAAAGAGUUUUCAUAAUCAGUAACCCUUUAGCAUAAAAUAGUAAGAAUAUAGCUUUUAAAACAAUAUGCAAACAUAGCAAAUUUUUUAUUUCUCUUUGUAUAUUUCUAAAAUACCCUAGAAGUGAAUAUUAUCACUUUCACGAUUCUCUCAAUCGUCUUCUUUAUUUUCCAUUCACGAUUUUUUCUGCCUCCAACCAAUUGAUUUUAUGUCUUUGCCUCCAAGUAGUUCGAUCGCCAUAGCCUCCAAUCGACCAUUAAUUUUUUGUUUGCUUCUCCUUUGCUUGGUCAGGAUUACGGUCUUGGUAUCAAUUUUUUUUUUAAAUUUUGUGGUAUGUGAUCAAAUUUCAUUGAAGUUUUUUUUUUUUUAGAUUUGUUCCUUAGUUUUCUAAUUCAAUCUUUGUUCAUCAUCUCAAAUUGAACUUCUUUUCACAAAUUUUCCAUUGACUUUAUCUUAUUUACACAAUAUGAUUUAAUUUCAUCUAUGUUUGUAAGCUUAAAUUCUAUUUAAUUGUUAUCUUAUUUACACUAAGAUAGCACAUCAAUCCAACCAACUAAACCUUAACAGUCUAUUCGUAAUAGAAACAUAGUGUUGUUUCCCCUUUUCUUUUUCUUUUAAAACAAAAUGACCUUUACCAAAUUCAUUUUUCCAAUUUCUUUCUAUUUCUACCUUGUUCUGAAUUCUCUUCCAAGAGAGACACUCCAUGAUAUACUUGAAGCUAAAAAGUGAAUUUUACAACCUAGUUUUUAUUUUAUUUUAUGCAUAUUAUUUCACUCAGAUUACAUAAAUAUAGAAGUAUCGUAAAUUUGUUGAUUUUGUUGAAAAAUAUUUUUUUUCCCUUCAUAUAAUAUAAUAGAUGAAGUUUUAAAAUUAAUAUGUCGAUGAGUAUCAAGUGAUAGAAAACAUGUGUAAUUAAAUAAUUCGAAAAAGUUAAAACAAAUAAAAAUAUGCAACAAAAAAGGAACUUGUUUAGAUUACAAAAAAUUUCAUCAUAUACUCAUGAGAAAAAGAAAAAAAUCAAUUCAAUUCAACACCUUAAACACAAAUUUAUUCGACUUAACCUAACUAAUCACUAGUUCGUAGGUUAAACUAGUUAAGUCAGGAUAAAUGUAGAUUUUCUUAAAAUAUAUCAAUAAUUAUUUAUAAUUUAACACAAGUUUGUGCACGAAAUGCAUAGUAACUUCUAAGAACUAAGUGAUUCAAUAGAAAGCGUUUAUUUUAUUUAAAACAUUUAAAAUUGUAGUGUUUACAAUGUUGGUUUUGUCCAAAUACAAUAGAAAUGAAAAUAAAGAAAUAGAAUAUAUUAAUGAGGGGGAAGGGAUGGAUGAAGAGGAAGCGAAAGUCAGGGUGGGAAUGGUAGUCAACUUCUAUCAUUUAAUAGCAUUUGUAGUUAGGAGAGGAGAGAGUGAUAUGGGCAUUUGUUUUUGGUUCAAAAGAAGAGUAAUUAGGAGAGACGAGUAUGGGUGUGGAUGAUGACACUGACAUCCAAAAAGAUCAAAGGGAGAUGUUCGAAUCUACUAAAGUUGUCGUAAAUGCUUUCCAGCGACUGUGAGUAAGAUGCCCCGAGAUCCGCGUAAGAAGAGAAGCUUUUUAUGAGCGCCGACACAUGGAUUUUCACACAAACCCUUCCCCACAAAACGUGAAUGUAGCAUUCAAAUCAACGCGCUAUCUCCCCAACCCCCUGCCUUUAAAGUUCCUUUCCCUCACCUUCCAACUGGACUCUUCAUUUACUUCACCGAUUUUUGUUUUAAUUUUGCUUCAUCAUCCCAUACAUACUGGCCAGGCCAAAGGCAGCUCAAUAAUUCCUAUCUUAAUGGCCAAAUUAACUACACAAACCCUUCAGUUUUGCUGCCUCUUGAUCCUUUUGUUUCCCAUGCUGCUUCCGGCCAGCUCUCCACCGGAUCUUGUGCAGACAGAGUGCUUGAGCGUACCCUCCUCCCAGUUCUCCAACUCACUCCUCUCCACCAUCGAUGUUGUACGACAGGUUAUGGCCAUUUUCUCUCCGUUCAGUAAAUUACUGGGAGACUUCCGGCUUUCCACCGCCAUUUCCGACUGUCUCGAUUUGCUUGACUCCUCUGCUGACCAGUUGAGCUGGUCCCUCUCCGCCACCCAGAAUCCCAAGGGUACACCAUUAUUUACAAUACCCCACCCCCACCGCAUUCUUAUAAAUUUGCAUAUUAACUCUCUACCCCCUAAGCCUAUUCAUUUAUAUGUUGCGCUUUCAAACUUUGCUUUAAUAUGUGUUGUUGGUUAGUUCACGGGGAUAUUGUCGGUUGUGCUGCUGCUGGACCUACUAGUUACUUUUAUAAAUUGCGCAUGCAAAUGCAACUACACUAGAAAUUCAACAUAUUUACAAAUUAAACAUCCUCCUGCUUACAUUAUUUCAGCUAAAAACCAUAGCACGGGAGAUCUGAGUUCUGAUCUGAAGACAUGGCUGAGCGCUGCAGUGGUUAAUCCGGAAACAUGCAUGGAUGGAUUUGAGGGCACCAAUAGCAUUAUCAAAGGUCUAGUAUCUGGAGGCGUUAACCAGUUAACUUCACAGCUCUAUGACCUUCUUUCCAUGGUGAAAUCAAUCCCCAAUCAACCGAGCGAGUUUCCUUCAUGGCUGAAAUCUGAGGACCAGAACUUGCUGCAAAUAAAUGACUUGGCCGCCGAUGCCACAGUGGCCGCCGACGGGACUGGGGAUUUCACCAAUGUGAUGGAUGCGGUACUAGCAGCCCCUGACAAUAGCAUACGACGUUAUGUCAUAUACAUAAAGAAGGGUGUGUACUUGGAGAACGUGGAGAUCAAGAAGAAGAAGUGGAAUCUCAUGAUGAUUGGGGAUGGAAUAGAUGCCACCAUCAUAUCGGGUAACCGCAGUUUUAUUGACGGUUGGACAACAUUCCGAUCAGCGACCUUCGGUAAUUUUCCCUUUCAUUAUAAUAAUUUCUGAGGACAAAACAAAACAGAGAAAUGAAGAAGAAGUGGUUAUUAAUUAAUUUGCAAAUGAUUUGCAGCUGUAAGUGGAAGAGGAUUCAUAGCGCGAGACAUAACAUUCGAGAAUACUGCAGGAGCAGAGAAACAUCAAGCAGUGGCACUUAGAUCGGACUCCGAUCUGUCGGUGUUUUUUAGAUGUCGAAUUAGAGGCUACCAAGACACGCUGUAUACGCACACCAUGCGCCAAUUUUACCGCGAGUGCCAAAUCAGUGGGACCGUUGAUUUUCUUUUCGGCGAUGCCACCGUCGUUUUUCAAAACUGCAGCAUCCUGGCGAAGAAGGGUCUUCCCAACCAGAAAAACACCAUCACUGCUCAGGGCCGGAAAGACCCAAACCAACCCACCGGUUUCUCCAUUCAAUUCUGCAACAUAUCUGCGGAUUCAGACCUUAAACCCUCGGUUAACACUACUGCUACGUACCUUGGAAGACCAUGGAAGGAAUAUUCCAGAACCAUUAUCAUGCAAUCAUACAUCAGCGAUGCCAUUAGGCCAGAAGGUUGGCUUGAGUGGAACGCCAAUUUUGCAUUGAAUACACUAUUCUACGCUGAGUUUAUGAAUUACGGACCGGGGGCGGGAUUGGCCAAGCGUGUCAAUUGGCCCGGUUACCACCGACUGAAUCAAACCAGUGAAGCUACUAACUUCACCGUGGCUCAAUUCAUUGAAGGAAACCUGUGGCUGCCGUCCACGGGUGUCAAAUACACUGCAGGACUGGGAGCUAAUUAGUAAAUCAACAAUAUGUGGUGCAUUGAUGCUCCCUCCUAUAUAUCUCACUUUCAAAAUAUACAUAAAAAUGAAUUAAAACAUUAAAAAAAAAAAUCCCUUGCCGUAGUUUAGAUGAUACAAUUCGGUGGACCCAGAAAGUUAAGUGCCUCUAGAUAUUUUUGGUGUUGUAAUUAAAGCAAACCCCCUAAAUUCCCCUCGAGUCUUCAGUUCUGUGUGUGCCACCGUGGUGCACUUGCCAUAUGCUUUUGUGUGACCAUUUAUCUCUUCACUUUGACCUUCAUUUUGUAACAUGUUGUUCUAGUGCUUUUGGUCGCAAUUGUCCAUUGUUUUCUGCCCCUCUUUUCAUUACCAUCGUAUUAUUGUUUGAUGUUUGUUUAAUUGUCAUAUUGCUCUUCGUCUCUGUCUUUCAUCUAUUAUAUAUAUGUUGUGGUUUUUCUUGCCUUCGUGGUCUUUAUUAUAUCGUUCAUGUUGAUAUCACCAUGCAGCAACUUUGCUCAUCUUUCAUUAUUGUGUCAUCAUUUGUUAAAAUCAUCAAUAUGAAUGUUGGUUAAAAAAAUAGAUUUGAAGAGGUAAUAUCUAGUAAAAUUUUAAUAGUUAUUAGUUUCGAUAUAAUAGUACUUAACCUAAUCAGUAAAUUAAUAACUACUUUUUAGUACCAUGACGACAUUGCCGGUAUGACCAUAACUCAAAUCUUAACUAACAUCAAGCAUCUACAUAUAGUAGAUGGCGUUAAAUGUAUCAAUUUGAGAUUAAAAGUUUCAACCUCUCGUCAAAGGAAAAAAAAUGUAUUCAAAUUUUAGUUUUAAGUUACUAAAAUUUUAAAUAGAAUAAAAGUGGUGGUUGUUUGAAGAAUCCACAUUUGGCUCCUCGAAAUUCUGCUGUUGAUGUAAAAAAAUGAAAGCUUUUUACUGCAAUCACUGGGUAUCGAUGGUCUAAGAUUUCAUGCAAAGACCAGCUUCACGAAGACAGAAUCUGGAAGAUGAAAGAAGAUCGACGGAGGGGAAGAAGAUAUUGUAGAAAGAAUAUUGCAAAGAGAUCUACAAAUGAGAAGAAUAUGAAGAAGAUCGAGAAGCAUUGAGAAUCGAGGAGAUGAAAGAGAGAAUUGAGAGGAGUCCUUUGCUACUUUUACAUUUUUAUGAUGAUGUAAGCGAAAAACCUAGAACUUACAUUUUAGAAAAGUAGGUCAAUUUCACUUGGGUAUUUCAAAUUAGGUCAUCUGUGAAAAGGAUAACCUAAGCAUGCAUUGCAUAAACAACCCAAGUUUAAACCUUCGAUUUUGCCUGUAGCUCCGCAAAUCUUCAAAAAACCGAGUAGCAUACCCAGUUUUUCGGUAAACCCUAGCGAGUUGGUUUUCUUCGAUUUCCUCCACUCUCAUGGUUCUGUUGCUUUCUUGCAUAAUUCUCAAUUGCAAAUCUAAUUAUAAGCAAAGUAAAAAGAAUAUUACAAAAAUAAUAUCCCAAAUAUAUUCUAAUUACAACAAUACCCUCCUCAAACUCAAGGUUCUAAUCACGAACUUGAGUUUGCUAAUAACUUGAUAAAACAAAUCCACGAAUGACUUAUGGGAUAGUAAUGUAGGUUAUCGUAUAGAAAUCUAUAAUAUAACCUACAAAGAACAAAGCAAGAACUCAGCAAGAACAACUCCUAAAACUUGAUAGAGAGAUAGUGGAACGAAAAGUAAUGCAUGAGGUAAAGGUUGGUUGGAUUUGGAGCGGAGGACGAGCUGAACGGAUCUUUAAAGUAAAUCAAAACCAAAGCAGGUGGAAACGAGGCAGAUAUGUGGGACAAAGCAGACGAAACCUAGAGGUGAAUAGAACAAAAAUCGAACUGAUUGGAGUUGAGAGGCUGAGUGGAUCCGAAUGAAAACCGGAUCAGGGCAUAAUUGGAUCUAAGCUUCGAUCUAAACUUGAAGUGUUGAAGAGCUGCCAAAGACACUAAGCGAGAAGAGGAGGAAGAUAAGCAUUUCAGGUUUAACUUGUUAAGUGUUGUGAGUGUUUUCUUUAAAUGUUUAAAUGAUGAUUUCCAGUGCCUUGUUCAUUCUUGUUGAUUUGAAAUAGUGAUUUAGUAGAUUCGGCCUCGUGUUGAGGACAUUUCCCCGACAUUGGGAUAAACGAGCCGGCUUUCUCCGAUGUCGAGGACAUUUCAAAUAAUUUCCAAGCGUCAGGAUUAAGGUGUCGAGAAAAUAACAUUUCCCGACGUCGUGAAGAGGACAUCACCAAUUGAGAUUUUUGUCGACGCCAAGCAUCAGCGGGUUGGGAAAAGUUAAAACUAUUUAAAUUUAGAGCAAUUAUGAUGCAUACCUAUAUGUGACAUCAACAAUUGCUCCACAAAUGCCGACGUUGGCAUUGACCACGUUUGCAAAGGUUCAACCUUUAAGUAAUUUUUAUAACUUUUUCUGACGUCAAAAGUGACUACUCGAGAUUGGCCUACUUUUUGCCGACGUAGGAUCUAACAAUGUUGGGGGAAAGUGCGACGUUUAAAAAUUUUGAAAAGUUUUUUCGACGCCAUGAGUGUCAACGUCAGGAUCAGUGGAAAAUGUCGACGUUGUCAAUUAUGGCAUCGUAAAUAGAAUGGUUCUCGCAACGUACUCAUGUUGCGUCAUGAGAACCCAUUAUUAUAAAAUAUUAUGUUUUCACAUAACACAGAACACACAAGAGAACGUAAAAUGAAAGAGAGAAGAGGGAGUGUAGUCCUUGCUCGAUGUCGUCAUCGUUUGCAGCCCGCCGUCCUCCUUUCGUCGUCAAGUUACUUAGUCGUCUCUAUUUCGGUAAAGAGUUGUAUUUAUUUAUUUAUUCUAAAUAAAUGUAUAUUGUUUUCGGUUGUAUGUAUAUUGUUUUAAGUUGUAUGUAUAUUGUAUAUCGUGAAUUGUAGAUUGUAUAUUGUAUAUAUUGAAAUUGUUGAAUGUUUUUUAACUAAAAUUUAUAUGAGUUGUUUAGAUUUUAUAUUGUAUGUAUGUUUGAUAUUUAAUCUUGUGUCAUUGUAGGUUGGGAGGCAUGGGAGAACUGACGUCCACGUGUUUAGAAUUAUGUUUUCAAGUUUUAGUUUUAAGUUUUCAUGUAAUUUCUAAACUAAAACACGUGUAUUUUUUUUUAAUAUUUGAAUUAAUAUGAAUAUAGAUUCGAUUUUGGUAUGUUUUUCAUCUUAUGUUAAUAUUGUUUUUAAAAAUUGAUUGAAUUUAUAAAUCGAAUUCGUUCUCAAUACCAUAUAUAUAUAUAUAUAAUAAAUUAAAAAAAGUUAUAAACAGGUUUUUCUGACGCACAAAACGCAUCGAGCAUGGACCCUAUACCGACGUCAUGUUGGCUUUUCCCUUCCUCGACGUACAAGACGACGUCGAUGUAGGUAUUGUCGACAUCUGGUCAACAGGUCGAAAGAGCGAAGCAUGCAUUGACAAAAUCUUUUGCCGACGUCAUGUUGUUCGUGCGUCAGUAUAGCCUAUCCCAACACGGUAAUGCCGACGUGGUUUUCUGCGUCGAGAUAGCCUAUUCAGAUGCAUUUUGUGAUUUAUGCCGACACACACAUGAGUCGGUAGAACUCCCCUUUCUUGUAGUGUUUGUUAAAGUCUCUGAAUCUCACAAUUUUCUCGAGAUCACGAAUACACCAAAAAAAUAACUUCUGAAUAAGUGAGGUAUUGGUUGUGAGAACUAAUCUUAAUUUUUGGGAUUAAGGCAUAUUAGGAAUAACGAGUAACACGAGGAGAAGGUUAUGUAUCAAAUAAUUCCUAUGCGGGAGUUAUUUAAAAUUUAAUUUCACAACUAAAUUAUUAAUAAGUAAUUAUUUUAUUAUUUAUUUUAUUUAGAGGCAUUUGUAGAAUUAUAAAAAAAAUACAAACUAUUUACUAUUUUAUAAAUAAAUAAAAAACUAAUAAAAGACAAAAGUGCAUGAUCUAACAUAAUUAGGAACAAUUUUAAAAAUAAUAAUCAAGUAUAUAACAAUUUUUUUUUUUGCAAAUAUAACAAAAUCGAAAUGUGAUAAGCCUCUAUCGGUAAUAGACUCUUAUGGUCUAUCAUUGAUAAAUCAAUAUUUAUUUUGACAGGUUCUGCUAUAUUUGUAAAUUUUUAAAAAUGUCGUUCUAUGCUCAAUUGUUUUGAAUCUAAUUACCAUAUUUGCAACUAUACAUUUUUUUGUUGUAAAUAGUUGGCUUAUUUUUCUUUUUUGGACAAGUCCCCUUUAAUUUAUUUAAUAAUUAAUUAAUUCAAUUCAAUUUAAUUCAAUUAAUAGUUUCAUUUAGAUCAUAUUUAAAUGAACACAUAGUCCACGUAACCUAUACCUUUAAUUCAGCUAAUUUAAUUAAAUCAAAUCAAAUUAUAUCUAAUUAAAUAUCAUAGGUUUAAUUUAACGUAAUCUAUAUAUGAAUCAUAUUCAAUCAUAUUUCUCUCAUAAUCUAUAGCAUUUAUGUGUAUCUAAUACACACAAAUUUUAACUUAUAGUUUUAAUUUGAAUUUAAUUUAUAUUAAAUUAAUAUUUAAAUUCUUCAAAUAUUUAAUUUAAUUAAAAUAUAAAAUUGAUAUUAUAAUGUAUAUCAGUCUUAAUCUAAGUAAAAUUGAACAUUUCAAAUUCUAAAACAUAAUAGCCUCGCUACCCUCUACUAGCUGCUGAGGAGAUCUAAUAAACCUAUAGAUCACAAAUUUCAGUUUAAUUCGCUAAAACUCAUUAACCACAUUAAUCAAUACUCGUUAAUUAUGUGUACACGUAACUAAACAUUCAUAGUUUUACUCUUCUCCUUGUAUAUAUUAGUUUAUGUAUCCAUUAAUAUAGACUAAUAGCCAAUUAGUCAUUCAUGAGUGUUUGUAACAUCAGUUGAGUCAAAUUAUCAUUUUACUCUUAUAUUAAUUCAAAUCAUUAAACAUAAAACCAUCUCGAGCUAGUGAGAGGGUAAGACCCUUUGUUCGUUUCAAGUCAUUGUUUAAGGGAACACUCAUCUACUUAUCAUAAAGUUGUAAAUAAAUGGUAGGCUUAUUGAGUCAACGAACUAGUCAAUCUCACCCAUACAAAUCAAACGAAAAUCACUCGUGAAUAGAAAUACAUAAUACACUCGGAAUUAAGACUAAGUUAUCUAUGUCAUUCUAUUGAAAUAGAAACUCAACUAGUAAACAUAAUUACACCUAGUGAUUACUAUUUUCAUGGUUGGAUUAGGUUGUAAAACCACCUAAAACCAAAGCAAGUAAAAUAAUUAUAAAAUUGAUUUUUGAUUCUGCAUUUAAAGUUGAAUUACAAGGAGUUAGAACAAAAAUAACUUAACUCAAGCCAGCAUAAAAACACAUGAGAGCCAAAUUAUCUUAUCAAGAGGGAAAACGAAGAUAAACGAUUUUUAUCAUUUAAGAGCCUCUUGUAACUUUUCAUACCCCGCAUUGUCCCAAAACAACUGUUCUAAAAACAAUCCCAAUCUUUACCCCUCUCACCAAAACAGACUUAGUUUUCCAAAAAUCUUCCUUACAAAUUAAUCCCAGCAAAUCUCUAACUCUCAUCAAAGUUAUGGGUGUUCAAAUCAUCCGAAUAUCAAUCUAGACCAGCAGCCUUGACCAACGCCGCCGCUCGUGCCUUCGUAGCCAGUAAGCUCUAUCUCUGAUUCAAGGGGUUUUCUUACUCUCUCUACCGGUUAGGAGCAGUGCGUAGGAGUUUUGGUGAGUUUAAUGUGAGUUCUUUGGUUCUUCUCACACCAUAACCCAUUUGGCUUAAAUUUAACUUACCCACGUUGUUUUGAUCUUAGAUUCUUGAGUUUGCAGGAGUCUAAUGUGCUAUCCAGCAAGACAUUAAGAUUUUUGGGGUACGUUUCGAUGGGUAUUUACCCUCCGAUCUUCUCUUGGAGAUACUUUCAUGGCUUGAAUUGGUACUGAAUUCAGUUUUGGUUAGAACAUUGAUCGAGGUUCCGUAAGGAGAAGAGAAUUGUUAUUGGUGGAUAUUGGGAUUGGAUUCGAGGUAAGGGACCUUGCCCUUGGAAUGCUUUAAGGGCAAGUUUGGGUGUUACCACCGACUGUAUAUCUUACGUGAAUUCUUGUGCCAGUCUUAGACCAUGAAAGUCAUGUUUUUUAAAUGUCAUGAAUUUCAAUGCAAUGUUUUAUGACUUAUGAGUGCCAUUUCUGAAAUUUAUCCAUAAUUGAUUAAGCCAUGAAAUGUGAAUAGUAUAAUAUGUGAAGCUCGUGAAUGUUAUGUUAUGUACGUCAUGCAUGUGAAGUUUGAUGUAUAUGGCUGCAAGGCUUGUUAUAUUGCACAGGACCUCAUGCACGUGUGAAUGCUUGUCAAAGUCAUGAAAGCGUUCAAUGGUUUCCUUCCCUUUUAUUGAACAAUUUAACUGCAUGGAAGGUGCGUGUCCAAGGGCUCCAGUGCAUGAAAACGAUGUUCUAGAGUCGAUACACAUGGACGUGAUACAUACCUAACGGGGCUUGCUAUGAAGCACAAAAUACUUCACGUUAGGUAGAGAAUUGGUGUCGGAUGUCAGUAUUAGAUACUGAUAGAUGUGGCAUAUCUGUUUUCUUAAAAUUAUUUUGUUUAAAUAUAAGAUACUCAUGCCUACUUCUAGAUACGUAUAGUGGACACGCUGGACCUUACCAAAAAAUAUAUAAAAAAAGCUCAUUUAAUUUUUCCUAAUCUGAGACUAAGUAGUCUAUCUAAAAAGCUCACUGCCUGAACGAAAAAUUAAAAAAUUAAAAGAAAAAAACCAGAAUCAUCUCAUUUUCAUCUUCAUGUCAGGGUCCCCACAAAGUCAAGCAUAAAUAACCUAUUGAAUAUCUUCAACAGUUCAACGAAAAAGUCCCUCGUUGUUCUCCCUCAAGUCUUCUUCUCUGAUCAGUCCAUACUCUGGUGCACCACCAACCUUUUUAUUGUAUUCUAAUGACUAUUGUAUUUCAGUAUUUUUUAUGUUGCUUUUUGUAUUUAAUUCUAGUGUUUGUAUUGUAUUUUUUGAUAGAAUCAACAACUUUCAUUGAGAAAAAGAACAUGAAAAAUACAAGGGCUUAAAAGAAAAGAAAAGAAAAUAAGAAUCCACAAAACAUCCCCUCUAAAGAAACAUAUUCCAACUAAAAAAGAUGUUACCUAGAGCACUGUAGAUUGUACUAUUGCCAUUAACUUAACAAUAUUAUUGUAUUGUUGAUUGUAAUAUUGUCAUUAAUUUGACAUUUUUUAAAUAUAUUUUUAGUGGAUUAAAUCUAGUAUUUUUAUGUUAAAUUUACAUGUUUGAACACACACAUUCUUAUCCUAGUUUUUUAGGGCCUCGCGUUUCACCAUAUCCUAUAGUAUUCGUAUGCUAUAUCCAUGUUUGUGCUUCAUAGGAAGUUUUGAGUAUAUGAAAUGAUACACGCCACGCCCAAUGUGCAGUGGGUUAUGUGUUUGAAAGUGAUGUAGACAGACUGUGUACAAAAGUGAUGAACAACCCAACUUAUGAAAGGGAAGAAGUGGAAAACAUAGAAAGAAAGUUUAGUCCCACAAUGAUUACUUAAGAAUAGUCUCGAUGCACGUGUGUUUGCAUUUUCUUACCCUAGUUGUGGGGUUUCAUACUGAGUAUUUUUUAGUACUCACCCUUCCAGAGAAAUAUUUUAGAUAAGAACAAGUUGACUUAGGCGGAUGGCCAUGGGUGACUGCAAGGUCCAGUUACAUUUUAGUUAACUUAUUUGUAUCACUCCUUUAAGUCUUAUGUUAUGUUUUUACUUUAAGUUUUUGUUAUUUGUUUUCUAAACUUUGGGAUCCCAAACUGAACGUUGUUAUGGAAUGGAUUAUGAACUUAACACAUCUUUCAUGUUUUUAUUUGAAUAAAAGUUCGGUGAGUCUUCUAGUUUUGUCCAGUGCUGUCGUAUUGGUUGCAUGCAUGAGUCAUGACCCUUGUUAACAAUUUUGAAUAGUCGGGUCCUUGCAAUCAUGCAUUAUGUGGUUCUGUAUUGUACAUCAUCCUCUUGCUGAUGCCGAAGUCAUACACAGGGGCUUGAGGCUUGUUCACAGAGCCCUACGACAGGCAUGGGCCGACAUAUGGAGUGGGCAGGGCGAAUGGGCUACAUGUGGGGAAUCCCAAGGAAAAUGUUGUUCGUGGCAGUGGGUGCUUUUGCCAAGGCUGUGGCAAAUGUUCUAAACACCACUACUGUCCACAACGCCGAUACUCUCAUUCGACUUGUCCAACACCGGCCUCCCGGAGUGCCCCUCGUCACUGUUAGCAAUCAUAUGUCCACGUUUGUCUCUUUCCCUUGUUUUUUGGCGUUGUUUCCAUUAGCUUCUAAGCUUCUCAGUUUGUCGCAAUCCACCUCCCACGUUAACUUGGCUGGGUUUCACUCUCUGUAUCUUUGUGUAAUUUCUAAGUUGAUGUUGCUUUUGUGGAUACAACAGGAUAGACGAUCCAGUCAUGUGGGGCUUCAAAGGUUUUCCGACCUCUGAUGCAACAUUAGGUAGGUGGGUGUUGGCAGCAGAGGAUAUUUGCUUUAAGAACGUUGUGCUAUCUUAUUUAUUCCGAUUAGGUAAGAGACAUCUACUCUAUGUUACUUCAUUGUUACUGUUUUCUUUUUGGUUUUAUCUUCCAUUAGUAGGAGUUGGUUAGUGAAAGGUGAUUACAAAGCAGUGUUAAUUCAGAUGCACAGAAAAUUUCCAAUAGCAUAGUUGUCAUUAGUGGGAGUUGGGAUAUCAUCAUGACUCAUGAGAAAAGAAAUAUCAAAGUAACAUUGAAACAGUAUUAUGAUAUCAAAGACAAUGAAUCUGGAACACUUUAAUUUGUUAAGGAUUCCAUAUUGGAAAAAUCAAGGGACCUCAUAAUUGUUAAGAUACUAUGCCCUAAUAUCUUGAUAGACCCCUAUCAUACAUCAAUACAGUAGAAGAGGAAAGAAAGCUUCAACAUGUGUGGGAGGGGAUACAAACACGGAGGUGGUAAAUAAUAAAUAGGACUGGUUAGGAGCAAGUAUAAAUAGUUUUUUAACUGAGAGGGAAAGGCAUUUAGUAUUUUCAAAUGACAGUUGUACUCUGUUUCUGUUAGGAUACUAACAAUAAUUUAGACUGAAAGGACUGUAUAAAUGGCUUAAACAGAGGCGGUACUCUGGUUUACUUUAUUUAUAUAUAAAGCCAAAUGAUCCAGAUUCACAAGAUGAAAAGAAAUAACAAGAAACAACAAGGAAAAAUGCAGAAAAGAUCAUACCAGCCUCUUGGUUUUAAGAGACCCUGGUGGCUGCUGUAGCCCUACCUCCUAAAAGUUAAAAAUACCCUAGCUACUCCAACCUAAUAAUCCUAUUUAUAGACUCACAUAUUCCUCAGCCCAGUGGGCCCUACCACUCAGAACGUCCUUCCAAUCAUUUCUCCAUAAUAAUUCCCUGUGCAGUUACUUUUCUACCCUUCCUCCUAUAAGUAUGGAUAAUUGGGGGUCUUACAAUACCCCUCGGUUCCAAGUUCACCUUGUCCUCAAGGUGGAAGGUGGGAAACUGUUGAUUCAUUUGGUACACUGCUUCCCAGGUAGCCUCGUUCUCCGGUAGUUCUUUCCAUUUCACCAACCACUCGUUGGCCCCCAAGUCCUUAUUCCAUCGAAUGCCCAGUACGGUUUCUGGUUGUAGCUGUAGUUCAAACUCUUCCGUUAGUACUGGUUGUUGGAUUUGUACUACAUGUGUUUUUCCCAAUUUCAGUUUCAGUUGGGAAAUAUGGAAGACGUCAUGAAUGGAAGCUUCGGGCGGUAACUGCAGCCUAUACGCCACUUCUCCAAUUUCUUCAAUUAUGCGGUAAGGUCCAUAGAAUUUAGGGGCCAACUUCUCCGACCUCUUUCGUGCUAGAGAAUGUUGCCUAUAGGGUCGAAGCUUGAGAUAUACCUCAUCUCCCACCUUGAACUUAAGUUCCCUCCUCUUAGAGUCUGCCAUUUUCUUCAUUCGGUUCUGCGCCACGUUCAGGUUCUCCUUUAGAGCAAUCAGUGCUAAAUCCCUCUCUUUCAGCAUUAGUUCCACCUCAUUGUGAGGAGUCUUGUGAUUGCCGUAUGAUAGCAGCGGAGGAGGUGAUCGUCCAUAUACAAUCUGGAAGGGAUUUGAUCUUGAGGAGGCAUGGAAAGUUGUAUUAUACCAUAGUUCUGCCCAGGGAAUGAACUUAUUCCACUUUGUCGGCUGCUCAUUACAAAAACACCUCAGAUAAGUUUCUACACAACGGUUUACUCUUUCAGUUUGUCCGUCCGUUUGAGGGUGGAAUGCCGUACUUCUUUUUAGAAGGGUUCCCAUGCUAGCAAAUAUUUCUUUCCAAAAGUUGCUUAUGAAAAUUUUAUCCCUAUCGGAAAUGAUUGACUUAGGUAUUCCAUGUCUACUCACUACCCGGUCAAUAAACACUUCAGCCACUUGCCUUGCAUUGAAAGGAUGCCUCAUGGUGAUAAAAUAGGAGUAUUUGCUCAGCCUGUCCACAAUUACCAUUAUUACAUUCAUACCUCCUGCUUUAGGUAGCCCUUCAAUGAAGUCCAUGGACCAGUCUUCCAAGAUUCUUUCUGGAAUUGGAAUUGGCUGCAGAACUCCAGCUGGUUUAGUUGCUUCCAACUUAUUUCUCUGGCAAACCUCGCAUUCUUGCACAUAUUUUUUUACAUCCGCCUUCAUACCCUUCCAAUACAAUUCCCCACACAUCCUUUUAUACGUCCUUAAGAACCCGGAAUGGCCUCCCAAAAUGGAGUCAUGAAAUGUAUGUAGUAAGGUGGGGAUCAGAGUGGAUUCUUUUGACAACACAAUCCGCUUCUUAUACCAUAGGUUUCCAUUCACCCAUUGGAAUUUACUAGGCUCAUCAGGAUUCUGUUUUAAUUCUUCAAUGAUUGCCUUAAGCUCUUCAUCUAACUCAACCUCUUUCUCUACCACCUCCAUGUUGACAAUACCCGUGGUGGACAUAUUCUUCAUUUCCACUGGUUGUUCUAUUCGGGAGAGGGCAUCGGCUGCUUUGUUUUGUAGUCCGGGUUGGUAAAGUAUUUCGAAGUCAUACCCGAGGAGUUUAGUCAGCCACUUCUGGAAUUGGGGUUGCACUUCCCUUUGCUCUAAAAGGAACUUGAGGGCCCUCUGAUCUGAGAUGAUUGUAAACUUCCUUCCCAAGAGGUAAUGUCUCCACUUCUGUACUGACAGAACCACAGCCAUCAAUUCCCUCUCAUAUAUGGACUUGGUUUUUGCUCGGUUUGAUAGUUUUUGACUGAAAAAAGCUAUGGGAUGGCCAUUUUGAGAUAGAACUGCCCCUAAAGCAAUCCCCGACGCAUCUGUUUCAAUGAUGAAAGGCAGGUUCCAAUCCGGUAGAGCUAGUACGGGUAGGGUUGUCAUGGCUAAUUUCAGCUUAUCAAACGCCUCUGUUGCUUCUUCCCCCCAUAGGAAUGAGUUCUUUUGUAAUAAUUUGGUCAGCGGUUCUGCCAUCUCCCCAUACCCUUUGACGAAUCUUCUGUAGUAACCUGUCAACCCUAAGAACCCCCUCAAUCCGGUUACAUCUUUGGGUUGGGGCCAAUUUACCAUGUCCUUGAUCUUGUCUCCAUCAGCUUCAACCCCUCUACUGGAUAUUAAAUGCCCCAAAUACUGAAUCUGUGAAUGGGCUAUUACGCAUUUUUUUUUGUUAGCAACUAACUGGUUAUCCCGCAUUACUGCAAAAACCAUGGCCAAAUGCUUUUCGUGUUCUGUGAGAUUCGUGCUGUAUAUCAAUAUAUCAUCAAAAAAUACCAGUACACAUCUCCUGAGGAAGGGUUUAAAGACCAGAUUCAUUAAAGAUUGGAAAGUAGCUGGUGCGUUAGUGAGGCCGAACGGCAUGACCAGAAACUCGUAGUGUCCUUCAUGGGUUCUGAAUGCUGUCUUUUCCACAUCCUCCUCCUUCAUCCGUAUCUGAUGAUAUCCAGAUUUGAGAUCCAGUUUUGAAAAAACAGUGGCCCCAUGCAGUUCGUCUAGCAAUUCCUCUAUCACGGGUAUUGGAAAUUUAUCCGAUAUGGUUACUUGAUUUAAUUUUCUGUAAUCAACACAGAAUCUCCACCCUCCGUCUUUCUUUCUUACCAGCAACACAGGACUCGAGUAAGGGCUGUGACUGGGUCGUAUUAUCCCAACUUGGAGCAUUUCAGAUAUUAACUUCUCGAUUUCUUCUUUUUGUGUGUGGCCAUAUUUGUAAGGUCUCACAUUGAUAGGUUUCUGGCCGGUUACCAGCAAAAUACGAUGGUCACACUCCCUUUUUGGUGGUAAUCCCUUCGGUUCUUCGAAUAAAUCCGUGUACUGCUGGAGUAAGACUUGAAUCAUUGGAGAUUCUUCCUCAUCCCCCUUUACUCUCUGUACUUCAUCCAAUUCCCCAUCUUCCUCUGCCUCAUAGUUCUGCAUUUCGAGUAAGAAGCCUUGGUCGUCCUCUUCCCAUGUUUUUUCAAUAGUUUUCAGAGAGCACUCUGCCCUAAUAAGUGAAGGAUCUCCUUUUAAGAUAAACUGUUUUUUUCCCAUCCGAAAUGUCAUGGUCAAGGAUGGCCAGUGUAUCUUCAUGGUUCCCGUUGUGUUUAACCAUUGCAUCCCUAGAAUCACAUCUACACUCCCCAGUUCAAUUGCUAAAAAAUCAGCCACGAUUGUGAUCUCUUUAAGUUUUAGUUCUAACCUGUUACACACGCCUCUUCCUUGGCAUCUUGUACCAUCUCCGAUAGUGACUCCAAACGGAGUAUGAUUCUCUAACUCCAGUCCCACUUCCUCCACAAUUUUGUUGUGUAUGAAAUUGUGGGUGGCCCCACUGUCAAUCAGUAUCAAUACUUCUUUCCCUUUAAUUUCGCCUUUGAUCUUCAUCGUUCCUUUACUUGUUAGGCCAUGUAUUGCCUUUAACUCAAUUUCGGUUCCCUCCUCCAGUGUAAGCUGAUUCAACUCUAAUACUUCUUCAUUAGUUUCCUCUGUUCUGUCUUCGUCUUCCAGACUUUCUUCUUCAUUCAUGAUAAACAGCAUCAGCUCUCUUUUGUCCUUCAUUUUGCAUCGAUGUCCAGGGGAGUACCUUUCAUUGCAUUUAAAACACAGACCCUUGUCAAGUCGUGCUCUGAAUUCCGCAUCCGAUAAGCGUUUCACUGGUGGUUCACUCUUCUGGUAGUUGCCUUUAAUGGGAAUUGUCACCUGUUUCAAAGGAAACUCUGUUUUCCUGGUGAUUCCCUUCUCCCCACCUUCUGGACCCUUGUUCGUGCUUCCUUCGCCUUUUUUGUAAUUCCGUCCUCCCCCUUCUGCCUUGGACCAUUGCAGGGCUAAAUUUCUGUCGUUGACCAGCUGUGCCUCUCUCAUACACUCCUCCAAUGUUAGUGGAUUGCGGCUCACGACUUCAGCUUGCAGGUUCGGCUCUAGCCCAGUCAGGAAUGCAUCCCUUAACACACUCUCUGUCAUGUGGGGCAGGGGUGCUGAAUAAUUAACAAAUUUCUUUACAUAAUCAUUGUAGGAACCGUCUUGUUCAAUCCUGAUCAGUCUCGCCACUAAACUCUUCUGCCCUGUGUCUUUAAAAAAAUCAAACAUCCUUUCUUUUAGAUCCUCCCACGACUCCACCUUCCUCCGAUUGUGUGACCAUCUGUACCAGUCUACCUCAUCUUGUCCAAAGCUGACUACUGCUACCUUGACCUUUUCGGUCUCGGGUAGAUUAUUGAUCUCAAAAAAAUGCUCUGCCCUGUAAACCCAAGAUUCCGGGUUUUCUCCCAAGAACAUUGGCAUCUCUAAUUUCUUAUAUUUACUACGGUCACCCAUGGUCAAGUUCCCUUCGUUAUGAACAUCGGUUUCCUCAGCUUUUCCCUUCAGUUUCAUUACUGAACCGUCGGAGGUCCCAGAUUCCUCCCUUCUUUUGUAGCUAUGGUUCUCUCUUAGAUCCUCAGCCAUUCGUUCCAUUGCUUUUUUCAUUUCUAACAGCAUCUCUUUCAGACCCAUUAUUUCCUUCUCAGUUCCAUCCACUCUGUCUUCUAUUUGUCUCUGCGCCAUUAGUCUAGUAACCACCCCCAGUUUUUUCGGGCUCUGAUACCAAUUGUUAGGAUACUAACAAUAAUUUAGACUGAAAGGACUGUAUAAAUGGCUUAAACAGAGGCGGUACUCUGGUUUACUUUAUUUAUAUAUAAAGCCAAAUGAUCCAGAUUCACAAGAUGAAAAGAAAUAACAAGAAACAACAAGGAAAAAUGCAGAAAAGAUCAUACCAGCCUCUUGGUUUUAAGAGACCCUGGUGGCUGCUGUAGCCCUACCUCCUAAAAGUUAAAAAUACCCUAGCUACUCCAACCUAAUAAUCCUAUUUAUAGACUCACAUAUUCCUCAGCCCAGUGGGCCCUACCACUCAGAACGUCCUUCCAAUCAUUUCUCCAUAAUAAUUCCCUGUGCAGUUACUUUUCUACCCUUCCUCCUAUAAGUAUGGAUAAUUGGGGGUCUUACAGUUUCAUCCUUGAGAGAUAGGAUAGCAGAAGUGUGCCCUAGUUUCCAAAUUGAGAACUCCUCAAUUCGUUCUUCUACUUUCUUGAUAUUGUAACAGUGUUACGAUUCAUCAACACUAUCAAUAAUAUACUAAAGUUGAUAUUCAAUAUCGAUUCCCAUCAUAUCUCUGAAGUUUUUCCGCUAAUGUUUCUAACAAACUCCCACGGGGAGCUAUUUGUAGUGGAUAAUCAUGGGACUUAGCUCUCAAUGUAAGUUAUUUGCAGUUACGAGAAAGAAUAGUUUAGUAUCUCCCACCAGAUGCUUUUGUAGUUAUGGGGAAGAAUAGGAAGAGUGUGAUUAUUUGUCUUGAAAAUUAAUCCAAGGAGACUUUGACCAUCAGAAGCAUCUAGGGCAGACUGAAUCUCCAAUUUGAAGUGUCCUUAAUAUAUAAUCGCUUAAGUUCCUAUCAGUAUCUCCCUAAAGUUUUUAUAAAAAAGUUCCUUCUGUUUCUUAUAAGGAAAAAUAAUGCAUGUAUCAGUAUCUCCCUAAAGUCCUAUUCUAUCAUGCAUGAAUGCAGAAACAUAUUCAUUAUUGCAUUCUAAUUUGUAUGCUUGUAUGCUUGUAUGCAUAGCUAUGUGAACUGUCUAGUGUGUUUUGUGAACUACAAUUUCAAAAUGUUUAAUUCUGUUUUACACAUAAAACUAUGCAGGAAAAUGUAUACCUGUUACUAGGGGUGCUGGAAUUCAUCAAGAAUAUAUGGAUGAAGCACUUGAGCAUUUAAGGAAUGGAGAAUGGGUACUUAUCCAUAAUUAUGUCUUGAUAUCUACAAAUAAAUUCUUUCAACACUUUUGCACACCAAAAAUAAGGAUUCAUAAUCAUUACCAUUUGUGACUACGAACCUUCCUUUUCUAGCCUAAAAAGACAAUUAGAAAAGAGGGGUAAAUUUGACACAAAUACCACAUCGCAAACAUAAUUCCAAAAAGAAAGUACAGGUCAAAUGUUCAACUAAAAGGCCAAAGAACUUGAUUUGCCGAACAACCAAACUCAAUUAUAGAAACAAGCAAAUGCUCAACGUUCUUGGAGACAAUUGUUCCUUGAUAACUAUGAAAUUAUAUUUCAGAUUUUAGGAAAUAUUUAACAAUUUAAUUAGACUCUCAGAGUUAUGUUUUUCCUGUUUACCCUUAGAUUCCAUAAAUGAGUCCGUGUAUGUGUGUGGGGUGGGGGGUAAUCAUUGGAUUGCAACCACCUCUGAAUGAUCUUUUUUUUCCUUUUAUGUUUUGAUCGUGAACAUUGCCAGCUCCAUACAUUUCCAGAAGGUAAAGUGACUCAAGAUGAUGUGCCCAUCCGACGAUUAAAGUGAGGAACAGCUAGUCUUAUUGUUCGUUUCUCCUAUAACACCAAUAGUUCUGCCGAUUGUCCAUCGCGGCUUUGAUGAGGUAGUUUUCUUUUUGCAAAAAUUAUAGCAAUAAUUCUACUAAUCCUGCUAAUAUUUCUGUCUAGAUGAAACCAUGGUGCUAAACUAUGGGGUCAGUCAUAGAGACCAGCUGUCUAAACUCUAAAGCAUUAGUUGUAGAAAAGGUGCACCCAUAAAAAUUUAAUUUAGGUGGAUAAAUGUGAAAGGAUUGAAUUUCUUUUUAGAACUGAAAACAAAAUUGCAUUCCUUGAUAGAGGAUAAAAUUUAGCUUGUUCUGGGGCAUUUGUUUGGAUAGAGUUCAUCUCGGCCAUGGAAUUGACAUCUAGGUUCUCCGAUUUUUAUAGAUAGGUACGUAUUUGAAAGAUGUGUUGGGUUCCUCGAUGGCCCCUUCCCAUUAUUUCCAUUUUCCCCUCAAUGCGAAUCAGUUCCCAUUUCCAUCGACCACUUGUGGAAUGUGAUUAUUAUUGUCAUUAUUAUUAUUUAAGUUUCUUUUUAAGUAAACACAACCUUUCAUUGACAUAAUCUAAAGAGUCUGAAGUACAAAAUCCAAUAAAAAAAAUAUUUUAAAAAAAAUUACGAGGAAUUUCUAACUUAAACAAAAGGGCACUGUUUAAGCACUCUCGUCUGUUAAUGUCUAUGUUUUUAGAGAUAUGAUACAGCAAAGCCGAAAGGCAUUACUUAAUGGUGAAUUAAGUGUCCUUGAAUAUUUGAUGCAUCGGUCGAAGUCAUGUCAUAUGAUUUGCUUGAUGAAUUUUUGUUUGUUUUAAUUUUCUUCUCAAGGUUUAGUAUCAUCAUUCAAUGACAAGUUAUUUUUAAGAUUUUCUUGUCUCCUCUUCCAUAUGUAAAUAGCUCUCUUAAAAAAUUCACCCUGGGCUUGAGUAUACGAGUAUUUGCUUGUUUCUUUUAGUAGAAACCCAAUAUUUAUCUUUUCACCCCGUCUCA